GAAUGGUGCUCUCACAAAUGUAAGUUUUUCUUUGUCCUCAGAAGCUUUCUAUUUUUGUUUACUUCCCUUUGCUUUCCCUUUUUAAAGAUCUUGUUGAGCAGUACGGAGUGUCUAUUACCACUAUGAAGCCGAAAAAUCAUCUCAAGUUCGAGAUAAAUUUAAUUUUAGAUAACCAAAAUAAAUAAAGGUGAAUAAAAUCUUUUUAUUCGUGUGGGAACACUGUAAAAUGAAAUCUAGUAUACAUAAGAAUUAAAAUAAUCUGCUCCACAAAAUCUUGUUCUUUCCGUUUUCAGUGAGUUUAGAGUUAUGCACAUGUUCACUAUUGAAUUCAAAGGUGUACAAUACACAAGGUUUGUUUCCUAUCUAUCAAAAAUAUAUAAAAGUUUGCCUCCCAAUAACUUUACUACCUAAAAGCAUCAGCACAAUUCAAGUUUUUAUUAAUGAUUAUUGGAUAUCAACUUAGCAAUUUUUUUUUCUUUGUCAGGAUUUUGGUAACAGUAUAUGUAAGCUGUUACCGCUCUAGCUCAGUUUGUACCAGGAAAGUUCUGCUGCAAUUCUCUAUUGAAUAGACCGUUGCUAGAAUGUGGUCUGACAGCAAAGUGUAAGUGAAUAAACAUAGUUUCGCAGUUUUGUCUCUGACUGUAAACGUUAAGUUUAGAAUGAUGUAUAUCUUUGAUAUUAAUGACGUUUAAUAUUCUUUUCAGAAUAUAAAUUAUGUUGUGCUUAUCAUCAGACUUGCUGCAAAUGGGACGUACAACUCUGAUGGAACCCAAAGGUACAUGAUAAAAAAGUUGUUUAAGUAACACACAAGAGAGAUAUUGACAUUAUGGUCAUAGAUCAUACGGAAAGAUAUUAUUUUUCAUUGUUAGGAUUUUGACUAGGCUCAGUGCUCAUUUGGGAAGUGAAAAGUUUCGAAGGUCUCUUUGUUCAAGUCAAGAAGUGAAAGCUAUUGAACUAUGUAUGUAAUAGCUUGUAUUGUUUACUUUGGGUCCUAGGCUCCCUCGACUUUAAAAUGCCUCAUUUGGGUCUAAUGUCACUUCUUUUUAUUCCAACAAUCAAUAUCUUUCUUGCGUUUUGUUGAUGUGGUAUAUGCCUAGGAUGCUACAAUGUUGUUCUUUUUACUCUGGAUACCAAGACGGAAAGCAAGAGACGACACAAUUAUUGAACUUUCUGUAUUGAGAAAUCGGAAUUUCUGGACGCAAAUGGUUAGAGAAAACUGUAAAUGCAAUGUAAAAUGCAUAAGAAACAGGGGAGAUUUUGAGGAGUGAGAUUUGUUUGCGUAAUUUUUUUAUGUUGUUAUUACUGAUUAAAUGAUGUGUGUGUAUUUCAGUUCAUACUGCUUAAAAUUUCUUCAUUUGAGGAUGGCGCUCCUAACAAGAUUUUCUCCAUACCCAGGGCACUGCACCACAACCCAUGUUGGUGUACACAAUUAAUCCUGGGAGCCUUUCCCCUCAAGCUCUCAAGAAAAGGCAACAAAUCGUCACUCAAAUAAAAUUAGAAGCGCGAAAAGUUUCGUAUGAUACACCACUAAUCUCCACUGCUCGCAAUGGAUAUAAGUUACUGCUCUUUGCGGAUUGAGACUGACACACAAUAAACUAAUCUGGCACAUAUGGACACAAGUCUCCACUCACCCAUUAUCUUUGAUUAUAUUGGACCACCUUAGACACGAACAGUCCCUGUAAAUUUUCCAUAAACAAAGCAUUUGUAUUGGGUUCGAAAGUGAUUAGGGUGUCAUGCGUAAGCUUACAAUUGCAUAUCAUAUGUUUGAUAAAUCAGAUGACAAAAACUUAUACUAAAAAUCAAAAUAUUAUUAUAUGAUUUGAUCAAUUGGCCUACAUAUUUUAAAACUAAUAAAAAGACAUUAAAACAAUAGAGGGUAUAAUCUCCCCAUAAAUAAGACUAUCUAAACGACUACAUUGUGGAUGUUAUUAUGUUCAUAGUGUGAGAAGAUGGGUCUUCUAUUUAUAGGACAUUUAGAAUAAACCAAAUAUCAAAAAGAAUUAUAUUUUCAUUUCAGAAAAAGUUCAAGCAUGUAUGGUAAUACUUUAACUUUUCUUUUAAGAAAAAAUAAACUUCAAAUAAGAUAAGAAAAUCAGGGCAAAAUCCUAACAAUUUGCUCAAAAAAAAGAAAAAGAAAAAGGAAAACAGAGAGAUUACAUAGUACCACACAUAGCAAGGCAGCAAGGCUAAUAUGACGCAAACAAGGGCGACCAUAGUAGACAAGUAUGGUGCACGCGAUCUCAUGAUUUUUUUUUUUGUAAAACUACGUAUUAAAUGAAUAUAUGUUUUAGAAUUGAUCUAAUUUUACUUUUUAUCCAUGCUACUAAAAAUAAGAAGUUCAAGUCAUAAUCAUCUAAGUUUUGAGUUGGUAAGAAUCACUGAUUAGUUAAAUAGAAAUUUUCUUGAUAAAAGAGUGUUGUAACACCCCAGAAAUUUUUUUGAACUGAGACUCGAACCAUCCUUCGUUGUGAAUAGGAUUUUAUCGAGGAAAUUAAAAAUUUCUUAAGUAUUAAGGUCAGGUCACUAGAUGUAGCACCUUGAGUUCCAAAAGAACAAAAUUAGAAAUAGCAAAAUCUGAAAUUUUGUAAGUUAUGCUUAAGUUACGAGUUUUGGGUCAACUUCAAAUGGCCAUAACUCUCAGUACAGGAUAAGCUACCAGAUACCGUAGGAAAGAUCAUUGAAUAUAUUUUCAACGCCACCGAGUUGGCUCAGUUUUGAGUUCGUAUGAGGGAGAUAUGUCCAUUCGCAAUUGGUUGUCUAGAUAAGAAAAGUUAAAACCGGAUUUUAGAGGGGUAUUUUGGUCAUUUCUUUACCCAAUCGGAUUUAAUUCAUUUUUAAGUAAUGUUUUAGGGGUAUAAUCUGAUUAGGUUUAGUUUUAUAAUCCUAAUAUACGCCUAGGGUUUUAGUUGAGAGUUCAAGAAGAGAAAAGAAGAGAAAAGAGGAGAAAGGAGGAGAGAAUCAAGCGUUCGUCGAGAGUCUAGAAUUUUGUUGCGGAUUUUCUCCAUGAGUUCAAUCCCUAAGAGGUAUGUAAGCUUUCAUAGUGUUGGGUUUGUUCACCCACACGCCAAACAUGUUAUUUCAGUGUAAUUUCACUCUCAAAAGUUGAAGGAUUUAAGUUCUUGAUAGGUGUUCUUGAAGUUCAUUCUAAAUCUUGUUUUGUUGGGGUUUUGAUGAUUUCUUGAGAUGAAAGUGAUUGUUUUGAGUGGAUUAGUGUGUACUUAGAUUGGGUAAUUGAAUCUAAGGAAAACUUGAGUAAAGAAAUAGAUUAAAAGCAAUUUAGGAUCAGAAAACGAGAGGCGAAAUUCGUCAAACUUGGCCUGGGGAGAGGCUGGGGCGGCGCGUCCCAGAUGUGCCCAAGGGUCUGGGGCGGCGCCCCUGCAGUGCGCCCAUAUGCAGCCUCUGAAGUUUGGGGAUGGCGCUCCGCGCCAGGAUCGCCUGAACCCACUCAUUUUCCGUCGGUUGUCCCGUUUGAGUCCUUUUUAAGUGUACCUUAACUCCCUUUGAUUUUAAUCACUCUAAACUAAUUAUAAACACUUAGAAAUCAUUCAUAACAUGAAUCAUAACCUUGAAUUAAUAAUUCAAAUUCAAGGUAAAGUUAAGAGUUAAGUUUUGAGAGUUCUUCUGAACCUUUUGAAAGAGUCCCUUUGAGUCCUUUUGUGGAGUCUUCUACAACUUCUAGUAACUUGUUCAAGACUCAAGCAAGAGCAAGUGAGUAUGAGAAUGAUGAGAAUGUAUUCAUGAGUCUACUUUGUCUUCACGAGAUCCUUCAUAUCAUGAACCAUAACUCGUGAAUUCAUAAUUCACAUUCAAGAGAGUCAAGAGUAGAGUUCAAGAAAGCCUUUGAGUUCAAUUGUGAAUCCUUUGAUAUCAACUAUUGAUUUGAACUAAAUUUUUAGGAAGUAAGUAAGAGAAUGAGAAGAUUCAUAUACAUGAGUUCCAUGUAGUUAUGUAGACCUUCGAGUCGAGUCGUUAAUGCCCAUAAAUUUCGCAUGGACUCCAUAAAUUGAGUAUCAUUGAGAGAAGUAGUAUCUUCAAGUUCUAAGUCUUGAGUAUUGAGUUCCUAAUCCCCUUUGAGAUAUAUUUCUAAUAAUGGUACUAUUACAUAUAACCCAUUAAGUCCUUGAGUUGAAUUGUUCAUGCCCAUAAUUCCGCAUGAACCCUAGUCGAACAAUCUUGAGAUGAGAAGUAUCUUUGAGUCCUUGAGUUGAGUAGUUCAAGCUCAUAAUUCCGCAUGAACCCUCUGAGUUGAGCAUUUUUUAAAAGAGUAGUACUAUCAUUGAAGUUCUUGAGUUCCAAUUAUUGAGUUCAAUCUAUGGUUAUUGAAAACCUUGUAUUGAGUCGUUCACGUCCAUAAUUCGACAUGAACCAUAUUUUAAGAAGUAUUUUACAAAUGAUUUAAACUUGUCUUAAGACUUGAGCAUUGAGUUGAGUAAGAGUAAAAGUGAUGUUCAAUUUCUUCAAAAGAUUAUACGGGAACUAAGUAUUUCCAAAGAGAAAAUGUUUUCACAUUUAAACAAGAAAAGGAAACCUUGAUAGCCUUUAAGCUAGUUUUCAGAAAAGAGUAAAUGCUUUCACAAUCAAGCGAGAGAGGAAACUUUGAUUUCCAAGAUAACCUUUGAGCUAAGUUUUUGAGCAAUUAUCUCAAUUCAUAGAAAGACGUAUGUUUUUUUAAACAUAAGAGCUAGUAUCAUAUUUUGGGAGUAGUAUUGAGCACCGACUUGGGGGAGAGUUCAGACAACUCACAUCCCCCAUAAACUAUGUAGCCACCAUAGGUAGAAAAGGCUCAUACUUUUUAGAUGAUUCUUUAGUGCUUUUUAGCAUAGACUAGUGGAUCCACUUAGUAGUCAGGUUCUAUACCCUUGACAAGGUAUAUGACGGCCCUGGCAGCGUGAGACAAAACGUUAUAUCAUCACAAUAGCUCUUAAGUGAUGGUUGUCGGUUAGAGAAACUCUCACAAAGAUAUUUGUAUUUUUAUAUACACAGAGUUUACUUGUAUUUUCAUAUACAAACAGAGUUUAUUGUAUCGUUGCAUACAAACUGAUUAUAUUGUAUUCUUAAAAACAUUGAAUUGUUUUCUAUUGUUUUAAAAGCUUUCCAUAUAUUACAUCUCUUAUUGUUGCUUUAUAUUGAGUUGAGGAUCCAAAGCUGAGUAUCCAGAGUUUGAGUACCAAGAGUCGAGUGUCUUAUUAUUGAGUUAAGCCUUAUUUCACUGAGUUGAAUAUUUUAUCUUUUGAUUUGAGUAUCUUAUUCUUUAGUUGAGUUGAGUGAGUUUAGAAGAGGUAAGUAUGUUUCCUUUUUAUCAAGUUCAAGCUUAUGUUUAUGUUUAGAAUUCCCCUUACAUGCUCGUACAUUCCAUGUACUGAGCCAUUUGGCAUGCAUCCUUUCAUGAUGCAGAUUCAGGUAUUCGGGAUCAUCAACAAGAGCUUCGUUGAUAGCACAUGGAGUUCGAGUUAGCUAUGGUGAGCCUCCUUGCUUCCGAAGGAUUUCAUUUACUUUUCAGUUACAUUAGUUAUUAGGAUGUCAUGGGUAUUGUCCCGACUUCCACCCUUGUCAGUUGGAGGCUUCAUAGAUAGACAGUAGAGUUUCAGAAGUCUGUUCAUUUAUUUUGUUAAAUGUUUUAAAGACUUAAGUUGUCCAUUUUGGGGCGAGUUGAAUAUAUUAUAUUAUUCAGAGUUUUCUUUUGAGUUAAAGCUUUAUAUUUAAGUUUUCAUGAAUUGUAUUCUGUUUUAAGCUUUGUAUGCUUAAGUUAGUCUUCCGCUUGUAGUCAGCCAGGAUGAGGGUUCGAUUGGGAACCAACAAUGGUUCUCGAGUGCCGGCCAUGUCCAGGGUGUAGACUCGGGUCGUAACAAGUGUUUACAACUUAUUAAACCUCAUAGGUUUGAAAUCCAUGAAUCAAAUAAGAAUAAGAAGUCUAGGACCCAAUGGCAAUAUGUAACUUGUAAGUUUUGAAAGACAUUUUAUUAGAAAGAAAUUUACGUUGUUUCUCUAUUUGUGUUUUGUUGGAUGUUUGGUGGAAAAAUGUAGAUCAUCUCCUAUUGCAUUGUCUCUUUAGUUGAUUUAUAACACAAUGAGUGAUUCAACAUAUAUUUAUAUUUUUGAAUUAGAAAUAUUAAUAUACACUUGUAGAUAAAACUCCCAACAACAUAGAAAUAUGUUAAAUCUGAUUUACUUAUAUGCAACAAAUAUUAUAUCUCACGGGUAGAAGGAACAGGAAAACCACAUGUUUUUGUUAUUGGGUUGACUAAACGGGAUACAGGAAAAUCAUGUCUUUGAAUUGCAUAACAAAGAGUGUACUGAUAUUUUAUACUUUAUAAUAUCAUCACACGAAUUUUAUACGGAAGAUGUGUGUCUUUUGUUGUCAAUUUUUUUGCAAUGAUACAAAAGUGGGUAGCGAAGUCAGAUCAAAGAUUCGACUUUGAUGAAUUCUUUUCAAUUCUUCGUCAAGAGACGAUUUAGAGUUUUCGGUAAACCUUUCUCUUUCGCCAAGAGUCUCCAGCAAAAUGGGCAAUUAUUAGUCUAUCAGGAGUCCAAGUAUAUCUCGAAUUGGUUAUGGUUUAUUGCAAGUACUUUUGGUUUUUACGUUUCUUUUCUGAUUUUUGUGGUGUUUGAAAAAGAUCAAAAAAUAUUUUAAACACUUAUUUUUAGACCAAAAAAAAGUAUAAAAAUAAGCUAAAGGCCAAAAGUUGGUAUUCCCAACUUAUGACUUUUAGCUUUUAGCUUAUAAGAUACUUUUAAAAAGUUAAUCCAAACACCCUCUUAAACUUUUAAAUUAAUUUUAAUUAAUAAGAUGUUAGCUAUUUGUUUAUAAUAUAUUAUCUUGAUAUGGUUGUAAAAACUUUAUUUAUCAAUAUGAAUAUUUGAAUUGCUUAUUUCAAAAUUCUACAAUAUUUUUGAUAAAAAGUAAAAUAGGUUCUCUUUCUUUAUUUUUUAAUUUAAAUUUUGAGUUUCUUUUCUUACAAAAAGGUACAAAAUUUAUAUAAAAUAGAAUAAAAAGGCAACUUUAAAUUAUUAUUAUUAUAUUUAUGUGUAUAUAUGUACAGGUAUCUGGGCACGUUUGUUGGACGUGUAUUCCAUAUUAAUUCUUAUAUAUUCAUAUUAUUUAAAAAUAACAAACUUUUAUAUUAUACAUAAUUCAAUAACAGUUUCGUAAAUUAAAAAAAUAUCAAUAUACAGCUAAAGAUAAAAUCCCUCAUGUUCCUAAUCUCCUAGCACCUUUGUAAAUGAUAUCUCUUCGUGUAAUUUCAUCUCCAAAUAUAUUGUUUGCCACAUUUGUAUCAUUUCUCAAUAUUUUAACAAUCAAAAAGAAAAUAAUAUAAGAAGAUACAUUUAAAGAAAGUUUAUAGAAGGAAAAGGAAAGUACAUUGAAUUAAAUAUAAAAGCGAGAGAAGAGGAAUAGCAAAUUGGAUAUCAUAUCAAUUGUUCUAAUGGUUCAUAAUAAUGGUUUAAAUUUCACAAUGUCAUUAUAAGUUGUUCAAAGUUAUAAAUGAAUAAAAUUAUUAAUGAUAAAAAUAGUGUAGUAGAGAAAGAAAUCAAGUGUGUGAGGCAUCUGAAAAUAAGUAAAUUCAUUAUAUAGAGCCAAUAUAUCUUAUAUCAUACUCUUUCUAAUAUGAUUUCUUUUUACACCUUUAAAAUUACUUAUUUUCUCUUUUUGCAUUUUCUUCUCUUCUGAAGUUGAUUUGCAAUCAAUCUCUGAAGGGCGAUAUCCAUAUUUGUAAGUUGACUCCUAAAUAGUACUCCCUCUGUCCCUAAUUACUUGUCCACUUUUCUUUUUAUAGUUGUCCCUAAUUACUUAUCCAUUUUGACAAAUCAAGAAAGGACAAUUUUUUUUACCUAUUAUACCCUCAAUUAAAUGACUAAUUACUUUGAAAAAUGUAGAACUUUUCAUUCACUUCAUAAUUAAUAGAGGUAAAAUGGUAAACUCAUUAUGUCAUUAAUUGAUUUCUUAAUAUGUGUGUCAAUUCAAAAAUGGACAAGUAAUUAGGGACAGAGGGUGUAACAGUGAAGAAAUGUAUUUUUCUCAUCACUCUUCUUUUAAAUUUCAAAACUAAAGUAAAGACAAAUAAUGAGGUAGAAAUUACUUACUAUUGAGGAUCGUACAUAUUAAGACUCAAAAAAAGAAAAAGCAACUAAAAAAAUUGGUCUUGUUGGUUUUGGACUCUGAGGGUCGAGAGCCUAUAAAUUAUAUAAACUCGUAAAUUCUAUCAAAAGCUUCAAUCUAAAUCCCCCUCUCUCCAUGCCUUGAGAAUUCUUUUUUCUUUUCUCCCCAAUUAUUUUCUUUCACAAUCCACAUACUUUAGAUUUUGUAUCCAACUUAUAAUUGUUGUGAGCUUUUAUAAGGUGUAGUAAAAAUGAGAAGUCUUUACUUAAGUAUUACUUAUUAACAAUGGAAUCUCAAAGGAUCAAAACAGAUCAUAAUUACAACAUGCACUAAUUAUUUGGCAGAUGAAACAAUUCUUCCGAUUAUUACUCAAUUCAAUACAAGUGAUCAGAUUAUAUUUAACAUAAAGCUUUGUUAUUAAUUUCAAGCUCUUCAAAUUCUUUAUGUUUUUAUCAUCUAAUAUUUAAUUAAUUAAAUAAAUAAUUUAUAACAUUUUAAUUUAGAAUAGGGGUAAAAUGGUAACCAAACAUAUAUAUAUAUAUAUAUAUAUAUAUAUAUUCUAUAUAUAAUAAGCCACAAUGCAAAGAUUUUUAUAGUAUUUAGUUACAUUGUAACUAUCUUGUUAGCUUUCAANNNNNNNNNNNNNNNNNNNNNNNNNNNNNNNNNNNNNNNNNNNNNNNNNNNNNNNNNNNNNNNNNNNNNNNNNNNNNNNNNNNNNNNNNNNNNNNNNNNNNNNNNNNNNNNNNNNNNNNNNNNNNNNNNNNNNNNNNNNNNNNNNNNNNNNNNNNNNNNNNNNNNNNNNNNNNNNNNNNNNNNNNNNNNNNNNNNNNNNNNNNNNNNNNNNNNNNNNNNNNNNNNNNNNNNNNNNNNNNNNNNNNNNNNNNNNNNNNNNNNNNNNNNNNNNNNNNNNNNNNNNNNNNNNNNNNNNNNNNNNNNNNNNNNNNNNNNNNNNNNNNNNNNNNNNNNNNNNNNNNNNNNNNNNNNNNNNNNNNNNNNNNNNNNNNNNNNNNNNNNNNNNNNNNNNNNNNNNNNNNNNNNNNNNNNNNNNNNNNNNNNNNNNNNNNNNNNNNNNNNNNNNNNNNNNNNNNNNNNNNNNNNNNNNNNNNNNNNNNNNNNNNNNNNNNNNNNNNNNNNNNNNNNNNNNNNNNNNNNNNNNNNNNNNNNNNNNNNNNNNNNNNNNNNNNNNNNNNNNNNNNNNNNNNNNNNNNNNNNNNNNNNNNNNNNNNNNNNNNNNNNNNNNNNNNNNNNNNNNNNNNNNNNNNNNNNNNNNNNNNNNNNNNNNNNNNNNNNNNNNNNNNNNNNNNNNNNNNNNNNNNNNNNNNNNNNNNNNNNNNNNNNNNNNNNNNNNNNNNNNNNNNNNNNNNNNNNNNNNNNNNNNNNNNNNNNNNNNNNNNNNNNNNNNNNNNNNNNNNNNNNNNNNNNNNNNNNNNNNNNNNNNNNNNNNNNNNNNNNNNNNNNNNNNNNNNNNNNNNNNNNNNNNNNNNNNNNNNNNNNNNNNNNNNNNNNNNNNNNNNNNNNNNNNNNNNNNNNNNNNNNNNNNNNNNNNNNNNNNNNNNNNNNNNNNNNNNNNNNNNNNNNNNNNNNNNNNNNNNNNNNNNNNNNNNNNNNNNNNNNNNNNNNNNNNNNNNNNNNNNNNNNNNNNNNNNNNNNNNNNNNNNNNNNNNNNNNNNNNNNNNNNNNNNNNNNNNNNNNNNNNNNNNNNNNNNNNNNNNNNNNNNNNNNNNNNNNNNNNNNNNNNNNNNNNNNNNNNNNNNNNNNNNNNNNNNNNNNNNNNNNNNNNNNNNNNNNNNNNNNNNNNNNNNNNNNNNNNNNNNNNNNNNNNNNNNNNNNNNNNNNNNNNNNNNNNNNNNNNNNNNNNNNNNNNNNNNNNNNNNNNNNNNNNNNNNNNNNNNNNNNNNNNNNNNNNNNNNNNNNNNNNNNNNNNNNNNNNNNNNNNNNNNNNNNNNNNNNNNNNNNNNNNNNNNNNNNNNNNNNNNNNNNNNNNNNNNNNNNNNNNNNNNNNNNNNNNNNNNNNNNNNNNNNNNNNNNNNNNNNNNNNNNNNNNNNNNNNNNNNNNNNNNNNNNNNNNNNNNNNNNNNNNNNNNNNNNNNNNNNNNNNNNNNNNNNNNNNNNNNNNNNNNNNNNNNNNNNNNNNNNNNNNNNNNNNNNNNNNNNNNNNNNNNNNNNNNNNNNNNNNNNNNNNNNNNNNNNNNNNNNNNNNNNNNNNNNUUCAACGCAUUAUGGCCAUUUAGAUCUCUAAAAUCCGCACCAACAAGGGAAAAUCGUUGAAUCUUUUAAUUUGCCUAUAUUGUUCGCGGCGCACACAAUUUUAAAAUAUUAUAUAAGAGUGAAAAUUAUUUUCGCUUUUCAACUUUGCUGUAAAAAUUAAACCCCCUUUCAAUUUUAAACAAUAAUCGAACUCCUCCCUUUAUUCUAAUUAAUAUUUUUUAAAUACCUAUUAUACCCUUUCAUUAUCAACUCUUUUUUACUUCUUUAAAAAUCAUGACUUGUUUUUUUGAAUUCAUGUAGCAAUUUUUUCAUAAUAGCAUAAAUAUUUUUUUUUGGAUGAAAAAGUGAGAAAUAUUGAUUAAGUAUAUGAGCUAAUGAUGUUUUAAAAUGAAGUGAAUUAGCAUUAUGAAAAAAAUAUUUUUAUUAAUAAUAAUCAAACUCUAAUAUUUAUUUACACAAGUAAAGAUAACAAAGAAUAAUAACUAAAACAAAUAUAUUUCGAUGUGAUGAUAUAAAAUAAUAAAUUUAUUAAUUUAAGGUCAAAUUUGUAAAGAUAGUAUUUUUUAAAAUGUAAAUUAUUUUAAACUAAAAUCUAUAUAAUACUCCAUUUAUAUCAAUCAAAACUUGUUUAUUUAUAUAGACAAUAGAGAAUUCCCUGGACGGUUAGACUAUUUGACCCCAUUCUAAAAAUAGUUGUUUUGAUUUACUUGUCCAAUUAAUGUACCCUUAAUAUUAAAUAACUGCAUAAAAUAGUAGUAGUUAAAUUCAAAGUUUCAAAGCAUUAUUGAAAAUAUUAAUUUAGUAAAAUACACCUCUAAUUAAAAAAAAAUUAAGGGGUGUCAUAUCAGGAAGGGAUCAAGUAAUAUAAAACGCACGAAGCAGAGAGUGAAAAAAGACAAAAAUAUACGCAUACAUACAUAUAUACAUGAUGUUGUGGCAUUUUAAUAUUAUUAUAUCUUUUAAUAUUAUUAUACUUUGCAAAUGCCAUUUGCUUUCUGCCUAAUAACACAUUAGUUGGGUUACUACCGUUUGGCAGUUGAUGACAUUUGAUGUCAUCUUUAUUAUCAUGUGUCAAACGUAUAGUGAAUGUGUAAUGGUACUUGUCCAUUGGGUUUCUUGGCAGAAUGAGUAGUGGUCAACUAUGACCAUUACUUCUCCAUUAUCUCACUCUUUAUUCCUUCAUUAUUCUUUGUAACCUAUGUAACAUAUGUAACCUCUAGGUCAUUUAUCUUCACUAUUUACUAUACCAUUAUCUUCCUAUUCAUUGCUAGGAAGACUUCUUCUAGUAUAAAUAGUGGUGGUCUUCAUUUGGUUUGAUAUACACAAUAUACAACACACAAGAAAAAUAUAGAGUGAAAGAAUUAGUCAAAAAAGAGAGUUCUUAUUAGUUGAAGGGAGGUGUUCUUUUUUUGUGGAGCUUUGGACUCAACUCUUGUCCAGAGUUGUUGAGUUAUACUUUGUGAAGGUUGUUGUAUCCUGGAGGGGACAAGUCAAGAGGACUAUUGCUGGACCAGUGAAAACAUUUGCUGCAGUGGGAUUGAGUCUCCUUAAAGAGAGCGAGAUAUCCGCGCCUCAGCCUGAAGAGAUUUAUUUCUUCAUUUUUAUUUUCAAUUGUAAUCUUGCAAUUUUAUUAUCUUGUAAUUUUUCACCAACACAUGCUUAAUGCAUAGUAUGUUGAUAAUAACAUUCAUAAAAAUAAUAUUAAAUUUUGUGACAAAUUCAUAAAAAUAUUAUUCACUUAUAAUGUUAAUGAACUUAAAGAAAAAGUUAUAAAUACCUAGGUUAAAAAUAAAUUAUACAUAAUAUAAAGAGGCAGUACCGGAUCCAGAAUUGUUUUAAAUGGGUGUCGAUGAUUGUAGCAAAAAAAAUUAUAGUAAAAAAACUAAUUUUGAGGCUAAUAAAACUCAUUAAGGAGCGCCAAUAACUGUAGCAAAAAAAAUUGUAGUAAAAAACUAAAUUUUGAGACUAAUAGGACUUAUUCAGGGGUGUCAACUGUCAAUGAUUGUAGAAAAAAAAAAUUGUAGUAAUAAAUAAAAUUUUGAAGCUAGUAAGAGUGAAAGACUGCGACACAUGACCUUAAGGAAUUUUCACAACAUCUUAAUUACUAGACUAAGCAUUUAACUUGUGUAAAGAGAUGUCAAUAAUUCUUAAUACACAUCAGCUUACUCUAAGCCUAUAGGACAAUUGAUGACGUCCGCCACUACACCGGUCAGAAUUUUCAAUUAGGGAGUUCAAAAUCAGAAGAAAUAGACACACGAAGUAGCCGGAUGGAGUUCGACAUCUACUAUAUAUACCUAAAAAAAAAUUUUAAUCAUGUAUAAAUAAUAUAAUUUUCCGCCAAAGGGGUUCAGUUAGUGGCUCCGCCACCGGCUACACCGGCCAUUAGGAGAAAAAAUGAGAAUGUGGGCCCAUCCUCAUAUUAUCCACGUCAUUAGUCAAGAUGACUUCAUUAAUUAUUUAAUUCUACACCAUAUAAUUCCACGUGAUUUUCCUAUUUUCCCUACUAAAUAAAUAUUAAAAAGUCAAUAUUAGCCCCAAAACCCAUUCAUUUUUACCGGCCUAUCCUAUAAGCUUGAGGUGGCAUCCUUAAUUUUUCCAACUUUUUUAUUUGUAUCGGAGCUCGGAACUCACUAAACUGAUAAUUUUAAGGGAAAUACAUUCUAAUGUUGACAUCAAAUCAUGUAAAUUUAUUAUAAUUAAGUAAUUUAAUGUGGUGAGAAUGCAUGCUAAUUAGUACUAUGUGUUAAGAAUUUAUGUAUAAAAUACAUAUCGUUUAUUAUUUUUAGCUCCCAAUACUAAACAAAACUUUAUUUCAUUCGAUUUGGACUCGGAAUAUCUAAAACAAAUUAAGUUUUUUAUUUAUCUUUUUUUUCAGAGAACUCAUUUCAUUGUUUCAUUAAUGACUCGAAUUCAUGUUUUUAGUGGAGGUAAAGGGUGUUUAUCAACUGAGAUAAAGUAUCUAAAUUUUAACUAAUUUUAGAUGAGUAAAUUUUACCGCAAAAAAAAUAUCAAUUAUUUCAUAUCUGAAUACACAAUCAAAAUUAAAAGAUUUGACCUUUCAAAAUUCAUUUGUGUCUCGUAAACUAAAAAAGCAAAUAAUAUUUAAGUAGUUACGGUUCCUCAUGAAUAAACUAUAUGAAUAAAUUAUAUACGGAGUUCAAUAUUUUUCAAAAACGGCACAUUUCAUUACAAUAACAACAUAUUCAAUAUAGUUCUUCGUAUAAAAUGUGAUUUGAAAAUAAUAAAAUGUACGUAGACCUUACCCUGCUACGGAGGUAGAGAGGUAACGACACAAUUGCUCAUCAUUGCUUAGAAAAACUUACCUAAUUAACAUUUAAAAAUUAUUAUAGUUAACUAAUUAAUUGUCCACUCAUCUGUUCCAAUUGACUGGACAGAUUUUAGUUAUAAUAUGUUAGUGAAAAAUUACAAAAUAACAAAAUUACAAGAUUACAAUUGAAAAUAAAAAUGAAGAAAUAAAUCUCUUCAGACUAAGGCGUGGAUAUGUCGCUCUCUUUAAGGAGAUUCAAACCCACUGAAGCAAAUGUUUUUCACCGGUCCAGUAGUAGUCCUCUUGACUUGUCCCCUCCAGGAUACAACAGCCUAAUCACAAGGUGUAACUCAACAAACUCUGGACAAGAGUUGAGUCCAAAGCUCCACAAAAAGAACACCUCCCUUCAACUAAUAAAAACUCUCUUUUUGGACAAACUUUAUGCACUCUGAUCUAUAUUUUUCUUGUGUAUCAACCAAAUGAAGACCACCACUAUUUAUAGUUGCGGAUGUCUUCCUAGCAAUGAAUAGGAAGAUAAUGGGGUAGUAAAUAGUGAAGAUAAAUGGUAUUAGAAGUUAUAUAGGUUAUAAGGUAUAAUGGAGGAAUAAAGAAAGAGAUAACGAAGGUUGAAUGAAAAAGAAUUAGUGGUCAUGGUUGGCCACCUUCUGCCACUAACAGUAACCUCCAAUGACCAACGUUUUGUAACCAUCAAAUAAAGGGUAAUAAUGCCUAAAGACAUUGAUUGACACAAGUGAGUAAUUAGGCAGUAAUGCCUAAGGUUGCAGCAAUGAAAUAGAGAUUUCUGCAACAAAUAAAAAACAAUUGUUAAUGUAUUGUCAAAGGUGCAAAUUAAUAUAUUAUUAAAAUGCUUACACUAACAUAAUAUUAACUAACUCAAUAUGCCAUAGUAGGUUGGAUUGAUUAAUAUUCACUAACGAUGUAAAAGUAUCCGUACUAGUAUUAUAUUUUGUUUAAAGGUUAUUUGUGAGUAAUUUUUUUUAAACCUUGAUUACAAAUAAGACAAAUCAUAUAUUAUAACAUUAAUAUAAUUGGAUUGUGUAAAAAAUAUUUAUAUCGUUUGUGAAUAUAUAUUACUUAAAUUCUAAGUAAUUUAUUUUUCCAUAUUACAUUAGAAGAGAAAAAGGGAAUACGAAAAAGGAGAUACUAUUCAAUAGGUUAUUUGAACCCUUUACUUCAAUAGUAGAAGGGAAAAUUAUAUAAAAUAGUAAACUAUUAAUUCAAAUUAAAUAUUAUAAUUACAGUUUCAUUUAAUUGUAAUUCGUAGCAAACACUUGUCAUUCGCCUCUCUUCCCAGAGAAUUUCGCUUGUCGCUCUCCCAGUUCUCGCUCGUCACUCUCCCUCGCCUCUCUUACUUUAUACAAACACAAAUCUAUAAAUUGUGUUUGUGUUUGUAUAAAGCGAGAGAAAACUGUAUAUACAAAUACAAAUACAUAUAUUUUCGUCAUAUACACUUAUAAUUAUACAAGUACAGCUAUUUCCCUACCAGUUCUCUUUUGUCUUUCUCUCUUUCUCGCUUUAUACAAAUACAAUGUAUAAUUUGUGUUGUAUAAAUAGAGAGAGAGAUUUGAUAUACAAAUAUUUUAUUUCGAUUCAAUUGUAUACAAAUUCAAAUUUUAUGCAGAUAUACAAACACAAUCAGGGAUACAUAUACAUAGUAGUUACAUAUACAAUUAUCUAACCGAUAUAUAUAUAUAUAUAUAUAUAUACACACAAUCGUUGCGCUUUUAUACAAACAAGAGGCCUGUCAGCGAUUUAUACAAAUCUGAUGCUCCUUCCAGCGAUUUAUACAAAUCCGAUGCUUCAUAGCAAACAUAAAGUUAGCUAUGAAGCACAAUGAUGCAAACUAUAGUUAUAGCAUACAAAUAUGAUUUUUAUGUUUGGUAAACCUAAAAUUUACUCGUGGUAGAAUGUAUAGAGCUUGCCAAGUAAGUUGGUCUUCGAUUUCCACCAUAAAUGUUGAUUGGAAGAACUUGUAAUGAUUAAAAUGAGUGGUACUCCGACAAAUAUAAGUUAUUCUAUUUCUUUAGUAUCUUUGAUUUUUGGUUACUUCUCUAUGCUUGUUUCUUCAUUAUUUUUCUUUGUGAUCUUUUUGACUAAUCUAUUGCCUCUGUAAAGUCGAGGAAGCAUAUUUAGAUCAGGAUGAAAUCUUUAUAUUUGCAUUGAAACAUUGUAAAAGAAAUCUAGUAUAGGUAGGAAUUGAGAUAAAUUGAGAAGCCUUCAGUUCUUGAUUAAUUGAGAUGAAUUGGCAGCUUGACUCCCUUCACAUUGCUUUGUUCUUCUAGCUUCUUCAGCAUAAAAAUUGCUUGUGAGCCAUAUAUGAUAUAUUGAAUUUGACCACUUCUUCACUUGGCAGUAAGCUUAGAAAUCACUUUUUGUAGUUAAAUAGAACCAGAAUAUUUCAUUACUUGUCUAGAGUAAUCAUUCAUGUGCAGCUAUAAAUAUAAACAGUGUGUGGUAUGUAAUUGCAAUACGUGGAUUGGCCAAGAUUCUAAAACUUCUUUUUAAUUGGUUUUAGUAAGGAGGUUGUGAUUUCCAAGUCGUACAUAGGGCCGUCUUAACCCCUAGGUCACUAAAGCCAUCGCUUUGGGCCCCAUAUAUUUUGGUCAAAUUCAUGUGCAGCUAUAAAUAUAAAUAGUGUGAUUGCUCGUUGUCUUGGUGUUCCUGAGCAUAGUAUCCGUGUAAUAACAAGAAGGGCUGGAGGUGGCUUCAGUGAAUUUUUUUUUGUAAGGUCCAUUUGCUCAAGUCGAGAAGGGAAAGUUGUUGAAUCUUUCAGUGGUAUAUAUUCUUAUGUUGGAUUGAACAUCAGGACUAUGGAUGUAAUAUAAUAGCUUGUAUUGUUGAGACUUUAGGUCCUUAAUUUUUGCUAAAAUGGAGCACUUUUGGUCUCCCUAACAUUUUACUUCGCAUUAUAGUUUUCAAUUUGUGAAUAUCUAUCUUGAAUAAUAGCUAUUGAGAAGUUUGACCUCUUCUCUUUCUUUUAUCAUUGGCUAUAUAGUUUUUGAGGAAAAUUUGUUGUCACAUGGUGAUACAUAAAAAAAAAAAAAAGUAAUCAUAAAUGGUCAAAAUCAAGACUUGAGAAAACUCAAUCAAUCGAGAGUAUUUUAGUGGAAUGACUUAACCUACUCUCCAUAUGAGACCGGAAAGGAAGCUAGCGAACCUAGGAUUAAUGGCAAAAGGGAAAAGAAUGAUGUUUGAUGUGAAUGGAAGCACACAUUUCGCUUAGAAAGCAUGACUUUCAAUGUAUAGAAGGAAUUUUCUCAAAUUCUUUUUCGUUCACCUGCGUUUUAUAUUAAAUUAUUUCAAAAGAUAUGGAUGGCUUCAUUAACUCUAACUCAAUUAAAAGUAGAUCAACACAAAUCAAGAUUGAUAUUCCCUUCGUUUCAAUUUAUAUGUCACAGUUUUUUAUUUCACGUGCAUUAAGAAAUUUAGUAAUUUUACUAUUCUAUCCUUAUUUAAUUUUUUUUGAAGUCAACUUUUCAAUCAAUGAAUAUGAAUUAAUUUAUUUUGAUUAAUUAAUUUGACCAAUGAACAUGAAUUAUUCACUUUCUUUUUCUAUGUUGGUCAAAUGUAUAUAUUUUCAAGGCUAAUAACUCACAAGGGUAAAAUAGGAAGAAUAUUAUAAUUUAUGCAUUAAUUUUAUGAAAUGAAAAGUAUUAUGGACCAACUAUUUAUAGUAAGGACUAAUGAUGACAUAUAAAAAGGAAUGAAGAAAGUAUAGCAAAUCAGAAAAUAAAAAGAAAUUAAUCAACUAUAUAACAAGCAAUCUACCACGGUAAUGGCCCGAUACAAACCAAAAUCAAUAUUUCCUUCUUUUCUGCUAAUCAUGUUUUCCUUUCGUUAAAACAAAUUGAGAGAAACAAAGUAAUCAUACAUAAUCACUAGGCAUAUGUUUUUCUCUAUUUAGAUGCAAGCAAGGCUCUUGAUGUCAAGUGUUGAAAAACUAUAUCCACAGCAAAAGUAUACCAAAAUCAUGAUGCUUACCUGAAUAAUAGACAACACAUAUGUUUACAAGAACACAUUAACUUUCUAAAAUUUAAUUGUGAGCAAAUACCUUCAAGCGAAUCCACAAGUUAGACGUAACUCUCUCAAUACUUGGGUCGAAAAUAUGUAUAGCAAAAUGAUUGUCUUUCUAGAUUAGAAGAACCCCUAUUUAUAGAGAUUUCUUUCCCGUCCAAAAGGGAGAAGAAAACAACAUUUCUCUUGAAAAUCAAGAAAACACACGUUACUCCUCCCCUUUUCUCUUAGAAAUAGGAUUAUGAGUUCUAGUUAAAUAUGUGCAUUGUAGGGAGUACAUAAUUGAUCAUUUGGGAAGUGAAAAGUUUCGAAGGUUUCUCUGUUCAAGUCGAGAAGCGAAAGUUGUUGAACUAUGUAUGUAAUAGCUGUUAAGAUUUUGCCCUGAUUUUCUUACCAUAUUUGAGUUUUAAUUCUUCCUUUAAAGAAAGUCAAAGUAUUACCAUAAAUGCUUGAACUUUUUCGGAAAGGAAAAUAUAAUUCUCUUCCAUAUUUGAUUUAUUCUUUUUUUAGAGGAAAAGUUUGGAGAUCUAUAAAUUGAAGAUCACUAUUCUCAUAGCAUAACACAAUAGAAUCCACAAUGUAAUCGUUUAAGAGUCUUGUUUAUGGGGAGAUUUUCUCCUAACCAUAUUUAUGCUUUUUCAAUAUUAGUUUUAUAAUAUGUAGGUUGCUUGGUCAAACUAUAUUAAUAAUAUGUCUUUAGUAUACUUUUAUUUGUCGUCUAAUUUAUCAACAUAUGAUUUGCAAUUGUAAGCUUCAGCAUGAUGCCCCAAUCACCUUCAUAACCCAAUAAGUGGUAUCAAAGCCAAUGGUUCAAUGAUCCAGGUUCAUCGAGGUUGAAGACAAGUUCAAAGCGGUAUCAAAUCAAUUUGCAACCAAUUUGAUGAUAAAGAAGAUUUUUAUUCAGCUACAUGUGGAGAAGAGAUUUAAACCAUAUUUUCAACAUUCCUGCUGCGGCAUCUUUGAAAAUAAAAAUAAAAUAUUUUAAAACCAUUUUAACACAUAUAUUUUAAACUUUAUUUUUAACCAUGGCAAGCAGCAGUGAUGAAGACUAUGUGAAGAGCGAAGAUAUCCUGCAUGUGAAGAAGACGGAUCGAGUUUUGUCAAGAAAAUCUAGCCAAAAGGGGAGAUUUGUUAGGGUUUUGCCCUGAUUUUCAUACCACAUUUGAGUUUUAAUUCUUCCUUAAAAGAAAGUCAAAAUAUUACCAUAAAUGCUUGAACUUUUUCUGAAAGGAAAAUAUAAUUCUCUUCCAUAUUUGGUUUAUUCUUUUCUUAGAGGAAAAGAUUGGAGAUCUAUAAAUUGAAGAUCCAUAUUCUCAUAGCAUAACACAAUAAAAUCCACAAUGUAGUUGUUUAAGACUCUUGUUUAUGGGAGAUUUUCUCCUAAACAUAUUUAUGUUUUUUCAAUAUUAGUUUUAUAAUAUAUAUAUAGGUCGUUUGGCAAAACUAUAUUAAUAAUAUGUCUUUAGUAUACUUUUAUUUGUCGUCUAAUUUAUCAACAUGUGAUUUGCAAUUGUAAGCUUCCGCAUGACUACUCAAUCACCUUCAUAACCCAACAAUAGCUUGUAUUGUUGACUUUGGGUCCUAGGCUUCCACGACUUUAAAAUGCAUCACUUGGGUCUAAUGUCACUUCUUUUUAUAUCGACAAGCAAUAUCUUACUUGCGUUUUGUGUUGUCAAUGUUGUAUAUGCCCAGGAUGCUACAAUGUUCUUUUUACUUUGGAUACCAAGACAAAAGGCAAAAGACAACACAAUUAUUGGACUUUCUGUAUUGAGAAAUCGGAAUUCCUGGACGCAAAUGGUUAGAGAAAACUAUUGAUGGAAUGUACGUGUCCACUAUAUAUCCAUGGACCAGGUCUCUUGACUCAGCAAGAACAACAACUGAAAUAAAUGCAGAAAGUAAAUAGCUGAAAGUAAAAUCUGCACAAGGAUUUUAUAUGAAAAUCCCCUUGCUCAAGGGCAGUGAAAACUGACAUGGGUGCGACAGUCUUUUUGAAGAGUUAGAGCAACAUAAAAUCAAUAAAAAUAAGUUUUAUUUACCUUAUCAUUAAACGUAUCGCCUGUGAGGGUAAUAACUUCAGCUUUAGCGAUGUAUAUCGAACUCAACAAAAUGAUGCAACACAAUAAGAUACAGGAAAAUGGGUUCAUAUAGCGUUUCAAUGCAGCCCAGAUUUUGAUUUUUUUACUAAAAAUUGCUAUGAAUUUGAAGGAGAUUUGGAUGCCUGAAUCGAAUUUUGGAGACGGUGGGGAAAUUUUGAAAAGGAGGAAAGGGAGAAAGAGUGAAAGAUAAAGGGUGUUUGGGGAUAUUUCUAAAAGUUUAUGGACCAUUUUGUCUUAAAAUGUUUCUUUUGUGGGUGAACUUCAAUUUGAAGUUUGAACCUAUUAUUUGGUGGCGUUUGGCUAUGUUUCGUUUUGUUAUUGAAAAAAAAUAAAUUUUAUGAGUAAAAAUUGAUAUUUGUAAAUUGAAAUUAUGUUUGACCAUGAAGUAAAUUAGAGUCGUUUUUGUUUAAUUUUUGUUGUUGUUUUUGUAUUUUUUUAAAAUUUUAUAGACAAACGUGUUUUUAUGACAAACGUCACCUAGUCACUCUUUUUUUUUCUUGAAAAACUAAGGUAAAUAGUAUUCACCUAAAUUUUAAAUAGACGACAAAUAUAUAAUAUAUGUAUGUCGUUUAGAAAAAGUAAACCAUGAAUCUGACGAGAUAAUUUUAAAAAACCUUUUUUAAGAUACAAGAAUUGUUAUUAGUAUAAUGUAUAACUAACAUAUUAAAUAGUUUAUAACAGUAUAAUUUUUUUUGGCAUUGUUGUGCCACUUUAAAGGUUAUUAAAGAGGGUGAUAGGUAGUUGAUUUUUGAACAUCAUUUAAAUUUUAAAUUAUAUCCGCAACGUACAAGAAUUUGUAAAUUUACAACUAUUAAAUAUGAGUCUGAAGUUGUAAAAAUUUUAUAUGAACUUCAGUCAUUCGAGGGAUUUUUGUGUGAACUUCAAUUUGAAGUUCGGUCCCAUUAUUUUGUGGCGUUUGGUCAUGUUUCAUUCUGAUAUUGAAAAAAAAAAUGUAUUAUGAGUGAAAAUUGAUAUUUGCAAAUGACCACGAAAUAAAUUAGAAUUGUUUUUUUAAUUUUCGUGAGAAAAUAUUUUAUGUUGUUGUUGAAUUAUUUCAAAAUUUUAUGAACAAUCGUGUUUUCAUGGCAAAACGUUACCUAUUUGCUUUUUCUUCUUGACAAACUAAGGUAAUAGUGUUCACCUACAAAUAUAUGAUAUAUGCAUGUCGUUUAGGAAAAGUAAACAACGAAUUUGAUGAGUUAUUUGAAGGGAAAAAAGACCUUUUUUUAAGAUACAAGAAAUGUUAUUAAUAUAAGGUUUGAUUGGUGUAUAAUAAUAUAAUUUUUGUAUGAACUUUGUGAUCAAAUGAAUGACAUUCAAAAAUUUUAAAGAAAUAUAUGACAGAUGUGACUAAAGUUCUUGUGAAUAAUUUCUUUCCCCAAAACAAUUCGACAUAUAAAUUUUUUUCUUUUCUUUUAUGGUAGAUAAAUUCAAAGAGAUUUUACAUGAAAUAAACAACAUACCAUAAAUUAAAAAUUAAUACAAAUUUAUAAUCUUGUUGAAUUAUAAGCUCCUUGUGACAUGAAUGGACAAGUAAGAAUAAUUUAGAAAGCUUCCAUGCAAUAUAAUUUCUCUUUCUCCACAUGAACAUGAUUAUCACCAACAGGACUAGCAAAUUGUAGAAUUCCUUGUCUUGUUCAAAAAUGGACAUUUGUUGUUGGUUCAAGUUAAUAAACACUUCAAUUCCUCUAUUUUGAUCUUGUGUAUUCAUCAAAUAAAUCAUAUUGCUAAAUGGUGUACUUGCUAUGCUUGCUCUUGUAGGUCUCCCCCAUCCAAAAUCCAAAUCUUGGAAUGGAAUGUUACAUACACUACUACAUCGAUACACAUCGUGACAUGAACUCUUCUGACGAUACGAUUGAUCAUUCUCUGUUCCUGUAUUUAUUUUAUUUGCGUAUUCAAGCAUCUCUGAUACCCAUUUGUUUUCUUUGAAAUUGUCUCUGGUGGAAAGCUCGUGUUUAGACUUUCUUAUAUCGGCUACUAAUUUUGGUAACUUAAGGUCUUCUAGGUUCUAUAUUGGUGUAGAGAAGGUGGUGAGAAUGUUCCCGAUUGUGGAUGUUGAUUUUAUUGAUGGUGGAAUUGUUUUUCUUAAUCAGAUACUAAAACCAUUUGAGACGAAGAAUCAUUACCAUUUGAUAUGUUUGCACCAGCAAUUGCUACACACAUUUGUAAACAAUUGCACUAACAACCUCAGUCGUAGUUGGAUUUUGCACUAUUGAUGAUGGAUCAUCAACGAUCAUUGCUUUGAGAGCUCUUAUAUUGGAUUUAGAUAAAAAAAAAAACCUCUUUUCAAAUUCAACACUUUCUUUUGUAUUUGGCUCAACCACAACGGGGAACUUUAGUGGGCCAUCGGGUAGAGAUGGCAUUAAUGAAUCCUGAACAUAAUAUGAAGGAGAUGAUAAUUCGCCAUUUGGAUGUUCUCGGGUUAAUGUAUCCCAAUCCUUCAAAAAUGAGAAGGCACUACGCGCAACACCCACCGUAUGUGACAUGCACACACUUAUUGCCAUUCCUCCACAAUCAAAGUGGCUAAGUUGAGCUAUGCUCAAUCGGCCACCAUCAUUUGCGUGAGGAACAUUCUUCCAGGAUAACCCUGAAGGAAAUGUUAAGUCUGGGUGAUGAACGACUUGAUUUAUUGGACAAUUAACUUCAACUUCAAAUAACUCAGCUCCAGUGUCAUCACAAUGAGUAGUUGUAUUAUCUCUUAAACUUCCAUCCCAUGGUUGAUGAUAAGUCAAUGCUUUUGAAAAUGAGUUUUCUAGAAGUUUAGAGAGUUGUUUUGGACCUUGUUCUAGUUGAUGUUUUGGGUAAAAUAAAACAAGGGGCAUAUAAAAAUUACCCAUACAUUGAUCAAGAAGUGAAAGUUUGUGAGUUUUUUGAGUUGAUGGAGUGGGAGAAAAAGGUUUCACAACUUUCUUGGAGAUUGUUGAUAGCAAUCUUGAAAAACUAGACAUCUUUAAUUUUAUUUUAUUUUUAAAUGCAAAAUUAAAAUCUCACACUAAUGAAUUUUUCUUCUUAGUAUUUUGUUACUAUAUAUAGAUACAUUAGGAAAACAGUAAUUAAAUACUAGCCAAAAAAGUUUAUACAAUUUUUUUUCUCACUUUGGAAUAAAUGGUCAAAUUUGGAUUGCCAUAUACUAUAUAUAUAUAUUCAUAUUUAUUAAAGGACUUAAUAGAAAGUCAAAAACAACUAACCUUGCGGUUAAAAAUGAUAGAAAUAGAAACUAUUUCUAUAAAAGAAAAUCUUCCAGGAAGAAAUACAAACAUAAUUGAAAAAACAGAGAAAUUUGACAAAAGAGUUAGUCAAAAAUACAUAAACGAAUUACUAGCAAAAAAAGUUGCGAGUAAAACUACAUACCAAAAAUGAAGUAUGGAUGAGUUGCUAAUCCAAAAAUUCCUAGAGAAACAAAAAAUUAAUGAAGAAAAUCUAAAAGAAAACCUAGAAGCUACAGAAAAUUCCAUAGAGGUAGAAGAAGAAUUACAAAAAAAUGAAUGAACUAGAUGAGCUAGUAUAUGCUCUGGAAGAUCUUAAUCUUUCAGAACAUGAACUUAAAGUAUUUAUGAAUAAAGGGGAAAUAGGAGGACCCCAAGGAAAAAUUGAAGACGGUGAUGGAACAAAAUCCGUAAAAAAAGAGUGGCAAGAGCCAGAAAAAGAGGAUAAAAAUUUUGCAAACAAAGCAAAAAAGAACAAAGAUUUUAUAAAACAGUUUCAUAAUGACGAUAAAUCCAAGUUCAUGCUUAAUAGACCCCCUACGGGAGAUAUUGGAACUCAAUUUCUAGAUUUGGACUGUAAGAGAGAUCCAGAAACAAGUCUAGAUUUAUGGUCCCAAAACAUGCUUUUAUAUUUCCUUUUAGGAAAAGGAAAUUAUACUGAUGAAGAAAAAUACAUCAUCAUGAUAAACACUUUCAUAGGAAAAGUAAACGACUGGUUUUCUGGAUUAACUGAAGAUUCAGAAAAAAUAAUAAAAAAUGAUACUAUAGAAGGAUUAAAAAGAUCCUUACAAGAAGGUAUUACAAAUCUAAAGCAAUAUGUGGCUAAUGAAUUCUUUGGUGGACAAGGAAGUCCUCCAGCUAACAGAGAAAAAAUUAGAAUAAUUGCUAAAGAGCGAUUAGAAAAAUUACAAAUUUGUAAAAUGAGUCAUAUUCAAGAAUACACUUGUGAAUUCGAGGAAUAUUACUACAAAAUCUUUGAUAGUGGUAAAGAAAUGUUACCAUAUCUUGAAAAAUACUAUCAAAAAUUACCAGGCUUUUGGGCAAAAUACUUCAGAGAAGAAUAUGAAAAGGAAAAUAAAAUAGGAGACACUCUGGGUCAGAGAAUAAGUUUCUUAAAAAAUAGAUUAGGUCAAUUAUGUAUGUCACAUAACAUGCAGAGAAAAGCUAAAAGAAUUAACACUCAGAUAUAUUGUCUAGAUACAAAUGCAGCCUCCCAAUGGGGAUGUAAUGAUAAACCUUAUAAGAAAAGAAAACUUAAAAAGAAGUUAAUAAACAGAAAAAAAAAAAUCUAAGAAAGAGUAUGUACCUAGAAAAAAAUAUUAUAAAAAGAAAAAAGAUUUUACAAAAACAAAACCUGCAGAUAAAUGCAAGUGUUACAAUUGUGGCGAAGAAUGCCAUAAAAGUUACGAAUGUAACAAAAGAAAAGUAAAAAACUCAAAAAUUAAUAGAAUAGAAAUUGAUUCUGAUCUCGAAUCAAUAAAAUCAAUAAAUAGUGAAAAUUUCUUUGAAGAAAUCUAUGAAGAAUACUCAACCAGUUCAGAAGAUUCUAACUAAUGAGUAAAGAAAUACAAGAAAAAGAAAAUCGAGUUCAAAUUUUAGAGACUGAAGAAGAUCACAGAGGAUAUGCCUUAAAAGCAACCUUUGAUAGAGAAACAUUUAGAAAAAUCCAAGGAUUAAAAUUAAAUUUUAAAAUGGAAGACAAUCUAUUAAGCAGAAUGCUAAGAAUGUUUUCAAGAGAUAAAAUUUCCUAUCAUGAGUAUCAGGAAAUAGAAAAGGUAAUAGAAAUUACCCAAACAACAGGAAAACAUAAACUAAACCUGUUAACAAAACCUAUGAUAGAUCAAAUUCUUAGGAAGAUUCCAGAAAGAAAAAGGAAGAAGAUGAAUUAUGUUCAUCUAGGAGGAAUUCAAAUAUUAGUCAAAUCGACUUUCAAAGAAGGAAUCAAUUGUCCAAUAGUUAUAAAUCUAUUAGAUGAGAGAUUUAUAAAUGCAAGAGAAGGAAAUCUGGGUAUAGUAGAGGGAAACCUAACCUAUACAAAACUCCUUUUCACAUAUUAUCCGAAAUAUUGUAUAUCACUCAAAGAUGCUGAUUUCUAUGACGCAUUGAGUUUACAUUUCCAGAUUAAGAGAAAAGAUCUUUUCAAACCAGGUAAUCAUAUAAUGAGUAUCUAUUAUCAAGCUUUGUACACAGUUACAAACUCAAACUAUGGAAAAGUUUACAAAAAUAAAGAAAUGAUUGAAAUAGAUCAAGAAUGUGCAGGAAUAACUAGAAUUGUUGAAGCUGAAAUUCAGAAAGCACAAAUUCCAGAUGAAUAUGAAAUUCAGUUUGGAAAAACGCAGGAAAUAUGAAGUUCUAGUAAUCCUAGGCUUUUGAUAGAAUAUGGAAGAAACUCCAUUAGAAAAAGUAUAUCUAACAGAUAUCCUUUAAAAAUUUUAGAAACAUCAGACAUCACUAAGAUAAAAGGAAGAAUUUUCAAUGGAAUUGAAUGGAAACAUCAAGAAAUCUUAAUACAAACAGGAGCAACAGCUAACCAUAUAAAAGGAUUUCUACUAGAUGGAAUAUCAAUAAACGAAGGUAAGCAAUACACCUAUCAAACUUUUGAAAGAAAUAACUAUAGUUGUAGAAAUAUGGUAGAUUUACCUAUACAACUAGAUACAAUAAGAUAACAGUACCCUGUUAUAUUACAAAUCAUGAAAGUGAUCAAGAUUUAAUCUUAGGAAAUCUUUUCCUAAACAAAUUAGAAGAUUAUAGUAUAGGAAAAAAUGGCAUAGAAAUGAUAUAUAAGGGCGAAACAUGUUCCAUACCUAAAAUAUAAUGCCAAAAGAAACAAAAUUCAAGGUUUCAGUUUCAUAGAAAUAACCUUCUAUGAUACAAAAAUAACAACUUGUUGUCAAAUAGACAAUGGAUCUAAAGCGAGUCUAGCAAAAUCUUUUUUAAUAAAAGAUUGGGACAUCAAUAAAAACAAUAUCUCUAUGAUUGGAAUCACAGGAGAUAAAGAAAAGCUUUCAAAAUCCAAAGAAAAGGUAGAGAUAAUCUUAGGAUCAAAGAUUGUUUCAAUAAAUAAAUUAUUUGCCUACGAUAAACUAGAAACAGAUUUAUUACUGAGAAAUGAUUUUAAAUAACAGUUUCAAGAUUAUCAUCAAACAUUAUAUAUGAUAAGUCUUAAAACUCCAUGCGGACAUUUCAUAAAAGUUCCAAGAAAACAAAAUCCAUAUAAUCUAGAGAAAGAUAAUGGAGAUUUCAAAAUAAAAUACUUAGAAAAUCUAAGAAAAAUUACUUGUAAAUGUCUUAAUCUAGAGAAGAUUAAAGAAAAUUUGCAAAAAUCUUAUGGAGAAAAGCCAUUAGAAAAAUGGGAACAAAAUCAUGAAAGGGCAAUAUUAACCUUAAAAGACCCUAGCAUAAUUAUUAGAGUUAGACCUAUGCUCUACAAUGAAGAUGAUAAGAUUGAAUUUAAAAUUCAAAUAAAAGAAUUACUCAACUUAAAAUUAAUAAGAAUGAGUAAAGUCCUCAUAGUUGCCCAACAUUUAUGGUAAGAAACCAUGCUGAAAUAAAAAGAGGAAAAGCCCGAAGGGUAAUAAAUUAUAAAGAACUUAAUAAAAAUUGCUUAUUUGAUGGAUAUUUUAUCCCAAAUAAAAAUAAUCUAAUCAACCUUGCAAAAGGAAAAACUUAUUUCUCAAAAUUUGACUGUAAAGGUGGAUUUUGACAAAUAAAAUUAGCCGAAAACUCAAUUCAAUUAACUGCUUUCAGUACUCCUAACGGACAUUAUGAGUGGUUAGUUAUGCCUUUUAGGUUAAGAAACGCUCCACAAAUAUUUCAAAGGAAAAUGGAUAAAAUAUUCUCAGAAAAAGAAUUUUUAAUUGUCUAUAUAGAUGACAUUUUAAUAUGUUCUAAAACAUAUGAAGAACAUUUAAGACAUCUGAAAGAAUUUUCAGAAAUUUUGUUUAAAAAAUGGAAUUGUGUUAAGUCAGAAAAAGGCUGACAUCAAUAAAAACGAAAUAGAAUUCUUAGGAAUGGUUAUUUCAAAAAAUGGAAUUGAACUCCAAUCACAUAAUUCAAAAAAGAUCACAGAAUUUCCUGAUAAACUAACAACAAAACAAGAAAUUCAAAGAUUUCUAGGUUGUUUAAAUUACGCAGGAGAAUUUAUUCCGGGUUUAGCUAAGAAGCGGAAUAUACUACAAAAAUUAAUAAGGAAAUCCAAUAGACUUGGAUGGACAGAAGAACACAUACAGUGUAUAAAAAGUUUAAAAGAAGAAUGUUCCAAGUUGCCAAAGCUCAGAUUACCAGAAGAUAAUGAUAAUUUAAUUUUACAAACUGAUGCAUUUGACUAUCAUUGGGGAGCAUUAUUGCAAACCGAUUUAAAUGAAAUUUGCAGGUACACAAGUGGUACUUUUAAUGAUGCCGAAACAAGGUAUUCUACAAAUGAAAAAGAAUUACUAGCCAUUGUUAGAGGGAUUAGAAAAUUUUCUACUUUCCUUUUACCAAAACAAUUCAUUAUUAGAACUGAUAAUACACAGGUGUCAGGACUAAUAUUUAACAAACUUCCUUCUGAACCUCAAUACAGAAGAUUGCAUUGAUGGCAAGUAUUGUUAUCAUUUUAUUCAUUUUCGAUAGAAUACAUUAAAGGAAAUGACAAUUUUCUUACAGAUUUUAUUUCCAGAAAUGUCCAAUAUGGACAAUCAAACGAAAAUCCUAAUAAAUAGGAUAUACGAAAAAAUGAAAACAGUGGAUAAAUCCAUAGACGACAAGGGCCAGAAGCUGUUUAAAAUCAGAGAUGAAUUAUCCAAAUUAUCUGAACAAUCUCGGAUGUUACAAUCUGAAAUCAAUCAGCUUAGCACUACUCAAGCUGAAAAUAUGAGAAAGUUUUUACUCUUAUGUGAACAUUUGGAUACAUAUCCAAAACAGAAUUCAAAUCUAAAAGGGAAUAUUACUCCCAACAAAGUGGCAGGAGAUGUCCCACUAGCACCUAGUGCCAAAAACAUCUCUAUGGUAAGCACAGAUAUGCCAACUUCUACAUCAAAAGAUGGAGAAAAAAGCCGAGCAAUAAUUGAAGACGAUACUUCGAAAGAAGCAAGCUCAUCCUCAGCAAAAGCUGAAAAAAUUAUAUCUGGGAAAUCAGAAAGUAGAACUAACCCAGUUCCAUCAGGAACAAAAGUAUUUUCUUUUUUUCAGGUUGGCAAACAACAUCAUAAGGAAGAAGAGUAUCUUACAUUCACAAGAUACAUUUACAAUCUCCCAGAAGAAAGUGGAGAAACAUUUGGUGUUUUAGGGACAACAAGUUUGUUUCCUAGAAUAUCAAUUUUUUCAAAUGGAUUACCGAGCUUUACUGCUCAAUUAUUUGAAUUCAGAUAUUUAGAUCGUGUAUACACAAAACCUGAUCUAAAUGAAUUAUCUCAGCUACCAGCAAAACUGUUCAACUCAGUAAAAAAUUAUGCUCAGGGCAAUGGAGUCUAUUGCAGAUUCUUUAGCAUUUCCAUGGAAGGCAAAGAUUUGCAGGCAUACUAUCCAACACUCAACUAUAUUUCAGUUGAAAAAAUUAAAGAUUUUAAUGUAAAAGCAACCGGAGUGGACAAAAAACUUCCACAUCUUAACAAAAAAUGGAUUCAGACCAGAAGAGCAUUAGGGAUAAAGGCCUUAUAUGCUAUUCUUACAAGAUUCUAUAAUGAAGAUUGCAAAGUCAUUGAUCAAAACCAUGAUUGGGUAUUAAUUACUAAAGGAGGAAGAACCAAGUCAAAAGAACUAAAAGAAAGAAUCCUUGACAUAGAGCUCCACCUAUUGGGAGCAACCGAAGAAACAUGGAAACUAGCAUGCAAAAUGCUAGACCACGACCAUCCAUAAUGUAGCAUAUGGACAAAAAGAAGACGUAAGCACUUACGUCAUGGAGAUAGCAACAAAGAAAAGAAUCUUUUCUUUUCUCAAAAGUCAAAAAGAGGAGUCACAUCUUGUCGGCCAUCAACAAAAGAAGACAGACAAGUUCUCAUCUUAUCAACAAAGAAUCUUCAAUUAGUGAAGGACCAAAGAAGAAAUAUGUAAAAGUUAGGGAAAGUCCCUAAAAAUAUAUAUUUUGUAAUAAGUCCCUCCUUCUAUCUAUAAAAGGAGAGGAACUUCAUACUUAAGAAGCAGACUAUAUUUUCUGAGAGAACACCAAUCUAGAAAAAUGUCAGUACCUCCGAGAGUAUGAAUUUGAGUGAGUAGUAACUUCUCCCGCCAGGGAAAUAUUUUUUGCUAAUUAUGUUGUAAGUAUAGUAUAGUAUGUAUGGUGUGUUUGUAAAAAUUCCAAUAUGAAAUAAACAGUUGGUUUCUAUAUCUCUCUUCUUAAAACUCCAUAAAUAGUCUUAAGUGAAGGUUGCGAUCUUCAGCCUUAGGGAGGAACAUAACGAAAUAGCCAUAAGACUGAGGUCGUGGGGGCUAAACAAUGUUCAUGGCCUAAAGGGAAAACUACUGCGGUAGUGAUAAGGACUAUUCAUCGACAAAAGAGAAGGAAGGUAUACACGCAAACUUUUUAUUACAUAUUGUUAAUUUUACGAAUAUACUAUAUCAUGUUAUUGCAUACCUUAACAUAAAUAGAAAUACUUAGUACCUACAGGGAAUUUAAAUAAAAAUGUUAAAAUCUCAUAUUAACAACAUUAACCAUGCUAUAUGCAUAUCAUGUUAUUUACAUAUGUUAAUAUCCAUAUCAUGCUUUUAGCAUAAUGAAAAAUAUACAAAGACAUGUCUAUAACAUAAAAAAAAGAGCUUGGAAGCAUAAAAAAGCUUUAUUUCAUAUGGAUAGAGCAAUAGCUGAAAUGGAACAAGUAUACAGACAUACUAGUCAUCAAUAUGAUGCAAUAAUAUUUUCUAUACAUGAAAUGAAAAUGUACAGAAUACAAGAAUAUUUUGAAUAUAAAAAUACUUUAUUUAUCUUAGCAAAAAGAGUAGAAUUCUAACUGCAUAAAUGUUUGCAUGCACCCUACCCUGUUUUAUCACAGCAGACCCUGUUUUAACACAGCACAAAAUAAUAACCCUGUUUUAUCACAGCAGAUCCUGUUUUAACACAACACAAAAAUGGUAUAUAUAUAUAUAUAUAAUAAUAAUAAUAAUAAUAAUAAUAAUAAUAAAACUCCUAUUUUAUUUAUUUAGUCAAACAGCACCAUUUGGAACUGUUCUAGCAAUGUCAAAGAUUCCAAUCUUUAUGAACAAAUAAUAUCGGCGCAAUAUAAUCGAGCAAAAUUUAGAUGGAUCAAAAUAAAUAUCAUCAAACCCUAUUAAAUAUGGGUUAAUAAUAUGAAUCACAUCCCAAGUCGUUCAACUCUUAAAUUGUUUUUUUUCUUAAUUUGUUUUAUAUACUUAGAGAAAAGUUAAGUAAAUAAAUUGUUCUUUAUUAUAGCUUUACAUGAUAUAUCAAAUGAAAAAAUAUAUUUUUAAUUUGAACUUUUUGACAAGAUUUAUCAUUAGUCAAUUUAGGUUACAUACUUAACUCAAAUUAUUUCAAACUCUUAAACGAGCUAACAAAUCAAGAUAAACUGGAUUAAUGAUGGACAAAUUAAUACUUAAACGUAUUGAACGAAUCAUAUUUUCACAAACUAAUUUUAUCACCACAACAUCGAUUAUUAAUUAUUUUUAAAAGAAUGGAAUAAAUACAUGAGCAGGGCACACAUAACAUUGCAAACUCCUAAAACAAUAUUAUUUUUUUUCCAAUUUUGCACUGUGAUAAUAUUAUUUUAAAAAAAACAGCAGGAAAGUCAAACUUCUUCGAUAUGUAUAAAAUAUUGAACAACUGAUAUCUGGUCUUCGUACAUAAUUACGUAUCAUGAUUCAUGCUAACUUUAUGGUAUAACUUAUUUUUUAAAAUUAUUUUUUCGUAUUUGAUGUGUAUAUAAUUUAAACUCAUUUCGAAAAAUAAUUUCCUUUCGUGUUAAAAAAACUUAUAUCAUUGUGUUAAUUUAAUCGGUGCCAACAUGUUACUCUUUUAGUUUUUAGAUUAUAAUAUCAAAUUUAAUUAAUAUUAAACUUUAUGUAUUAUUAAAAAUAAAAUUCAUAUAAUAUUAUAAAAGAAGUUAUAUAUAGACAGUGUAUCAAACUUAAAUUCUAAUAAGUCCCACAAAUCAAAUUACUAUUAUAUUGUUGUCUCAAUUAUAAAGAACAUAUAUAAUGGGUUAAUCAAUGGUCAACUUUCUAUAUAUGAUUUUUUUCAUUAUCUUUUCUUUAUUUAUUUUACUCUAUUUUUUUUAAAAAAAGAUAUUUUUUUAUUAAUAAAAACAAAUAAAUAGUCAACUUUGGAUUGCUAUGCUAGCUCUUAAAAUUUCAAGGUAAAGGGCGGGACCCAUUUUGGCAAUCUCAAGUUUUUAUUUAUUUUUGAAUUUUAUAUAUUUAAUGUUCGUUAAUCAUUUAAAAUUCAACUAAUUUAAACUUUAUCAAAAAGUUUAACCUAAAAUAAAAUAUAUCUAUAUAUUUUUAAAGCGACUUCACUUCUUCAAAAAUAAUAUUAACCUUUUAUUUUUUAUUUAGAAAAAAAGGGCUGUCAACUUUAUUGUGUCAAACCCUUACACUUAAAGUAAUUAUUUUCUGCAUUGCAAUUUGGACUUUGACAUAAUUGUAAUAAUUAAUUAUAAUGAAGAGUUGAACACAGAUUUGCUUAUUGGAAUAAAUAGCUGACAAUUUCUUGAAGAAAAUGAAAACAACUACUAUUAUAAUAUAAUUGUAAAUACACUUUAUGAUUUUGUGUCACUCUGACUAGAAGUCCUUGAGAAUCUAUUUGAGUCACAAAAAGAUAAAAUUGAUACAAAUAAAUCAUAUUUUUAGAAUAUAACUAAAAUAGGUUUAGUGUAACUUUUUCUUUUUCGUUCUAUGAAAAAUUUGAACAGCAUACGUUAAUAUGUUAACAUUUAAAUUAUAACAUAAAACAGAAGUUUUUCUUAAACUUUAUAAAGUGAAAGUUUUUCUUCAUAAAAAUAAACUAAAUAACUCAAAAUCUUCACUAAAAAGUUAUUGAAAUUUUUUAGUUUCUACAAUAUGAAAAUACAACUAAGUACAUAGUUUUAAUCUAAAUAAAUAUCAUGGCAAAGAGAAUACUAAAGUAAAAUCCCUAAUGCUUAUUAGAUGUGUUAGAAAUUUUAGUUGUAGUAUUUUUCUGUUUCUCAUAGUUUCUACAUUACUUAAUUUUUCUGAUCUUUUCACUUCUCAUUUCAUGUUUCAUUUUUAUUUGACAAGAAAAAGCAUUCGAAAUUUAAUAUAUAAUUUGUCUAAGAGGAUUAUGAAUAUGCACAACACACAUAAUUAGUGUGUGUAUAUGUAUAUGUCUAAAAAGUAUCUUUGAGAACUCUUUUUCUUUUUCCUUCAUUAAAAAAAAAUGAUAAAAUAAGAUUCAUCUAAGCAUUAAUCUAAAAGAAAAAUAAAGAAAAAACAAUGUUCAAUGUUUAUCUUAGCACUUAUUCUAAGAGAAAAAUCUUGUUUAUGAUUUUUAACUUAUAUAUAAACGAAAUUUUGAAUAAACUAGAAUAUCAAUAAUAUCAUUCAAAUCUUCCACUAAUUUGUAUAUUAAUCUUGAAUCAAUGAAUAAAAGAUGAAAAGAAAUAAAUUUCUAAUUUUAAAAAAAUUGUGGGGUAGAUUGUUGGAUUGUCGGGUUGUGCUAUAAACCUUCAAUCUUUCGAGAAUCUUCAAAAGAAAACCUUUGGAUUUUUAAUGUGGUGUCGACUGUUGGGUUGUUAGAUUGGGGAUCAGUGCAUGGUUAUGAAAUCUGAGGAAAAGGUGAAAAGGAAAGUGAAAAGAGUAAUUUUUUUUAUAAAGUGGAAGAAAAAAUUACACUUUAUAAAGUGUAAGAAAAACUCCACUUUAUAAAGUGACAGAUAAAGUUCUGUUUUAUAAAGGAUAAGAAAAAUUUCCAUUUUAUGUUAAAAUUUAGGCGCACCGUUUAAAUUUUUUGAUAAAACGAAAAAAGAAACUACACUGAGUAAAUUUUAGUUACAUCCUAAAAAUAUGACUUAUUUAUGUUAAUUUUAUCUUUUAUGACUCAAAUAGGUUAUGAAUUGUCCUUACUUAUCGUUAAAGGUGAAUUUAGAACGAAUUAUAUAAGUUCAACAAAAAUAUUAACAAUAAAUUUCAACUCGAACCAUAAUAUCUAUAUAUUGUACCAUAUAAUAAGAGGUUACAAGCACAUAAUUAUUAUUUAUUUUUUAUUUUAUAAAUUUGAUGUUCGUAAUAUUUUUUGAAAUUAGAUUAAUUUGAACUUCAUUGAAAAGUAUCACCUCAAAAAGAAAAUAUAUUUCUUUUAUGGAAUAAUUCCAAAGACCUUCCUCGAGGUUUCGCUCUAUAACACUCACCUACUUUAUGAUUUACGAUAUUACGCUUAAACUUAUUUAAAUAAACAUAAAUUCAUUAUAAUUUGACAAAUUUAUCCCUCUUUAUAUUAAUCCAUAUUAUUAAAAAAUGGCUUAUUUAAUAAAUACUUUAAAAAUAAAUUAAUAUGAAGACAAGUGUAUCUUGUUUGAAUACUAGAUAAUGUUGCAUGUGCUAUGCACGGGCCCAAUAAUAUAAAUGGUAUAUUUUUGGGGCUAAUAACCGAGUUUUUGAAGCGAUUGUUUGCGUGGAUAAAGGAAUAAGUUUUUUUUUUAUCACAGACAUGUACUUUCUUUGACGCUAUUUAAGGCAUAAUAAGACUACCCACAUACAACAUUUUUGAAAUAUUUUAUGUUGUUAAUUAUCAUGAUUUAUAGUAUUUUUACGAUAGAUUCACUUCAAGAAUCAGUGGAAUUUUUUUGUAUUUUUUUUCAAAACAUAUUUUAUGUUGUCAAUUAUUAUGAUUUAUAGUAUUUUUACACAAUUUUUAAAUAUAAAAAAAAUAAGACAAAUAAAUUAAAAUGGACCCAAUAUAUGUUAUUUUUGUUGUCUCAAUUUAUGUGACACAAAUGAAAUUUGGAGAGUCAUCCAAAUUUUCAUAUCUUUUUAAAAAAUCUUUGAAGUUAUUAAUUAUUGUGAUUUAUAAUAUUUUUAUGUAACUUUGAAAUAAUGUACAUUACUGGUCACUUUGUCCUAAUUUAUGUGAUAUGGAUAAAAUUACAAAAUUAACCCUUUUAAAAUGUCUUUUAGAUAUUUUAAGUUGUUAAUUAUUAUUAUUUAUAAUACUUUUUUGGUAAUAUUUAAAUGAUAUGUGUUAUUUUUUCUGUCCCAAUAAAUGUGAGCUUGAUAGAAUUCUGAGAGUCAACCUAUGUNNNNNNNNNNNNNNNNNNNNNNNNNNNNNNNNNNNNNNNNNNNNNNNNNNNNNNNNNNNNNNNNNNNNNNNNNNNNNNNNNNNNNNNNNNNNNNNNNNNNNNNNNNNNNNNNNNNNNNNNNNNNNNNNNNNNNNNNNNNNNNNNNNNNNNNNNNNNNNNNNNNNNNNNNNNNNNNNNNNNNNNNNNNNNNNNNNNNNNNNNNNNNNNNNNNNNNNNNNNNNNNNNNNNNNNNNNNNNNNNNNNNNNNNNNNNNNNNNNNNNNNNNNNNNNNNNNNNNNNNNNNNNNNNNNNNNNNNNNNNNNNNNNNNNNNNNNNNNNNNNNNNNNNNNNNNNNNNNNNNNNNNNNNNNNNNNNNNNNNNNNNNNNNNNNNNNNNNNNNNNNNNNNNNNNNNNNNNNNNNNNNNNNNNNNNNNNNNNNNNNNNNNNNNNNNNNNNNNNNNNNNNNNNNNNNNNNNNNNNNNNNNNNNNNNNNNNNNNNNNNNNNNNNNNNNNNNNNNNNNNNNNNNNNNNNNNNNNNNNNNNNNNNNNNNNNNNNNNNNNNNNNNNNNNNNNNNNNNNNNNNNNNNNNNNNNNNNNNNNNNNNNNNNNNNNNNNNNNNNNNNNNNNNNNNNNNNNNNNNNNNNNNNNNNNNNNNNNNNNNNNNNNNNNNNNNNNNNNNNNNNNNNNNNNNNNNNNNNNNNNNNNNNNNNNNNNNNNNNNNNNNNNNNNNNNNNNNNNNNNNNNNNNNNNNNNNNNNNNNNNNNNNNNNNNNNNNNNNUUGGGCCUAAACUCUCUUUUAUAAUAUAGUAGAAUAGAAAAAAGUAGAAAAAGUAGAAUAGAAAAUAGAAUUUUCUAUUUUCUAUUCUGAAAAAAAUAGAAUUUUAAAAGUCCCCCAAGUAUAAUAUAUAAUAUUCAAGAUUGGGAAAAGUCUCAAUCUUGAAUAUUAUAUAUUAUACUUGGGCCUAAACUCUCUUUUAUAAUAUAGUAGAAUAUAUUCUCUAUAUUAUUACUCUUUAUUAGAAGUGGCAGGUGUACGAACACUGCUAUAUGCAGUUGUACAAAAUGCACCAAUAGUUGUAUUCUUUUAAGGAUAAUUUUGUAAUUUUAUCUUAUUACUUUUAUGGCAACACGUGUAUUUCAAGUGUGAUAACAAUAUUCUUCCUCACUUUUCUCUUCUAUGAAGUUCUUCACUUCUUCAGUGAAAGGACCGAAUGUCCAAGCUUUUCCUUUCUCUGUUCUGCGACUCUCUCAGUUCGUUCUUCUAUGAGUUUUUCUUUCACCAUUCUCUCUGUUUGCGCUCUCCCGUGAUUUCUAUCUGCGAUAACAUUCCGUUCUAAUGGAUGUGUUGUUUUAGUUCCAUAAAUUAGGGUUUAGUUCUGCUCUAAUAUCGGUGAGAAGCUUUCACAGAAUAAAAUAGAAUUUACUGAAGUGUUUGGCUCUUUUGUUAAUAGAUUCUUUACAUGUGACUGUUCUUUUUGUCAAUUUUAUAGUUGUGAAUGGCAUUACGAAAACUCGAAGAGCAUAGAGGAAGGCUAUGUCAGCAAAAUUUUCAAAGAUAAGUACGUAAUACACUUAUAUUUUAUCAAUUUGUGAAAGUCAUUCGUUUUUCGCUUUCCUUCGACUUUUCCCCUCUUGGUAUAAGUUCACUACAUAAACCUCUUUGUGCUAAAAUUAAAUGAAAGGAGAAGGGCUCAAUGAUUUAAGUAGACUAAGUAAUUUAGGAUUUUUGUGAUGUUUACUUUGCCGUUAUACUUUUUCUUGAUGAAUUUGCAGGACUUAUUUUCAAAUUUAUGGUGAGUGUGUUUUCUGUUUUAAAAAAUAUUGGUUAGUGUUAAUCAAAUAAACAAUAAAGGUAAUGCUUAAAUUGCAAGCUUUAGUCAAAAUACAGACAAAUUCUCGAGUCAACUAAUUAUUUAUACAAUAAAAGUUGCACAGUUUUUCCUCUUGCGGUUUCAACUAUAACUUCGAGGAGCAUAUUAAAAGGAGCUUUAAGAUUUUUCAUGGAAAAGACGAUGGUUUUCAAAACAUAGUGACCUGUUUCAUUCUAUAAAGGACUAUCGAAGGUGAUUGUUACUCAAUUUUUAAUAUUAGACUGAGUUGUAUUUGCCGUUUUAGAUCGUUAAGCUUUCUGUACUUUCAUGUUACUAUUGAAAGUUAUCGAAUAAUACAAAUUACGCCUAAAAUUCAAAUAAUUGAGAAACGAUAUAUUGUUUAUCAAGAAUUAGGUUGUUGUUGAUCAUUAUUAUAUAAUUAAUCUUAUGUAAAAAUACACUACAAAAAAUGAAGAAAAAGAAGAAUGAAGUGUUCUAGGUGAUGAGAAACAUGUCAUUAGAGGUAAAGUGCAGGAAAUUCAACGCACCAUCUAUUCCUAUGAGUCAACGACUUUGGUGGAAAGGACACUGAAGUUGAAGUGGUAAAUGAUGUAAUUGACACAAAUCACAUAAUAAAAAGAAUUGUAAUUUGUAAUCAGAAUCUUGCACAAUGUGAUGGUAAACCUGUAUCGUGGUGAACAGAUACUAUCUCCGUUGGACUACAUUAUAGUACGUCUGUCCCAAGUUUUGCUCCUGCUGUCUUUAAGCCUUUUAAUGAAACAAGUUGAUUGAAGAGAUUCAACGAAGGUAACUUCGAAGCUUGAGGCAUUUUCCCAUUAGGUAAGGGGUUCUUGAAGUCUUCUUUUAGUAAUGGCACCUCAAAAUCUGCCUUCUUAUGUUUAACUAAAUUAUUCUUAGCUGCUAUGUGAGCUCCUGGUUCCAUAUGGUUUGUCGAAAAGCUCAUUUGAUUUGGAAAGUUCGGAUAAAGGCUACGUAUCCUCUUAAGUACAUCAUGUCUAUCAAGAACUUCUUCCAUGGAGCUUGCCAUUCAUUAGUUCUUGAUUUUGGUGUUUGUACGAAUUUUGCUUAGGAUCUUCCGUGAAUCUCAUGUUCAUGUAGACGUAGAACUCCUUCCAUUGCUUGAGGGAAAAACACUGCGCCCCAACUGCAAGACAGCUGAUGGAGAUAUGAUGUGUUUGGAUGAAUGUGUUUGAAGAACUCAAUUGCAUUUCAUUUAGGCCUUUCUUUGACAACUUCCACCAAACGUGGCGUGUAAAGAGAGAUGGAGGAAAUGGUUCAUCUCUAGCACACAGAUUCAUUUCACAAAUUGUCCCUUUUUGUUAAAAUUAACUUGUGACCUUAACUAAUUCCUUUGAUUUUGCUAAAUCUAAACAGGAAACAACAUUUUACCACUACAAUCUUGCUUUGGUGAUGAUGCGGGACAACCCCAGAAAAUUAUGCUAUUGACGUCCCAUUAUUUGAAUAAGCAAACCUAGCCAAAAUAGUGGUAAGAACAGAAUUGUCUCUGGCAGCAACAUAAAAUUAUUUAUAUGACUCUUGAAUUACCUAAGCUUGAUCUUUAAUGGUUUGUAAAAGAGCAUGUUAUGUCUUGGAAGAUAAGACAACAUGUAAUGACUGCCAGAAUAAAUACUUCACAUGUAAUGAACUCAACAAGUUUUUUAUACGUACUUCUGAGGAAAUGUUGUAAUACUGAUAUGAUUUUUUUAUUUGUCCAUAUUGGGCCCGUGCUAACACGGGCGUUCCUAUCUAGUAUAUAUAUAUUAUAUAUAUAUAUAUAUAAGCCAACAAGAGUUGGGACUAACAUAGCAUAUACAAGUUGUACCAAAAGUAAAGUGAAUUGUACCAAUAGGGUUAAUUUGGUAAUUUGACUCAUUAUAACUAUGGUGUAUAUUCAUCGGUGAAACACGUGUCCUAGCUCCAUGAUGUAUGAUAUAUCCCUGUUGCUUUCCAUCCAUUCUCUGUCCCAAAAAAAUGUUUUGCAAAAUGGAAGCACUCAUAUGAAAUUCUCAUUUAAACUGCAGACCUUCCUAGGUAUGCACUGCUUCUUCCUUUCCUUCUUUCUUUUCAUUUUUAUUUUGCCAUUUGAUUUUAGAUUUGUCUUGUCGAUUUUUUCAUUCGAUGAGUUCCGACUUUUUUUUAUCUAUCAAUUUUGGUGUUUAGGUUUUGGUAAUGUUGCAUGCACUAAAUCUAAACUUGAUUGGAUGUUGUUGUUAUUGCCGUUUACUCCUCUUCUUCUCCGUUGUCCCUACUUGUAGUUUUGUAUUUCAAUUUUAGGAAUUUACAGGUACUUGCACAAUAAAGGAAAGGAAAGAAAUUGAAAGAUGCGAUGCAGGGAACAUUGAGCCUAAUUCUAAAAAUAUAACCAUUAUCAGGUACAUCGAACUUAAUUUUGAUUUUUUUUCUCGAAAACUCUUUUAAGUGGAAGGAUUAGCUAUUAGAGUUGCCCUAUUUUCACAACCCUUCCUCCUAUGUGAAAAGUCCAGUAUAUCUCCCUCUUUAAUUGAUUUAAUUUUCCAAUUGUAUAUGCAGUUGGAUUAUAAUGUUGAAUACUAACGUAUGUAUAUGUAGAUAAACAUAAACUAUAAUGUUCUUAUAUGACAAGGGAGACUUUCUUUUAACAUGAAGAAUUCUUUGUAAGAUAAGUUAUUUAUUUUUCAUAGAGUGCAAGUUUAGGUAUAUAAAUAGCAAACAAUUUCCAUUUUAACAUAUAUCUUAUUCAUUUAUCUAAAAGCUCUGCCUUCAUUGUACUACGACGUUGCUUCUUAAAGCACCUAAUUGAGAGAACCAAAACAGACAAGCCUCAAGAGUUAUACAUGUUCAUUAAUAAAAGUAAUAAACUUAAGUUUAUUUCUUUUACAUGUGAUUCACUCACUGUAUUACUUCAAAAAUAAUGAAUAGUUGGUGGUUUUAUAUAAUGUCUCUUUACUUACUGUUUGUCUACUAUAGAUUGGAAGACCAUAGGGUGAGAUUAUAUUCAUUUUGUCCCUAUAUAAGAUGACAAAAUUAUGUCGAUUAUUGUCUCUAACUCCUUUGAGAAGAGAUUUUCCAUUUUGUAUAGGAUAGUCAAGGGAUGGGAUGGGGGCAUUGUAAUCCAGCAAAUUAAAACACAAUGGGAUGGAUGGGUGAGGAUUUAGGGGUAGCUGGUGUAGGAUAGUCUAGGGAUGGGACGGGGGAUUGGAUGCAAUGGCGAAUUUGAAAUUUUCACUAAGGUUUAAAAAAAAUAGUGCUAGGCAUUUGCACUUAAACAUGUAGGUGAAUUUUGAAUUCAUUAAUGAUAUGAGUUGUUCUGCUUGUGCUGGAUCUGUAGAAAAGGCAAUUAUGGGAUUAAAGAAGUAGUUGUUGAUGUGUUGAAUAACAAAACUCAAGUUAUUUUUUACCCCACUUUUGUCAAUAUGAGUGAUCUGAUUCUCAAUUUUUGGGAUUUUUAGUUGCAGAAUGAACGUAAAAAUUUUGAUCUUUAUGGAAGUUUUAGUGGAUUCUGGUAAUGAUUUAGGCUUAUUAUGUAGAAAUUCUACAAGGGGUUAUCCAGGUUUAAGAUUUGUUUUGUUUGUUUUGAUAAUUGCGGUGUUUGAGCUAGCUUGCAUGGACCUCGACUAAUUUUAUGGGUACUUGCUACCUCUCACGAGCAUAGGGAUCAGAUAACUCUGUCCCCUCGAGGCUGUGAAUCGAGGUUUAUGAUUCUUGAAAAACAGAGUUUGAGUUAUCUUCUGCCUUAGCUAUGUUAGUGUGAGUCCAUUCUUUUGUGCUUAUUUCAAUAACAACAACAUCAACAUACCCAGUGUAAUCCCAUAAGUAGGAUUUGAGGAGGUAGAGUGUACGUAGACCUUACCCCUACAUAGUGGAGGUAGAGAGACUGUUUCCAAAAGACAAACUUAUUUCUGCAAAAGAGUACAAAUUUGUUUCUUUUUUCAAGUUUUUCUGGAUUUUGCUAAUCGUAUGAACUAAUUACGUACAGUUUGAAGCUUUCCUUUAUAUUUUAUUUAUGAUUUUUAUAGAAGUAAGCCACAUUGAAUAUGUUAUGUAUGUUCUAAGCAUCUUGGUUGUUUAUUUAUAAGUGAGUUAUAUAAAUUAAAUUUUUUAUCGAGAUAUACUAAAAAAUCAAUUGAUUCCUAAUUAACGGUCAACUCAAUAGGGAGUGGAGAAGACAAAGGUGCAUCAUAUAUGUGUCAAAGUUGCUCAUGAAGAAGUUAUACGUUUUGUGUGCACCAAAUUGAUCUGAAUAUCCUUAACGCAAUAUGUAACUUUGGACCGCAGGGUGUUGAAGUAUCAGCACACAACUAGGAACACAAAAUAGCUAUCCACCAUCUUCUUGAAGUUGAACACUUGCUCAGGUAUACGUUACUGUUUUUUCCCUGUUGGUUCAUAGAGGCUAUGUUGCUCGGGCUCUCCAAAAAUGUAUCAGGACCUUUAAGAGUCCAAGCAACAUAACAUAGAGGUACCUUUGCACCCAACACUCAGUAGUUAGGAAAGUCGGGCCUGCCUCUAAUAUUGGGCUUUCAACUUCUCAGGUGAAUUAUGCAGUCUCACUCGAUAGUGGGGAUCGAUUGUUAGGAACCAGGAAGAAUGAAUUAGCAAAGAUGAUAUGCUGAGCUAGACUAUAGCAACCUCCUUUUGGAUUAUUCUCUUCCAAAAAACUUGAUCUCCUAAUUUAAAAUUGGAAAAAAAUCCAAAAAAUAGAAUUGUAUGUGUCAAAUUGAUAUGAAUUGUGGCCUUACAUGUACUUCAACAACGGGAUAAUAUUGAAAUGGUUUGUUUCCUACUGUGCUUAAUUACCUUUUUGAACGAUUCUGGAAAUAUCACGGGGCUUACAAGGUAGAAUUAUUACUUUUAGACUCAUUGAUGAAUUUAAUAUCGUGCGCGCUAUGCAGUAGUGAAGUUGUUUCUCCUUUCUUUUGGCAGGUCUUUAAAGGACUCUUGAAUAAGUAUGGUCCUGACAGAGUCAUUGAUAUACCAAUUAUUGAGGUUGUUUUCAUUCAUCAUCAAUGUUCUAUAAUCUUACUUAAUUCCCUUCCAUUUUUAGUCACCGGAAUAUAAUCAAUUUGCAUCCUUUAUUUUAAUUCUCUUUUAGCCAUCAUGACACGUAGAUUUUUUAUUCUAGCAAUAUCUUGAAAUCUUUUCAGCCGCUCUGCAAUACAUUACAUUAUAACUGGUGAUGUAAUCUCAGGCACACGAAAAGAGAGCAAUUUGAUUGUUGCACCUUUAAUGAUAAGUUUGAUACUUUAGUUGUUCUCCUCAGCCGUACAUCUAGAUGACUAAAUUUGCUCACCGAGUGUUGAUUGGAAAUUUUUAAAGUAAAGUAUUAUAUUUUUUCCCUCUACAUAUCAAGAGAUUCUUUAUUCAGCUAUUUCACGGAACAUAGUAGGCAUGAACAUAAUAGGAGACCUACUGGUUUUGAAUUUGUUAUUGUAUGCAUAACUUAACUGCUAAGGAGAAAAAGAGGAUUAUGGAAAUUUCUUACUUCUCUGUUGAGGGUUUCAGCAUGCAGCUGGCCAAGUAAAUUUCCUACUGCUUAGGUUAAAUGACCAUGCUUGAGAUUAAAGUUUUAAUAAAACUCUUAUUUUUGCGAGACAUGAACACUAAAGAUAUAAUGUAAUGUAAUUUAGAUUUUCUUUCCUUAUAUUUAAGAUUGUUAUUAUGUUGUCUAAUUGCAGGAAGUAACUUUCUUAUUUUUGCGACUUUUGGUUACGGAAAAAUAUAAGUUUUUUUUUUGACGGAGAUCAUCCAUCUUUGAAAGCCCAAAGGCCAAAUGCGUAAACGUGUUGAACAUGAGCAAAUUUUCUUGGUGUAUGGUUUAGAUUAAAAAAUGUCUUAACUUUUUGUCAUCUCCUUGAAGGUAAAUUUGAUUUUGAUUUAUUGAAAAUUCUAUGUCAGGUGUAGUAACCUAUAUUAAAGGAGAGAAAAAGAUUAUUGAGUUUUGUCUUCUAAAUAUAUUGCUUUCGUGUGUACAUGUGACUUGUGUUUCUGGUUGUGUAGAACUCAAUACACGACGACUACAAAAAUAAGAAAUUUUGAAGGUGGAAAACAAUACACAUCUUAAAGCUCUACCUACAGGCAACAGCUUUCAAACUGGAGGAGGCACCAAAAAAAAAACUUGUGGUUGAGUUGGCAGGUAUAACAGACGGUCAAAACAGUUCAAUUUACGGAUAACCUGAGUUGAAGAUACGAGUAUUAGAUAAAUAGUUUAUUAAUGGUGUUAUUUUGUUUUGGAUCGGUAUAAUGUCUAUGUGAAGGUGUUUCUUUGGUGUAAACUUAAGUUUUUGUUAAUUCAACAUACUUUUGUAUCAAUAUAGGUACAAACAUUUAAAAUUGUGUAUCUUUAUGCGUUUAUCACUUUAAAGUGUAAAAAUGUUGGGUCCAUGCUUGAGCACGGGCCAUUGCCCCUCUAGUAUAUAUAUAUAUAUAUAUAUAUAUAUAUAAACUUAUUAUUGAGACAAUGUUAUACAUGGACCUAGAUAGAGACCAUGCUGAUAAUAUUUUGUAGAAGACUUACGAGAGUUGUCUUGACUUUGUAGGUAACAUUAAUGUCUCUAAAUCAUUAAUUAAGAAAAAAAUAUGAAACGAGAAAAAAAAAUUCUAGGGCAAAGGGGAAAAUAUACUCCUCAAUUUUGCGAUUUAGAACAAACAUAUUCCUUAUUAAAAAAAAUAGUGAAUAUAUACCUUUGUUGUCUAACAAAUAAUGCAUAUAUAUCCUUAUUGUCUAACAAAUAGUGUAUAUAUUUAUCCUUUUCGCUAACAGACUGAAUUAAAAAAUAUCUUGAAACUGAUUUUUAAAUUUCACAAAUGUCACAUGGCUUAAAAUCAUUACCUCAUCAAUUUUUUACCUACCCAGAUCCUACCACAAUUUAAAAAAAUCUCAAUCCUUCUUCUAUUUAGACUUGAUCCAAAUCCAUUUUAUGAUUGAGUAGAUAAGGAUUUUUUUUUAGUUGGAUCGAGUCUAGAGAUGUAAAUAUGGGGUGAAAUAAUUUUCUUAAAUCACGUGACAUUUUUGAAAUUAGAAACUCAAUAUAUAUAGAUAUGUUAAAAAAAUGGUCAAUAUGCAUCAUUUGUUAAGCGUUAUAGGUAUACAUGUAUCAUUUUUUACUGAGAGGUAUAUCUAUUCUAAAUCACAAAGUUUAGAGAUAUAUUAUCUCUCUUCCCUUUUGUCAACUAUACAAACAUAGUAAUGAAUGAUCAAACAUAGCCUAUAGUUGCUAGAAAAAUCUCCACCACUAGAUGUCUUAUCCUUAUCUCUAGUAAGAAUAAGAAAGAAAAAAUGUCUUAUUUAAAACUAUAAGAUUCUGGUAAAUUCAUCUAUAAGAAUGAUUUCUCUUUUAAAAAAUAAAAAGAAUAUUUUAAAAAGUAUAGAGUAAACAUAUUCGUGAUAUGGUAGAUCUCUUUUAGCGCUCGAAUGAGCUGUGUAGAAAUUUAUCAUUUUAAACUCUUUUAUUUUUGAGUCCCCACCCAUAAUAAGUACCCUUCCUCUCUUGCUUUAAUUAUAUUCAAUAGAGAAAGUAAUGAAUUGCUUCAAUUUAUCAUUGUCUUACUUUUGACAAGAGAAAAAAGGACAGCUUUGCUGUAGAUUGUAUCACUAGCAAAAGAGAGAGAAAUCACUCAUCAUUUUUGUUUGCAAAUUACACCUAAAGAGUCGUUUAGUAAUUGGUAUGCAGGUAUUAAUAAUACAUGAAUUUGCUAUGUAUUAUUUUGUGCAGAGUUUAAUUACUUAUUAUUUUCACAUCUCAUACCGAAUAAUGUUAAAUCCUCUCCUUCCCAACCACCAUGAUCCCCCCAUCCCACUCUUUUCCCAUUAGGGAUGGCAAAUGGGGUGGGGCGAUUGUGGUUGCUGGGAAAAUUUGUAUAAACUCGCAAGGAUUUCAACCCGCCUAGCAUCACAUAACAUAAUUUGUUGUUUUCACACCUCACACGAACCCGUCCUAUAUUAUUAUUCUUUGUUCUAUUUUUCCGUCUCUAUUUUUUUCCUCGAAGUCUUUCAAGUUGAAUUAAGAAAAUGAGAAGACACGUGAUUCCAAAUAUUUUUUAGUUAAUCCAAAUGAUUUUUUUUAAAAAAAAAAUAGACAUGCUAUCUAGUACAAAGAGGAGGAAAAAAAUGCUUUUAAUUAUAAUAAGAUAGUUUAAUUUAAACUUAGCAAUUCUAUAACCCAUAACCGAUUUCCAUAAAUUUUCUAAAAACAGUAUUUGAACCUACACCGCUCCAUUGUCAUCCCUACCUCCCAUUGAUUUUUAUUAGGUUUGGUUGUAUAAUUAAGAGGAGUAAGAUUCUCAGGUAAGUUGGAUUGAUAACAAUUGACCUUAAUCAAUUUCUUUUGGCACAACUUGUUAUGUCUUGGUUCCAUGCUUUAGUCCUUUUCCACUACAUUAUAAUAACCCAACAACAAAUAUAGAAUAGAGCAUAUGGUUGCAGAACAUAUAUAUUAACUCCCUUCAAUUUAAGUUUUCUGUUUAUUUGAGCACAAAGUUUAAAAAAUAAAAAGAGACUUCUGAAAUUUAUGAUUAAAUUAAAAUUGUGUAGUUUUUCAAAUUUUGUGGUCACUUACAAGGUAGAAUGUAGGAAUUAGAAAACUUAUUAAAUAUAAAAAAAAAUGCUCUUUUUGAGACGUAUUAAAAAAGAAAAGUAAAACACUUAAAUCAAAAUCAAAGAAGUAUAUAAGUUUGAAGUUUGAACAAUUUAUUUUGUUGAAUUUUUACUUAAAAAUUCUAAUGAGUUAAAAUAUUCAACGUUUGUAGCUUCUUCUAACACAUUAUUACUAUAGCAAUUAUAUGCACCUAUUAUUAUCUCCAAAAACAGGUAUUAUAAAUGUUAAUGUGCUUCUUCAAGGAACUCUGUCACUAAACAUUGAGCUUCAAUACACGGCAAAGACAGCUUGGUGCACAAAAUAUUUCACGUUAGUAUGGUUCGAGAAAAGGGUGCACCUCAAAUACUUAAUAAAAAAAUUAGUAUCUAUUUUUUCACGACUCGAAUCUAUUACCUAUAAGUUACAUGCCAACAUAUUCAUGAUAAGAUAGUCCCUUUUAGCAGUAUAAGUAAAAUGAGUUGUGUAGAAAUUUAGUAAGUAAAAAAUGUAAGGAAGAAAGUGCGAUGAUUUACCAGAAUGUAAAGUAUCAUUUAAACAAGGGAUCCAAUUCUGUUAAAUUCAAAAUUCCUAAAUAAUAAUAUUUUCAAGAAUGAUAGUUUUUUUUUUGGGAAAAUGCAUAAGUACCCCCAAUCUAUGCCCGAAAUCUCAGAGACACAGUUAUACUAUACUAAGGUCCUAUUACCCCCAAACUUAUGUUAUAAAUAAUUUUCUACCCCUUUUUGGCCUACGUGGCACUAUCUUGUGGGCCCAACGCGUGUUGACAAUUUUUUCAAGGAUAGUGCCACGUAGGCCAAAAAGGGGUAGAAAAUUAUUUAUAACAUAAGUUUGGGGGUAAUAGGACCUUAGUAUAGUAUAACUGUGUCUCUGAGAUUUCGGGCAUAGAUUGGGGGUACUUAUGCAUUUUCCCAAAAAAAAAACUAUCAUGAUACUUAUGCAUUUUUCUUUUUUUUUUCUUUUCUUUUAAAAAGAGAAAAGAACUUUUCAAAAAUGUUAAGUGAACAUAUUUAUGAUAUGAUAUGUCCUUUUUAACACUAUAAUAAGCUGCGUAGAAAUCUAUCAUUUUAAGCUCUUUUAUUUUUGAGUUUCCCACUUAGACCCCCCUUUCUACAUCCCAAAUAAUUUACCAUUUUUCUCUUGCUUCAAUUAUUGAAUUGACAAAGUAAUGAAUUGAUUCAAUUUAUCCCCGCACCCCACCCCACCCCCCCCCACUAUGAAUGCCAGUUGUAGAUUGUACCAAUUAUACAUAUUGAUUGAGUAGUUAAGAGGGGUAGGUUUCUGGAAUAAAUUGAUUGAUGACAAUUAAGUUUUAUCAUUUACUUUUGACACAACUUGUGUUGUCUUGGUCCUAUGCUUUAGUCCUUUUCCACUACAUUACAUUAACCUAACAAUCAAUCUAUAGAAUAGAGCACAUCGUUGUAGAACGGAUGCACUAACUCUGCUCAAUUUAAGUAUUAUAGUUUGUUUGAGCAUAAAGUUUAAAAAAUAAAAAGAAAAUUUUGAAAUUUAUAAUUAAAUUAAAGAUGUGUGUAGUUUUUCAAAUUUUAUAGUUUUAAACUUACAAGGUAGAAUGUAGGAAUUGAAUAUAGAAAGAAAUACUCUUUUUUAAGACAUAUCAAAAUAGAAAAAUAAGACACUUAAAUCAAGUUUGAUGAAGUAUAUAAGUUCUAACAUAUUUAUUUUGUUGAAUCUUUACUUAAUAUUAAUAAUUCUAUUGAGUUAAAAUAAUGAACAUUUGUAGCUUCUACUAACACACUAUUACUAUAAAUUAUAAUAAUUAUACAUGCCUAUUAUUAUCUCCAAAAACACGUAUUAGCAAUGUUAAUGAGCUUCUUCAAAGAACUCUGUCACUAAACAUUGAGCUUCAAUACACAGUUGAUAAGGCAAGGGUAGCUCUGGAUGCACAAAAUAUUCCACGUUAGUAUGUUUUGAGAAAAAGAUGCAACUCAAGCACUUUAUAAAAAAUAUUUGUAUCUAUUUUUCACUGUUCGAAUUUAUGACCUAUAAAUUAUUCGAAGGCAAAUUCACCGUUACUUUAACAUAUUCAUGAUAUGGUAGUCUCUUUUAGCACCGUAAAUAAAAUGAGUUUAGAAAUUUAUCAUUUUGAACUCUUUUAUUUUUGAGGGGCCCUUUUACACCAACCUUUACUCUCUUGGUUGAAUUAUUGAAUUGAGAAAAUAAUAAAUCAGAUGAAGUCUUUGUCUUCUUAUAGAGUGAAAAGUCUUUUUUUUUUUUCUCUGACCAAAUGACUAGUAAGUGUCUUAAAUAGGAAUUACUUUAUCUUAACAAAAUCUCUACCAUAAUUAGGUUUUAUUUUAUCCUUAAUUGAUAAAACAAUAAACACAAGUAUGAUAUAUGAAAGAUGUGUUGCUCGAAAUUACUAUUGUCUACUUAUAUUUUAAUUUAGUAGGAUUAUUAAGUAAAUAUUGAACAAAAUAAAUUUGUUAAAAUUUACAUAGCAAAACAAGUCAACAGAUGUAUAUGCAUCCUCACAUAAACGUGUGGGGUCCACCUGUGUACAACCCCCAUGUGCCUUCAAUUAUUCAAUUGAGAAGGUAAUGAAUAGGAACUAGCAAACAUAGUUGUACCAAUUACAAGUUCUUGUUUGCAAAUUUACUAGUAAAAGAGAGAGAGAGAUUGAGAGAUAUCAGUGAUCAUUCUUGUUUGGAAAUUACUCUUAGCAUUCAACAGGUAAAGUAAAGUUGUUAGUAAUUGAAGAUUGAAAAAUUUAUCUUGUCAAAAUUCUUAAAAAAUCAUUUUGUGUUCUCCUUGUUUUGCUUUUCAGAUUUCAAAAAUGGAGAUUGGCUUAGCAGUUGGUGGUGCAUUUCUCUCUUCAGCUUUGAAUGUUCUCUUUGAUAGGCUUGCUCCUAACGGUGAGCUGCUCAAAAUGUUUCAGAAGCGUAAGAAUGAUGUUCAGCUCUUAAAGAAGCUGAAAUUGACUUUGCUUGGUCUUCAAGCUGUGCUAAGUGAUGCAGAGAACAAGCAGGCAUCAAAUCCAUCUGUGAGCGAGUGGCUUAAUGAGCUUCGACAUGCUGUGGACUCUGCUGAAAACUUGAUUGAACAAGUCAAUUAUGAAGCUUUGAAGCUUAAGGUGGAAGGUAAGCAUCAUAAUCUUGCAGAAACAAGCAACCAGCAAGUAAGUGACCUCAACCUGUGCUUGAGUGAUGAUUUCUUUCUUAAAAUAAAGGAGAAGUUGGAAGACACUAUUGAAACAUUGAAAGAUUUGCAAGAACAAAUUGGUCUCCUUGGCUUAAAGGAGCAUUUUGGUUCGACUAAACAAGAAACUAGAACACCUUCAACUUCUUUGGUUGAUGAUUCUGAUAUCUUUGGUCGGCAGAAGGAAUAAAGGAUUUGAUUGACCGUUUAUUGUCUGAAGAUGCAAGUGGAGGAAACUGACUGUAGUUCCUAUUGUUGGAAUGGGCGGUGCGGGUAAGGACAACACUAGCUAAAGCGGUUUACAAUGAUGAGAAGGUGAAGAACCAUUUGGUUGAAAGCUUGGUAUUGUGUUUCUGAGCCAUAUGAUGCUUUGAGAAUAACGAAAGGGUUACUUCAAGAAAUUGGCUCAAUUUGACUCAAAGGAUGAUGGCAAUCUUAAUCAGCUACAGGUCAAAUUGAAGGAAGCCUGAAGGGAAGAAGUUUCUUGUUGUCCUUGAUGAUGUGUGGAAUGAUGACUAUAGUGAGUGGGAUAACCUGAGAAAUGUUUUUGUACAAGGAGAUAUGGGAAGUAAGAUCAUUGUAAUUACACGUAAGGAGAGUGUUGCUCAGACGAUGUGUGCUGAUUGUUGCGCAAUCACCGUGGGGACUCUGUCUAGUGAAGACUCUUGGGCUUUAUUCAAACGACAUUCACUAGAAAAUAGGGAUCAUCCAGAACUUGAAGAGGUUGGGAAAAAAAUUGCAGUGAACUGCAAAGGGUUGCCUUUAGCUCUAAAGGCACUUGCUGGUGUUUUACGCGGCAAAUCAGAGGUAGAUGAGUGGAGAAACAUUUUAAGAAGUGAAAUAUGGGACCAGCGUUGUUGGAAUGGUAUAUUACCAGCAUUGAUGUUGAGCUACAAUGAUCUUCCUGCACAUUUGAAGCGAUGCUUUGCUUUUUGUGCAAUAUAUCCCAAAGAUUAUCAAUUCUGCAAAGACAAACUUAUUUACCUGUGGAUUGCUAAUGGUCUUGUAAAGCAGUUUUGUUCAGGUAACAAAUACUUUGACGAGUUGAGAUCAAGAUCAUUGUUCGAACAGGUCCCAGAGUCUGAAUGGCAAUCGGAGAGAUUCAUAAUGCAUGACCUUAUCAAUGAUUUGGCCCAAACUGCAUCUUCAAAACUUUGUAUUAGGUUGGAAGAGAACGAAGGAUCUGAUGAUAUGUUGGAACAAUGUCAGCACAUGUCCUAUUCCAUGGGACAAGAAGGUGAAUUUGAGAAAUGCUGACGACAUUGGUAACUUUGAGAAAUUGAAACCACUCUCCAAAUUAGAGAAGCUGAGGACAUUGCUUCGAACCAAUAUCAGUUUCUUUUCUCUGCUAAGCAAGAGGGUGUUGCAUAACAUACUUCCAAGACUGACAUCCUUAAGGGCAUUAUCAUUGUCUCAUUACCAUAAUAAGGAGUUGCCAAAUGACUUGUUUAUCAAAUUAAAGCUCCUCAGAUUUUUGGACCUUUCUGAAACAUUGAUUGAAAAGUUACCAGAUUCCAUUUGUGCAUUGUAUAACUUGGAGACACUUCUCCUGUCAUCUUGUAAAAAUCUUAAGGAGCUACCGCUGCAGAUGGAGAAGUUGAUCAACUUGCGUCACCUCGACAUAACCAACACUCUUCGCUUGAAGAUGCUGCUACAUCUGAGCAAGUUGAAAAGCCUCCAAGUCCUAGUGGGAGCCAAGUUUCUUGUAGGUGGUAGCGGUGGUUUGAGAAUGGAAGAUUUGGGUGAAGUAGAGAACUUGUAUGGAUCUCUAUCAGUUUUAAAGUUGCAAAAUGUGGUUGAUAAAAGGGAAGCUCUGAAGGCAAAGAUGAAGGAGAAGAAUCAUGUUGAGAAGUUAUCAUUGAAGUGGAGUGUAAGUACUGCUUACGAUUCACAAACUGAAAGAUCCAUACUUGAUGGGCUACGCCCAUACACAAACAUAAAAAAAGUCAAAUUGGCUGGCUGAUCCUUCAUUUCUUCAGCUAGUAAAAUUGUUUCUUAGCAACUGCAAGGACUGUGAUUCUUUGCCAGCACUAGGACAGCUUCCUUCUUUGAGAUUUCCUUUACAUUAGAGAGAUGCAUGGAAUAACAGAGGUGACGGAAGAAUUCUAUGGUAAUUCAUCCUCCAAAAAGCCUUUUAACUCUCUUGAGAAGCUUGACUUUGCAGAUAUGCCAGAGUGGAAGCAAUGACACGUACUAGGAAGUGGCGAGUUCCCUUUACUUGAGUACCUUUCAAUUGAAAAAUGUCCGAAGUUGAUGGGGAAGUUGCCUGAAAAUCUUUCUUCUCUGACAACAUUAAGAAUUUCAGAGACACCUCUUUUUGAGGAAGCUCAACUGUUUAGAUCCCAAUUUGAGGGAAUGAAGCAGAUUGUUGAAUUAGAAAUUCGUGAUUGUAAUUCUCUUACCUCCUUACCUUUUAGCAUACUGCCCAGUUCCUUGAAGAGAAUAAGGAUAUCUCAUUGUCAGAGAUUGAAAUUGGAGGAGCCAGUUGGUUAUUGUAACAUGUUUCUCGAGGAAUUGAAACUGGAUAAAUGUGAUUCUAUAGAUGAUAUAUCACUUGAGUUUCUCCCAAGAGCACGCAAAUUGUCUAUUUCGCGUUGCCAGAACGUUACUAGGUUUUUGAUUCCAACUGCCACUGAAAGUCUCAGUAUUUGGGAAUGUGAGAAUCUUGAAAUACUUUCGGUGGCAGUUGAGUCUGCGAUGACGUCUUUGGAUAUUUCGUAUUGUGAGAAGCUCAAGUGUCUGCCAGAAAUAGAGCUCUUCAAUUUACAAGUCCUUAAGAUCAGUCAUUGCAAGAAACUAGUGAACGGCCGAAAGGAGUGGUGUUUACAGAGACUUCCAUGUCUCACAGAGUUGAUGAUCGAACAUGAUGGCAGUGAUGAAGAGAUCCAACAUUGGGAGUUGCCUUCCUCUAUUAAAAGACUUGAGGUAUGGAAUCUGAAAACAUUAAGCAGCCAAGUUCUCAAAAGCCUCACCUCUCUUCAAUAUCUAUUUAUUGAGGGUAAUUUACCUCAAAUUCAGUCACUGCUGGAACAAGGUGGGCUUCCCUCCUCUCUUUCUGAACUACUUUUAUGGAACCAUGAUGAGCUCCAUUCACUACAUCUUUGCCACCUCACUUCACUUCUAUGUCUACACUUCUUGAAUUGCCGUAAUCUCCAAUCACUCUCCGAAUCAACACUGCCCUCCUCCCUCUCUCAGCUGAUCAUCAUGAAUUUCCCUAAACUCCAAUCACUCUCCGAAUCAACACUGCCCUCCUCCCUCNNNNNNNNNNNNNNNNNNNNNNNNNNNNNNNNNNNNNNNNNNNNNNNNNNNNNNNNNNNNNNNNNNNNNNNNNNNNNNNNNNNNNNNNNNNNNNNNNNNNNNNNNNNNNNNNNNNNNNNNNNNNNNNNNNNNNNNNNNNNNNNNNNNNNNNNNNNNNNNNNNNNNNNNNNNNNNNNNNNNNNNNNNNNNNNNNNNNNNNNNNNNNNNNNNNNNNNNNNNNNNNNNNNNNNNNNNNNNNNNNNNNNNNNNNNNNNNNNNNAUAUUCGCAACUGCCCAUUGCUCACACCACUACUAGAAUUUGACAAGGGGAAAUACUGGCCAAAUAUUGCUCAUAUUCCCAUCAUACAGGUCGAUUGGAAAUACAUGUGAUGAUUAAAACAAAUGGUGCUCCCACUGAUGUAAGUUAUUCUUUUCCCUCAGAAACUUGUUAUUUUUGUUUUCUUCACUUUUCUUUUUUGCUAAUUUUUUUCCUUUUCUUUUUUUAUAUCCUGUUGAGCAGUGUGGAAUGUCUUUUGCUCAAUCCACACCGAAAAUUGCUCAUACUUCCACCAUAAAUGUUGAUUUGGAGAACCUGUAAUGAUUAUCACGAGUGGUGCUCCGAUAGAUAGAUGUAAGUUAUUCUAUUUCCUUAGUAGCUUUCCAUUUUUGGUUAAAUUCUUUUUCUUUGUUACAUCUUUUUUGACCAGUGUGUAGCAUCUAUUGCUUCCGUGAAGUCGAGGAAAUAGCUAUAGAUCAGGAUAAACUCUUUUAUAUUUGCAUUGAGACAUUGUAAAAGAAAAUCAUAUAUCAUAUCAUAUUAUAAGUGGGAAGCCUCUAUGUCAAAAGUUGAAUUACAAAAUGUCCUUGUAAUAUCAUAAUAUUUAUGGACAAAAAUGUAAAUAUAUAUUAAAUAUAAAUAAAAACUAUUGUAUUCUAUUAAACACUAUUAUUACAUAUUUAUGAACAAAAAUAUAAAUACACAUUAAUUAUAAUAAAUAUCAUAAAAUAUUUAUAAUAAUAAUAUUAUAUUCUAAAAAUGGAGAACUCACAAUCUUUGGCAUGAAUUAAUAUAGAUACAAUGAAUAUUUGUACAAUUGGAUGAUAUCCUAUUAAAUGACAAAAGAAAAUCAAAAGUUUAGGAACAAUUAAAAUGACCCUUAAGUGUACCUCAAUUACUCCUACCGUGCAAAGGUAUAAAAAUUUUCAGAUGAAUUAUAUUCAAAAAAUUAUAUUAAAUGCUAAGUAAUUGCUUCAAUAAAUACUUACUAUGAAAACUUGCAAUCGUUGAACUUUUGAUUUUCUUCUAUUAUAAUUAGCACAAACUAAUGAUGAAUAAUAUACUUGGUAAAUUAGUUAAAUUUAUCUUAUAUAAAUGGACAUUUAGCAUAUGCAUAAACUUUCACUAUUGGAUAUAUAUAUAUAAUUCUAUACUUAUUAAGCUCCCAAGUUAAAAGUUGAAUUACAAAAAUACCCUUCAACUAAAAAAAGAGAUUUUUUAAUAAAUGGUUGUAAUAUAAUUCUAUACUUAUUACGCUUUAAUUGUUUUAUAUAAUAAAAUAAUAAAUGGAAAAUGAAAAAAACCAAAGAGACGAUGAUCAGAUAAUAAUUUUUGAUACUUUAAAACUUUUGGUUUUUUUAUGUUAGAGAAAAGAACCCUUUCCUUUCUUCAUUUACAUUUUUAAAAAAAAUAGACCAAUAACUCUCUAAAUUAUCUAAUCUUUCCUCUUCCCCAAUUUAUUACUCAAUUAAAUCUUAAGUUAUAUAUAUUGAAUGAAAGAUGAAAGAACUUCCUGAAUAUACCGUUUCAUAUUCCUUUUUUGUGCACUUAUAUAAUUUAUAUAAAUGCAUAUUAUCAUAUAAGAUAAUAGGGUUGCUUCACUUCAGUUGCAACAUAAUAUUAUGAUAUAUUCUUUUGCCUCAUUUUCUUUUCAUUGCUUUAAUUUAUUUUUUUCUGUUUCAUGUCUGAUGUAGUGUAUUUCUUUGCUUAUAACAGGUCAUUUAGGUGAAUACUUUUUCUUCCAUAUUAUUCUUAUUUGUAAAAUAUAAGGUAUGUGCGUUUAUAUUCUCAUUCAUUCCUAUUUUUUUAAUAAUGUAGAUGCAUUCUUGGUGAAUUAUUUUGUUUUACUGUUUAUGGGGUUUCAUAAUUGGAGUGGUAGUUCCUUCAAAGAAAUAUUAGUAAAAGACAUUCCAAAAUAUCGUGAAAAAGACAUAUUUAGAGUUGAUUUAUAUUGUAAGCACAUUUGAAUGUUGCAUAUGAUUGUUGUAGUCCUCCUUUCUCAUUUUUUUAUUUCCAUUUCACUCUUAAAAAGAUAACAAUGAUUUUUUUUCCUAAUGUAAUCACUAUUCCUUUGCCUUCUUUUAAAAGUGAUAGUCAAUUCAUGAUUUUAUAAAAAUAACUACAAAUAGUUAAUUUACUUUGUAGUUUUAGUGAUAAUGUUUGGUUAUUUUUUAGAGUGUGCAAUUUAUUUUUACCAUUAUAAAUAAAUUACAUACGCUUUAAAUUUAUUGUAAUACAAUGUAAAUUACCUUGGUUAUUAUUAAUUAUUUUUAUUUUCCAUCUUCCUAUGUAUUAAUUUUUCUCAUAAUCUAUUUAUCUUCCUUUGCCUCAAAACAUUGUUAUCAUAUAUAUAUGUUAUUAUUUUGUUUCUUUUGUUUACUACUCUUCACCAUGCUACUAUAUCUUAUGUGUCAAUUUAGUUAUCAAAUUUUUUUUCCAGGUAAAAUAUUAAUGACCCAUGAAAUUUAUUCUUGAAAAGCUCGGUGUUUUCUUGAUCUAUUUCCAAAGUUAUUAUAUAGAUCUUAAGAGUAUUGAAUACUUAUCUGUUAGAUUGAAGCAAAUUACUCUGAAUUUUAUUACAUCUACAUCUUUAUCUAUUAAACUUAAAUUUGACCUUUCUAUAGCAAUCAGUUGAUUAGUGCUUUGUUAAUAGUAACUCUCUGAUGGGAUGUAAUUUAAGCAUUUUCCCUUGAUUUUGUGGCAGAGCAACACUAUUAUAUUAUAUAUAGAUAUAGCACAUUUGCAUCAUAAGAGCACCUAGACUAUUCUACAAAAUGAACUUGUAAUUUUCUAAAAGUGGGAACAAUCUAAGUCAAAAGUUGAAUUACGAAGAUACUUUUUGACUAUUAAUUUAUUUUCUUAAGAUCAUUUAAAAAAAAUAUUUUUCCAUUUAAAAUCAACUUCAUAACUACACCUCUUCAUUUUCCUAACUUAUCAUCUUAUGAUCAUAAAUAAACAAUAAAUAAUAAAUAAUAAGAAUAAAAAUAAAAAUUUAUUAAAAGUAGAAAACUCAAAAAUUUAAAGUUGGAUUACCAUUUUACUCUUAUACUAAAUAAAAAAGUUAUAAAAUAUUUUAAUAAUUAAAUAUUAAAUAAUAAUCAUAAAUUAAUUUGUCAUUUUUCCUUCACAUAAAAAAGGGAAAUAAAACUUUUAUUAAAUUAGUAAAUAUAGUAAGUAUAUAUAUAAGUACGACCACAAUAUUUUAAAAACUGAAUUAUCAAAAUGUCCAUAAAAUGUUGAAUGACAUCAAUAUCCUUCAAUCAAAUAUUAUUCCUAUAAUAAUAUUGUACAUGGAUUUAAAUAUAUACUUAGUUCAAUGCAUUAGGCUAUUGAAUAUAUAUACACGAAAAAACCCAUUAAUGUUUUGUCAUUUAUUUAACUCUUAUUUAUGUUUUUUUCUUUCUUGAAGGUAAGUCUAUCUUCUAAUAAAUAAAAAUAAAUAAUAAUAUAGCAAAUGAAUGACCUAGAUAAAUUAAAGACAUAGAGUUAUGUGUAUUCAAUUUCUGUAAAUGCUUUAUCUUCCGAUUCUUAAUGCGAAAAGUAAAAUAUCUCUUUGUAGUAAUAAACAUAUGGAGAAUUGAAAAAGUUGCUUGGUAUAUUCAAUGCGGAGUAAUUCAUUUGAUCAAUUCAAUACAAUAUAUUCAUUUACUAAAAUGUUAUAUAUUGUGUAUAUAUAGUGAAAAAUCACAAGACAAUUAUUUCAAUUCAUCAAAUUAUUAGAUUAUCAAUCCUACUUUGUGUAGCGACAUUUUUUCAUAUUCAUUUUGUGUUUGUGUCUCUCUUUUCUACUUCUGCUUAUGUACUCUAUUUUUUCUAUUCAUAUUAUAAGUUAUUGUCUUUAAUUUGACUUAUUCAUAUAUGUUUUCUGAUUAGUUGAAAGUUCAUUUUACUUGGGUAUGCAAACAUUUGUAUCAUAGUUAUUUCACCUCUUGCAACAUAGAAAUUUAUCAUAGAAAUAUCAAAUCAGAUAAGAUUACUUUUUUUUUAAGUAUCUCCUUGGAGUAUCAUGAAACUAUAUGUUCUUGUUUAUGUAAUUUUGGUUAGGAAUCAAUUUACAUAAUUUAACUUAUAUUUUUUUUGUUUAAUUUACAUAAGAUAGAACUAAUAAUUUUGAAUUAGGCAAGGGGUACACGACCUAUAACAAUUAUGAUUUAUAUACAUCGAUUAGAUAUUUGAGCAAUUAUUAUUUUUAUCACUAAUAAUAACUAUUUUUUUUGUAGGUGUACACCAAAAAAUUGACAAUGAUCCACUAGCUAUCAUAAGAAAUGUAUGUGUUGAUCGAAUUUAUAUGCACUUUUUACAAAACACAAAUCACAUUCGAUAACAAUUUCUUGACCUGUAUGUGAUUGUAAUAAGGUGGAGGCUACAAUUUCUAGAAAGAAGGCAAAAAUUUUAGAACAUGAAAUAUUUUGAACCAAUAAGAGAUACUUAAAUUAUGUGUUGUGACAUAUUAACAAAUCUUUUAUCAAGUUGAAUACUUGAUAUAUUAAAAAACACAUAAUUAAAAGUGUUCGAAUAUUACUUUUGAAAUUCACUUGAUAGCAAUAUUUUAGCAUUAUGUACCUUCUAUUGAUAAUAAUCUUGAUUGAAUAGGCUCACCAUUAAUUGAUUUGAGCUUGUAGAUUUUCUCUUCAAUUACUAUGCAAGUUAUCGCACAAUGUUCAUCUUCUAGCCAUCUUAAGGAAGACAUAGAUUGAUCAAAUUUCUAUAUAACUUUUGCAAAACACUACUCUUAUUUGACAAAAACUUCUUAUAAAUACAUGCAAAUCUUCAAUUUUUGUGCAACUUAUCACACUAAUUAUAAUGUUUCCAAAGUUCUUGUACUAAUAAAGCAUGAGAUACAUGGGCAACAUACAUGUUCAAGCAUACAGUGGCGAAUUUACUGCCAAAAAAUAGGGCACCCGCACCCGUGGUCUCUUCGUAAAAUUAGAUAUUUUAUAUGUAUAUUUUUUAAGAUUUUAUAUAAUAUUAUAUUCUUGCACCCGUACUACGAGAAGUCUAAAUGGUCCACGUGGUUAAAUGUUGAGCUUCUAUUUUACCCCUACAUUAAAUAAAAAUGUUAUAAGCUAUUAAUAAAUUAAAUAUUAAAUAAUAAUUAUAUCAUACUAUUAUAUUAUUAUACUAAUGCUAAUCAGUAUAUACCUGCUUGUUAAUUUUAUCCAUUUUUGGCUUUUGAUUUUCUUCCUAAUCUAGAUUACUCUCCCAUUACCUAUGAACAUUCACUUAUUGCUAUAAUAAUAAUAUUAAAGAAGGUGAAUGAAGAGUUGCACAAUAUUAAUUAUGAGAAAUGUUCACUUAUUGCUCCAACAAUAAUAAUGAUGAAUAAGGAAAAUGAAGAGUUGGGGUAAUUUCUAUCCAAGUCAAUAUUAUAUUUGUGUAGCAAAGAGGUCAUCCAAUGGUUAUAUAGCAAAAAUGCAUGAUUGUUAAAUAAACUUUUCAUUUCACUCUAAAUACAUUAGUUGAUCACUAAUCACUUUCAUUAUAUUCUUUUAUUUUUUACAGGAGAAAAAUGUACGUGUACAUUCUAAAACUUCAUACGAAGCUUGCAAUGUGAUGGGAACGGAUGUUUAAAAUCUUUGUGGAGAUUGAAAUUCAUCUUUUUAUAAAGAUGGCCUUCUAACAAGCAUAAUAAGUAACUACUAUAUUUUCAUGUUUUGACAACUUCUCUUUUUAUAUUUCCUAUUAAUGAUUGUGACAGCUUUUAUAGGAUAUGUCCUACCUUGGGAUUAGAUGAGCUUUUGGGGAGCUACAGUAAUCACAAGCUUAGCUAGCGCCAUGCCUGUAGUAGGAGAAUUAGCCGCCUUAUUUAUGGAUUUUCCUCUGGUAUUGGGGAAUGGGGGGGCACCCCUACAAGACUUUAAUCUAAACAUGAUGCCUGAUUUGAAUCUACCUGCGGAACCCGAGCCCUAUCAACCACUAUUUCCCCAGGUUCCUCUUGGGACUCUGUCCUUAGAGGAGCUAAUUUUUAAGCAAUUAUUGAAGGAAUUCAACAAGUUUUCACUGAUUUACAUACUUUGGGUAAGUGAGAUGGAAACUCUCUUCUUCCUUUCUUUGUCAUUUCACUUAAUUAUGUUAUGUAAGUUGAUCAUCGAAAAGGUGCUACAUUUAUCAUUCUUUCAUUAAAUUUAUUCCUCUUAUUUUAUUAGAGCUUAGUUUUUCUUGUUUCAUAUCAUACCUAGCUAGCUACAAUCUUUGGAAGAAAAUUAUUAUAGAUAAUUAUGAUGGUCAUAUCUAAGUAUGUUGAUUACCUAAUUUUUUCUUGCAUGCACGUUAGUAAUGUUUAGGUGCACUUCUUAAAUUUAGAGCAAGAGUUCCUUGAUAUGUCAUAUAUCAUCAGAUGCUAUAUUAUUUUAAUUAGUGUUACAUAAUUCAACAUAUCUUAUUUUCCAAAACAAAUAACUAAAAGUUAAAUGAAAAGAAUUAGUUGUCACCCUUGUAUUUGUAUAGAGAAACAUAUAUUUAGAUAUUUUAGUCUAGAAGAUUAUAUUUGAAAUCCUUCUUUUCAUUUAUUUUUGGAUGCAAAAGUAAGCUUUAUAUAGAAACAUAUUAAUCAAUACAAGAUUUAUCAUAUUUAUAAAAAUAUAAUGUGAUAAAUAUUUAUAUCAACAUGAUAUUAGACUUAUAUAAAUUUUAGAUCAUAAUAGAAGACAAACGUGCAGCGCACGUUUUCAGAACUAGUCUAGUAUAGGUAGGAAUUGAGAUAAUUUGCUCCAGAAAGUUGGUUGUUUAAUAUAUAUCAGCAGGAUGUUUAUAGCAAUUCAUUUAUGAUCUUGUGAUGAAUCUCACUCUUCAUCUUAGUUGGCUAUUACGACUCACUUUUCUUGUCUAUUAAUAUAUGUUCUCUCUCAAAUCUUGUAGACUGAAAUAUCUCCACCAUAGAAGUCGAUGGAGAAUACAUUUAAUGAUUAAAGCGAAUGAUGCUCUCACAAAUGUAAGUUUUUCUUUGUCCUCAGAAGCUUUCUAUUUUUGUUUACUUCCCUUUGCUUUUCCUUUGCUAAGAUCUUCUUGAGCAGUAUGGAGUAUCGAUUGCCACUAUGAAGUCGAGAAAUCAUCUUCAGUUCGAGAGAAAUUUAAUUUUAGAUAACCAAAAAAAAAACAAAGGUGAAAAAAUCUUUAUAUUCGUGUGGGAACAUUGUAAAACGAAAUCUAGUAUACAUAGGAAUUAAAAUAAUCUGCUCCACAAAAUCUUGUUCUUUCCGUUUUUAGUGAGUUUAGAGUUAUGCACAUGUUCACUAUUGAAUUCAAAGCUUUAAUAGAAUUCAAAGGUGUACAAUACACAAGGUUUGUUUCCUAUCUAUCAAAAAUAUAUAAAAGGGUGCUCUGACAAAUGUAAGUUAUUAUUUUCCCUUAGAAUCUUUUUGUUUUUGUUUUCUUCACUUUGCUUUUUUAAAAUCUUGUUGAGCAGUGUGGGCGUCUAUUGCUCAAAUCACGGCAACUAACGAAGAGUUGCUCAUAUUUUCACCAUAAAUGUUGAUUGGGAGAACAUAUAAUGUUCUCCAAUAUAUGUAAGUUAUUCUAUUUCCUUAGUAUCUUUUGAUUUUGGUUAAUUCUUUUUCUUUGUUAAAUCUUUUUUACCGGUGUGUAGCAUCUAUUGCUUCUGUGAAGUCAAGGAAAUAUUUUUAGAUCAGGAUGAAAUCUUUAUUUGCAUCGAGACAUUGUAAAAGAAAUAUGGUAUAGGUAGGAAUUGAGAAAUAUGGUUGUUUAAUAUAUGUCAGCAAGAUUUUUAUAGCAAUUCAUUUAUUCUAGUAACAAAUCUCACUCGUCAUCUUAGUUGACUAUUAAGACUCACUUUUCUUGUUUAUUAACCUAUGUUCUCUCUCAAAUCUUGUAGACUGGAAUAUUGUUCGCCAUCAUGAAAAUUCUGCUCAUAUCUCCACCAUAGAAGUCGAUGGAGAAUACAUUUAAUGAUUAAAGCGAAUGAUGCUCUCACAAAUGUAAGUUUUUCUUUGCCCUCUGAAGCUUUCUAUUUUUGUUUACUUCCCUUUGCUUUCCCUUAAUUUAGAUCUUGUUGAGCAGUAUGGAGUGUCUUGUGCCACUAUGAAGCCGAGAAAUCAUCUUCAGUUUGAGAUAAAUUUAAUUGUAGAUAACAAAAAAAAAAAAAAACAAAGGUGAUAAAAUCUUUAUAUUUAUGUGGGAACACGGUAAAACGAAAUCUAGUAUAUAUAAGAAUUAAAAUAACUUGCUCCACAAAAUCUUGUUCUUUCCGUUUUCAGUGAGUUUAGAGCUAUGCACAUAUCGACUAUUGAAUUCAAAGCUUUAAUAGAAUUCAAAGAUGUACAAUACACACAAGGUUCAUUUCCUAUCUAUCAAAAAUAUAAAAGUUUGCCUCCCAAUAAAUUUAAUACCUAAAAGCAUCAGCACUAUUCAAGUUUUUAUUAAUGAUUAUUGGAUAUCAACUUAGCAAAUUUUUUUCUUUGUCAGGAUUCUGGUAACAUUAUAUGUAAGCUAUUGCCGCUCUAGCUCAGUUUGUACCAGGAAAGUUCUGCUGCAAUUCUCUAUUGAAUAGACUAUUGCUAGAAUGUGGUCUGACAGCAAAGUGUAAGUGAAUAAAGAUAGUUUCGCAGUUUUGUCGCUGACCGUAAACAUUAGGUUUAUGCUUUGAACUGUUUAAACAUAAAUAUAUGUGAUCAUUAGAAUGAUGUAUAUCUUUGAUAUUAAUGACGUUUAAUAUUCUUUUCAGAAUAUAAAUUAUGUCGUGCUUAUCAUCAAACACGUAUCUUUAUUUUUAUGCUCCAUAGAGAAUCUAAAUUUUAGAAAAGAUAAUCACGGAUAAUGAUCAGAAGUAUUAGGAAAUAAGUAAACUUCCAUUGCCAGAAUUAGAUGUUUUAUAGAAGUGCAGCUAAUUGUUGUGCGUUAUAUAUUCUUGUGCGUUAAGUAAACUCUUGCAGGAUUCUGUUACAUCAGUAUGAAUGUUGGUUUCUCAUUGCUUAUUGUUGUGUCUUUGUAGUUCUCCCUGAACAGACUGUUAAAUGGGAAUUGAUGUCUUUCACAUUGCUUUGUUCUUCUAGCUUCUUCAGCAUAAAAAAUUGCUUAGUAAUCAUUCAUGUGCUGCUAUAAAUAUAGACAGUAUGUGGUCUGUAAUUGUGACACGGGGAUUGGCUUAGAGUUCUAAAAUUUCUUUGUAAUUGCUUUCAGUAAGAAGGUUGUGAUUUCCAAGUCGUACAGCCGUCUACUAUGACUUCCUUGAGAUGAAGCAUGGCUUGCUGCAAAUGGAACAUACAGCUCUAUUGGAACCCAAAGGUACAUGAGAAAAAAGUUGUUUAAUGUAAUACACAAGAGACAUAUUGUACAUUAUGGUCAUAGAUUAUAAGGAAAGAUAUUACUUUUUCAUCGUUAGGAUUUUGACAAGACUCGGUGAUCAUUUGGGAAGUGAAGAGUUUCGAAGGUUUCUCUGUUCAAGUUGAGAAGCGAAAGCUGUUGAACUAUGUAUGUAAUAGCUUAUUGUUGACUUUGGGUCCUAGGCUCCCACGACUUUAAAAUGCAUCACUCGGGUCUAAUGUCACUUCUUUUUAUACCAACAAUCAAUAUCUUUAUUGCGUUUUGUUUAGUCGAUGUGGUAUAUGCCUAGGAUGCUACAAUGUUGUUCUUUUAACCCUGGAUACCAAGACGGAAAGCAAGAGACGACACAAUUAUUGAACUUUCUGUAUUGAGAAAUCGGAAUGUCUGGACGCAAAUGGUUAGAGAAAACUGUAAAUGCAAUGUAAAAUGUAUAAGAAACAUGGGAGACUUUGAGGAGUGAAAUUUAUUUGCAUAAUUUUUUAAUGUUGUUAUUACUGAUUAAAUGGUGUGUGUGUAUAUUUUGUUUAGUGGAAUUCUUCCCAUACAUGAGUGGAGCUAGAGAGGAAGCUAUGGGUUUGUCAAAUAUUGGUAACUAUACAAAACAAAGACUAACACUGUAAUGAAUGGUCUCCGAUUACUAUUUUCACUUAUCCUUUUCUUUGUCAGGAUUUUUAAAGGAAAGUUUUGCUGCAAUUCUCUGCUGAAUAGACAGUCACUUGAAUGUGGUCGUGACUGAAAAAUGUAAGUGAAUAACUUCUAGUCAUUUUUUUUGUUUCCAGAUUAAGAUAGGUUUGCAGUUUUGUUAUCGCUGAGGGUAAGUGCAAAAAGACUAGUCACUUAUCAGGAUUUCUGAAGCAAUACAGCAUCCAAUUGUUGUCUCAGUUAGAUUGCUCGUUUUUUACAAAUGUAAGCAAAGGUUUUCCAAAAUGAUAGCAAAAGCUUGAGUCCCUUUUCAACAGUCAUGUGAUGCUAAUUUUUUCUGUUGUUUUGCAUUUUCGUCUUUGCUUUUCGUAAGCCUGGGAUUAACUUUUGUCAUCUGGAAUUUGAUAAGCAUAAAAAGUUAUGUUUUACUCCUUAUGAUAUGCAGAUAUGUAGUUGCAGAGAUGAAGUCUCCAUGAGAGGGGUAAGAUAUCAUAUAAAGAGUAUGACAAUCUGGCUUGGCAAGACCAGUUUGACAUCCAAGACAGUGAAGAGCUUAAUAGAAUGAAGGAAGAAAAUGCCAAUCUUCAAGAAAAACUGAAUGAUGCAGGUAUACAUUCUUAAUUGAUAUUCCAGACACUACAGAUUUGUAAAAUAUAAAAAAUCGCUCGUGAGCCAUAUAUGAUAUAUUGAAUUUUAAACUUCUUCACUUGCAGUAAUCACUUUCUUAGUCAAAUAAAAUGAUAGUAUUUCCUUAAUUGUCUAGAGGAAUCAUACAUGUACAACUUUAAAUAGAAAUAUAUUUAAAUAGAUUUUUUUUUUUAAAAAAAAGUUUUUAAAAUGAUGGAUAUUAUUAUGUUAAAGCUUUUGAAUUUAAAGGUUCUUUCAAUCUUUAACGUUACACUAAGUGGAGAUAACUAGAUUGAAACUAUAAUUUUUAUUUUUUCUCAACUAUAUGGUAUUAGAUGAUGUAUACAAAUUUGAAUUUUUAAGGUGAAAAAUUUCUUGUUUUCUCAAAGAUGAAGCAAACGAUACUUUAUUUAAUACUAUAGAUGAUGAACUGAUAUAUACACAAAGAACAAUUCAUGCAACACAACUUUUUUUCUACAGAUAGGGCAAUUGUUCUUCUCUGAUAGCCAGGUGAAUAUGCAACUCCUAUGGAAUACAUGGGAGCACGGUGUGGUCACUGCCACCACUGAUUCAUGACAAAAUUUCCCAAAGCAAAUAGGGCAUAUGUCGUCUGCCAACUCAAAAUUAUUCUUCAAUAAUACUUCCCCCACUGUCAUAAUCUUCAAUCCGCAUAUAAAUUCUUGUUUUUUCCCAUCGAAUACGUUUUCAGAACAAAAAAAGCAAAGCGCGCUCCAUCAAGUAAUUAGACAUAGAAUGAAGGAUGUUUUGAAUAUCAGAAUUUUCAACAUCAAACUCUAUGUCAAGUCGAGCCAAAUAUAGUUCAUCCGUACAAUAAAAUCCAUUUAGAUAUAAAUUUCUCCUCUUAUUAUCAGACUCUAGAACUCCAUACAUGUAAAAUUAACUAUAUUUUCAUCGCUGCUCUCACUAACAUUAUUCCACAAUAUCUCGUACAUAUUACUAUUAUUAGUUAAGCAGAUCAUUUCCACGUCCACGUUCACAGUCACCACAAUCAACUGAAGUAGGAAACAAAUUCAAUUAGGAUUUUCCCGAAUUAACUUCGUGAAAUAAAUCAAGAGUAGGAAUCCUAACUAGUUUAUGAUUUAUUAUAUGGUAUUUAAUUAUGUCUUAGUCAGGAUCUGUUUGUCAUAGUUCAUACGGUGAUAAGUUUUUCUAGUCCUAAUUUAGAGCCCAUUUGGUGGGAAUAACAAUUUAUUUUCCUUCCUACACAAAUCAGGAUUUUCCGGAAUUAACUUGGUUUUCAUGGUAAAUAAAUAGAGAGUGGGAAUCCUAAGUAGUUUAGAAUUUAUUAUUUGAUAUUUAUUUAAUUAUGUCUAGUUAUAAUUUAUUUGUCUGGUUUAUAUAGGAAUAGGUUCUUUUAGUCCUAGUUUAAUUUGGUUUGUUAGUAUUAUAAAUAGGGGUAUCUUAAUUAUUACAUAUUUCCAUAUAAGGUUUUUCAAAUCCGAACCAAAAUUGAUAACUCUAACCAACAAAAAGUUAUUGAUUUAUCGGUAAUGGUUAUUGGUAUAGCUGUUUCGGUAACGGUUUUAAUUUUUUUUAAUUAUCGGGUUAUCGAUUCUUAACGGUUUGAAGUUUUUUCUUAACGGAUUAACCAUAACUUGAUAGUAAAUUAAAUAACUAUAUUUAUACCAUUUGGUAUAUAAAGUCCUUGAAAUUUUUAUUAUCGGGUUAUUCAAUUCUUAACGGUUUGAAGUUUUUUAUUAACGAAUUAACCAUAGUCUGAUAGUAAAUUAAAUAAUUAUAUUUAUAUCAUUUGAUAUAUAAAGUCCUUGACUUAGAGUUAAGUUUCAUACGUUUAUUUUAGGUUGUCUCAAACUUUCAAUUAUUUUACAAUGUUAUUGUGUUAGCUUUUGAGCAAGAUGCAUUCUAGCAACUUUCAUGUGCAUGAUUCAUUUGGUUUGUCAUUUUGUUUCUGAGUAAUUUUCCAUGAUUUUUUUGUGUCAAAUUCUAACGGUUAAAUCGAUAACGAUCUACAAUUGAUCAACCAAUAAGAAGUAAGUCAAUAUCUUAAUGGUUUUAGCAUAUUUACAAACCGAUAACCGAUAACCGAUAUCUUAUAUUGUACUAUAUAUAUGUUUUUAAAAUACUUUUUAUUUGCGUCUUUCUUCACUAAAACAUGCUCUUCAGCUUGCACUGACACUUGCUCUCUUCUGCUUUUGCCUUUUACACCUGCUUUACACAUCCAUUAAUAUUAGUUGACUUGAUGAGUGUUUUAGCUUAAGGUACUACGUCAAAAAUAUGUUUUAGUGGUAAUGGAAUAAUUGCCGUUAAAUAUAUAUGAUUUAGAUGCAAUUACUAGUGACAAUUACAUUUAGCACUCUUUGUAAAUGUCAAUAAAAGGUUUAACACUCUUUGUUAAUGUGUAUAUUUAUUACCGCUAAAAGUUAUUUUUGUUGAAGUGAGGAAGGCUUUAGAGACAAAAUCCUCCGGCGACUGAAAAGCUUCAAUAUCACAACAAAAACCGACAAAUCUACUAUCACCCGUAGUAUAUUUGGGUUGUAACUUGUUGAAAUUGAAGUUUCGAAAGCUUUGUCAAAUUUUGGAUUUUUCUUCCGAACGGGUAAACCGUAAAUUUUGUCUAGUCUGCUUUCACGCAAUUCAACUAAUUCGACGUGAUACUUGUCACCUCCCACCAGCAGACAGCAACAGGUAUGGGUGGAAAUGCUUUUUUUUUUUUGUCUUUGCAGGGAUUUAACCCACUUUAUUAAAUACUAGGCUACACCCUUGGACGUAGAAGAGGUAAAAUUAACUGUAUGAUUCCUUUCCUAGUUAGUAAUAUGUAAUAUGCCUUUAUGAACUUGUUGUAGGAGUAAAAUCAUCUCCGUCGUUAUGAAAACUGAUAUACAUAUGUUUGUUGCAAGUUGUCAAUUAGCAAUUACACAAACUUACCACUACCUUGUAGAGAGGUUGUUCCGAUAGGCUCUUAACUCAAGUAAACAUAGAAAAAAUAAUACUCAAGAGAAAAGGAAAAUUGAACAGAUUCCAAUUCUUCACAAUUAGGCCCCAUUAAGCGCUACAAUGAGCUGUUGAAAAAUGAAUAAGUGCAUAAAGAAAAAAGUAAUGAAUAGACAUAAAGCAAAAGAUACCUUCCUCUAUUAUUGCCUCAAUUAUUCAAUUACGAGUCUAACGUUUUUUUCGAGUCAUACAUUUUGAAAAGAGAAAAAAGGACAAUUUAUCUUCUCAAAAUUCUUAAAAUUAUUUUGUGGUUCUUUCUUUUGCUUGAAUAUUUGGUGGUGCAUUUCUCUCUUCAGUUUUGAUUGUUCUCUUUGAUAGGCUUGCACAACUUUAAACGCGUCAAGUGAGUCUAAGGUCACUUCUUUAUGCCCUUAUGAAACAAAAAGAAGAUUUUUGAAUCAGUCUUGAAUUAAGGAUGUGUGUUAUGUGUAGUCCUUUAAAUCUUGUGAUUUUAAACUUGUCGUCAAGUAGAAUAUAGGAAUUGAAAACUUACUAUAUAUAAAAAGAGGUACUCUUUUUGAGAUAAAUCAAAAAGAAAAGUAAGACCCCCAAGGGGUUUGAUGUGGACAAUCUAACCUAAUAAAAAUAUUAGUCUCUCCUUUCACAACUCAAAUUCGUGACCUAUAAGUCACAUGAAGACAAAUUACCCUGUUGCUCCAAGGCUCCCCUACACAAUGGAUCAAUAGAUUUAAUUUCUGACCAUUGUUUAGGUUUCAACUCUAAAGAGGUAUAAUGCAAGAAAAUAAUUUAAACAGUUUGUUAUAACCUCAAAAAAGAAGAAAAGAAAAUGAUAAGAAAGGAAGUGCGAUGAAAAAAAAAAAAAAGAAAGUGAAGUAUCAUUCAAACAAGGAAUCCAGUUUUGUUAAAUUCAAAAUUUUAGCAAUAAUAUUUAUUUAUUUUUUGACGAAAAAUCUUUUCAAGAAUAUAGAGUAAGCAUAGUCCUGGUAUGGUAGUCCCUUUUAGCACUAUAAUAAUGAGCGGUAUAAAAAUUUAUCAUUUUAAGCUCUUUUAUUUUUAGUAGAAACAUAUUCAUGAAUGUGUUGAAACAUAUUUAUGAUAUGGUAGUCCCGCCUGGCCCCCCUUUCUACACCCCAAGCACCAUUCAUCUCUUGCUUCAAUUAUUUGACUAGGAUUUUCAUUUUUAGGAUUUUGAUAACGCUCGACAAUUAUUAGGGAAGUGAAAAGUUUUGAACGUCUCUCAAGGGAAAUGUGUUUGAAGUUUAAGUGAUAUUUAUUCUUAUGUUCGAUUUAGCAUCAGGAUGGUGGCUAUAAUAGUUUGUAUUUUUGGCUUUGGGCCUAGGCUCGCACAAUUUUAAACAUGUCACUUAGGUCUAAGGCUCACUUCUUUAUAUACCAACAAUCAACAUUUCUCUUGUGUUUUGCCUGUGUGGUAUUUUCCUAGCAUGUUACAAUGAUGUUGUUUUUAGUCUGGAUAUGUCUUGGCCUACGGAAAGCAAAAGACAACACAAUUAUUAAUUCUCUUACAUAAUACUUUUGCAGAGAUAUUUCAGUGUUUGGUCUUUCCAAGUAAUACCAAAGCUAAUAUAUGUAUUAUUUUCUCUAAUACUUUGUACUAAUUCUGGUAUAUCACGAGAUUAGUAACAAAACUCUGGAUAAGACAAUACUAAAAUUUUAUCCCAAGACUAUCUAUGAUCGACUAGCUUACCAUACUACCUUUUAAAAUUAUUGAUGAAGCUUGAAUGAUACUUUACAUUGUUGGAACAAAAAACUGUUCUGGUAAAUUAUUAAACGUGUAUUAGCAGAAACUAUUAAUGUCUACUUAUAUUUUAACUCAAUAGGAUUAUUAAGUAAAUAUUGAACAAAAUAAAUCCGUUAGAACUUGUAUAGUACAUCAGUUCUACAACCACAUGCUCUAUUCUCUAUAUUGAAAAAGUAACUGAUAAAGUUUAAUUGACACCAAUCAAACUACAGGAGAAACCUACCCCUCUUAACUACAUAUCCAAACCUAAUAAAAAUCAAUGAGAAAUAUGUUCUUUUUUCUUGGAUGAAUUCAUCCACUCACAAUUAAAGUUAACACAAAUUUUUACUUAGACACCUAAACUAAGGGGCCGUUUGGCCAUGUGAUAUAGAAUCAUGAUAUGGUAUUAUAAUAUGGAGUCAUGAUAUGAAAUUGAUGUUUUGUUUGGACAUGCGAUAUGAAAUUUUUGUGUUGUAUAUUUUCUCAUAACAUACGAAUCUCAUAAGUUGUAAAACUAUUAAAAUAACCUCAAUUGUUUAAUCAAUCUUACCACUUGAACACCCUUAUCUUCAUUCCCUUAAUACUUUCACCUGAAAAGGCCAUCCCUUCUCCUAUGUAUAUGUGAAGUAGGAAACAAAUUCAAUAUUUUCCUUUCCUACACAUAUAAGGAUUUUCCUGAAUUAACUUUCUGGAAAUAAAUCAAGAGAAGAAUCCUAAAUAGUUUAGGAUUUAUUAUUUGGUAUUUAUUUAUUUAUUAUGUCUCGUUAGGAUUUGUUUAUUCUAAUAUCAUACAUGAAUAAGUUUUUUUAAGCUAAUUUGAAUGUACUUGAUAUAUAAUUUACUAAACAUUGUUUCAAACAAUUUAAACUCGAAACAUCUGGAAAAAAAAUUAAGUUUUUUUAACCCUUUUCGUGGGAGCUCUCACCUACAUCAAAAAGAAUUUUUAGCAGAAUAAAUUAAUUGCCGCUAAAUAUAUAUAUUUUUAGAUACAAUUACUAGUAACAAUUACAUUUAGCACUUUUUGUAAAUGUCGUUAUAGCUACAGGGAUAUUGAAUCUAAUGACAAUUAUCUAAUUUUGAUAAAGGGUUUAACACUCUUUGUUAAUGUGCAUAUUUAUUACCGUUAGAUGUUAUUUUUGUUGAAAUGAGGAAGGCUUUAGAGACAAAAUUGUGAUGGCAACUACGAAUUGAAAGCUUCCAGGUAUGUUUCUCGUAAGCUCUCCAACAGUUAAAUAUUUAAAAAGUACUAUAGAUUGUAAUAAUUAAUAACUUAAAAUAUUUAACACAGUUAAAUAUAUAAAAAGUACUAUAAAUUGUAAUAAUUAACAACUUAAAAUACGUAAAAGAUAUAUAAUAACCGAUCAAAGAAAAAUUUAAUUGACUCUCAAAAUUUCAAUCGUGUCACAUAAAUUUGGGCGGAGAGACUAAUAUAUUUUUCAAAUUAGGUUAUUAAGUUUAUCAUUAUUCAAACAACUUAUUAUUAUAACUAGUUUGUGGGCACGUGCAUUGUACGUGUCCCAUAUAAUUUUUUAUAGAUCCAUUUAAAUGAAUAAAAUUCCUUUUAAUGUUUAAAAUUAUCCCUUAUGAGCAAUCAACUAUAGAUUUUGAACUUUGAUUUGUAGUUAGCAAACUUUCAAUAAAGUCACAAAUUGCUAACUUGACCGCAAAUAAAAAUACAAAUUUACAACAAUAAAAAUUUCAUAGAAAAUUAAUGGACCAUGAAGCUACAUUGUAAAACCUAACUUUCAAAAAAUCAAAAGUCUAAUCAAAUCAUUACACAAAUAUUUCAAUUCACCGCACCACAUUUUUGUAGAAUAAAAAGUAAAUAGAAUUGCAGGAAAAAAUAUAAAAUAAAUAAAUAAAUAAAAUUGACCAAAUACUUCUCCAGCCUACUUAAAUAUUGAUAAAAAUCUCUAUUUUCCUUAGUCUCAGGUCUUGACUCACCUCGUGCUCUAUACCCUUUGAUUAUAUAACUACAAAAUAAGAAGCUGGACUCCAUAUAUUAAAAUCGAUUGGUAUAUGUAAGAGAUGAAAAUAAGAAAUUAUAAAAACAUAAAACAAAAAUAUUUAACCAUAAUACGCUAAAUUAUCAUUGAGAUGAUACCAAUACAAAUGUAAAUAAGUUGGUGUACCAGAUUUCUUAUCACAUGUAGCAAGUAUUUGUGAUUCUUAUGAAGGAAAAAAGAAGCUUUGAAAAUAUUAUAUAGAGACAGGUAAAGCCAUGAGAAUUAAAACUAAAAAAAAAUGUUUUAAUUUGUAGAGUAACCAUUUAAGUGGAGUUAUUUAGAGAAUUAAUGAUAGCCUUUUGGGUUUUAGAACUGAAAAAGAUUAUGAGAAAUAAAGAAGAUUAAAUAAGGAAGGUGUAAUUAAAAAAAUAUAAGUUUAAAGUGAUUUUAAAAUUUUUUAAUAUCAUAUCAUAUCAUAUAUAUAUAUAUAUAAAAGAGAACCUUAAGCCUGCCUACGUGGCGCUACCACAGACCAGAAUUCCCUUUUAAUUUAUUUAUUUCCAAAACUAGCCUUCACCGAAAAGUUGUGACUUUUUACGAAAAGUUGUGACUUUUAUGAAAAAUUGUGACUUUUAAGAAAAGUUGCGACUUUUAUGAAGAGUUGUGACUUUUAAGAAAAGUUGUGACUUUUAUGAAGAGCUGCGACUUUUAUGAAAGGUUGUGACGUUUAUGAAAUGUUGUGACCUUUUCGAAGGGUUGUGAUAUUUCCAAAGAGUUGUGACAUUUCCAAAGAGUUUUGACCUUUUUGAUAAGGCACAAUAAACAUAUUUGUUCACACUACUAUUUAUUGCCUAUAAAUAGAGGGAUUUCCCACUCAUUUUAAAUUUUAAAACAAUGAAAAUUCUGAACUUUUUUUUCUUCUUCUACACAAUUAAAUAUUCAUGCACUUUGCUCAUGUUGAGUGGCUUACUGACACCAUUGUUUUUGUAUCAAUACCUUGGUGAAUAAAAUCGUUCCAUCCUAAGAGGAUCUAAUUCAUUAAACCUCGGGUAUUAGAGGGGAAUAAUUUUCUUAAUGGGACACUGUGCAUUCAGUGGACUCGAUUUUUUCCUUUCUAUUUCAUUCUAAUUUUGCAUAUCCUGGUAAUUUUUUUUACAAUCAUUAAUUUAUUCUUAUGAUGUUAAUUGUUGUUUUUGAGUACAUGUUUUAAACUAUGUUGUUUAUGUUUCUACAAAGUUAUUGUCUCUAGUUAUAUUGAACAUAUACACAUAUAGUAGGUAUAUUGCUUGUGCAGAAAAUAAUUAUCGUACUCAGUUCCAAGAAUACAUGUUUUGAAAUUCUAUAUAAAAUUCUAUGACUUAAAAGUACUAUAUAUAAGCUUACAUAUUAUCUAGUUUAACAUAGAUAUGAGGUCUCUCACUUAUCAAUUGAAGAAAUUCAUUAUGCAAGUUCAAAAGUUAUAAUUGCUUUCAUGUUCAAGCGUAAUUUCUUUUUUGAAUAUGUUAACAAAUUUUUGAAUUUUUCUCUGAGACAUAUAUCACAACUGUAUAAUCUAUGCAACUUAAAUGUGUUCUUUUAUUAUGAAAUGCCUUUGUAUAUAUAUUCUUAUUUUUCUUUUAAUGUUGAUUAAAGAACCAGUGAUUUAUUAUUUCCUGAAUAAUUCAUUCAUUAGAGGUUCUUUUGUUAUGUGAUAAUGACAAAUAAUCAAAUUCAUGUUGGAAUAUUGCUAAUAUUUUUUUAAGAACCUAUUUUUUCCAUCAUUUUUAAUGUAUGAAUAUUAGUAAAGGAUUAUUUGCAAGUUCAAUGCAAUUAUUAUUUGUGACCGCGCGAAGCGCGGGCAAAUUACGUAGUAAUACAUAAAUAGAGGAAAAAUAAUGAAAAUUUUAAACAUUUGAGAAAAAAAGAUAAAUAUAAAUGGUGACCAUUGAGCGGUAUCACAUCACCUAGCUUAUAUAUAUACUAGUUUUCGAACACGUGCGUUGCACGUGUAUACCAUGCUAAUUAGUAUAUAAAUACUUCCAAAAUGUAAGUGUACGAUGUGUAAAAUACAAGCUCGAAUCAAUGAACGGUUCAACAUAUUCAACUGAUAUUAUGAUCAUUGCAAGACAAAUCAUACAAAAAAAUUGUUAUCAAUUGAAUUAUUUUGAAAACUAAUACUAUAACAGCUUCAAUUAUACAAGUCUUAUAAUAUAUCAAGUAUUCAACUUGUUAAAACUUCUUUUUUUAAAAUGUUACAAUACAUAAUUUACAUGUCGACAUUAUAGUUACAAAAUAUUUAAUGCCAUAAAGCUUCUGCCUUCUUUUUAAGGAAUAAUACCCUCCACAUUUUUACAGAUGCAUACAUAUCGAGAACUUGUCGUUGAAGGAGAGUGGUGUUUUGCAAUAGUUGUAGAGAAAUUCAAUCAACAUAUGUCUUCCUUAGGAUGACUAGUAGAUUAUUAUCUAUUUCAUAGUUUGCACCUACAAAAUAAAAGUAUUUAUUUGUUAUAAGAUAAUCAUUGUUUAACUAUUUAAUUGACAUAUAUAAAUAAUAAUUAUAUAUAUAUGUACCCUUCGUCUUCUUUGGCUCAUUCAAAAUUAUUAAUUCUGCCAUCUGUAAAUUUUGACAAAAGAAUUUUUUUUCAAGUUAUAUACAUAUAAUUGAAUUAUGAAGUACAACACAAUCAUUUGUGAGAUAUUAACAUUUAACAGUGUGGUAGAAAAAAAAAACAAUAUAAACCAAAAAUUAUAUGGUGCAAAAAAUUAAUGCAUAUAAAAAAAAGAUAACACCCAAAUCCCCCAAAGACCGAGGGAACCGAAAUUAUGUAUAUCUCUGCUAAACAUGUAGGAUAUCUAUAAAAGAAAUUAUAUUUAUAAAGUUCAAUUAUAAAAUAGGAAAUGCGGAAAUUAACAAUUUAGUUUUUAAUGGUAUGAAUAUGUCGAUGAAUUCCUACUUUUGUUUUUUUUUUUUUCAGAAUCAAACAACAACUCAGUUCAGUAGGGGUUGGGGAGCGCUGGGUGGGUAGGAGGAUACAAUAAUAAAUAAAUAUAGGAUGUCAUUUAUAAAAUUUAUUUUUGCUACUGAAAGUUAUUUUCCUCAUUUUUAAGUGACUUGAUUUUCCGAGUCUUUUUGAUUUUUGGUUAAAGUGAUUUGUUAGGCCCAAUUAAGCACUAAAAUGAGCUGUUGAAAAAAAAGCAGUAGCGCAUAAAGCAAAGGUAAUGAAUAGACAUAACGCUAAAAAUUAUACUUUUCUUUAUUGCCUCUAUUAUUUUCGAAUCUCUGUUUUUUCGAGUCAAGAAAGCAGAUUUGUUUUGCUUCAGUGAUCAUUCUUGUUUGCGAAUUACUCUUAGCAUUCAACAGGUACAUAAAGAAGUUGUUAGUAAUUAAAGAUAGAUAAAUAUUUAUCCGUUUCAAAAUUCUUAAAAAAUCAUUUUGUUUUGAAUUUGCAGAUUUCAGAAAUGGAGGUUGUCUUAGCAAUUGGUGAUGCUUUUCUCUCUUCAGCUUUUGAUGUUCUCAUUGAUAGGCUUGCUCCUCAGGGUGAUCUUCUCAAAAUGUUUCGGACGCGUAAGAAUGAUGUUGAGCUCUUAAAAAAGCUGAAAUUAACUUUGCUUGGUCUUCAAGCUGUGCUAAGUGAUGCAGAGAAGAAGCAAGCAUCAAAUCAAUUUGUGAGAGAGUGGCUUAAUGAGCUUCGAGUUGCUGUAGACUCUGCUGAAAACUUGAUUGAACAAGUCAAUUAUGAAGCUUUGAAGCUUAAGGUGGAAGGUAAGCAUCAAAAUCUUGCAGAAAAAAUAUUGAAACAUUGUAGAUUUUGCAACCUGUGCUUGAGUGAUGAUUCUUUUCUUAACGUAAAUGACAAGUUGGAAAAGACUAUUGAAACAUUGCAGAAUUUGCAAAAUCAAAUUAGUGACCUUGGCUUACAGAAUUAUUUUGGUUUGACUAAACAAGAAACUAGAACACCUUCAACUUGUUUGGUUGAUGAAUCUGAUAUCUUUGGUAGGCACAAGGAAAUAAAGGAUUUGAUUGACCUUUUAUUGUCUGAAGAUGCAAGUGGAGGAAACCUGACUGUAGUUCCUAUUGUUGGAAUGGGCGGUGCGGGUAAGACAACACUAGCUAAAGUGGUUUACAAUGAUGAGAAGGUGAAGGACCAUUUUGGUUUGAAAGCUUGGUAUUGUGUUUCUGAGCCAUAUGAUGCUUUCAGAAUAACGAAAGGGUUACUUCAAGAAAUUGGCUCAUUUGACUCAAAGAACGACGGCAAUUUUAAUCAGCUACAGGUCAAACUGAAGGAAGGCCUGAAGGGAAAGAAGUUUCUUGUUGUCCUUGAUGACGUGUGGAAUGAUGACUAUAAUGAGUGGGAUAACCUGAGAAAUGUUUUUGUACAAGGAGAUGUUGGAAGUAAGAUCAUUGUAACUACACGUAAGGAGAGUGUUGCUAAGAUGAUGUGUGCUGAUCGUUGCGCAAUCACCGUGGGGACUCUGUCUAAAGAUGACUCUUGGGCUUUAUUCAAACGACAUGCACUAGAAAAUAGGGAACAUUCAGAACUUGAAGAGGUUGGGAAAAAAAUUGCAGACAAGUGCAAAGGGUUGCCUUUAGCUCUAAAGGCACUUGCUGGUGUUUUACGCGGCAAAUCAGAGGUGGAUGAGUGGAGAAACAUUUUAAGAAGUGAAAUAUGGGAUCAGCAAAGUUGUUGGAAUGGUACAUUACCAGCUUUGAUGUUGAGCUACAAUGAUCUUCCUCCACAUUUGAAGAGAUGUUUUGCUUUUUGUGCAAUAUAUCCCAAAGAUUAUGAAUUCUGCAAAGACCAAGCUAUUUACCUGUGGAUUGCUAAUGGUCUUGUAAAGCAGUUUUGUUUAGGUAACGAAUACUUUGACGAGUUGAGAUCAAGAUCAUUGUUCGAAAGGGUCCCAGAGUCUGAAUGGGAAUCGGAGAGAUUCUUAAUGCAUGACCUUAUCAAUGAUUUGGCCAAAAUUGCAUCUUCAAAACUUUGUAUUAGAUUGGAAGAGAACGAAGGAUCUGAUGAUAUGUUGGAACAAAGUCGGCACAUGUCCUAUUCCUUGGGAUAUGAUGGUGAAUUUGAGAAAUUGAAACUACUCUCCAAAUCAGAGCAGUUGAGGACAUUGCUUCCAACCAAUAUUGGUUACUCAUCUCAGCUAAGCAAGAGGGUGUUGCAUAACAUACUGCCAAGACUGACGUCCUUAAGGGCAUUAUCAUUGUCAGGUUAUCCGACUAUUGAGUUGCCAAAUGACUUGUUUAUCAAAUUAAAGCUCCUCAGAUUUUUGGACCUUUCUGAGACACAUAUUAAAAAGUUACCAGAUUCCAUUUGUGUCUUGUAUAACUUGGAAACACUUCUCCUGUCAUCUUGUCAAUUUCUUGAGGAGCUACCGCUGCAGAUGGAGAAGUUGAUCAACUUGCGACACCUCGACAUAACCAACACUUGUUGCUUGAAGAUGCCGCUACAUCUUAGCAAGUUGAAAAGUCUCCAAAUGCUAGUGGGAGCCAAGUUUCUUGUAGGUGGUAGCGGUGGUUUGAGAAUGGAAGAUUUGGGUGAAGUACAUAACUUGUAUGGAUCUCUAUCAGUUUUAGAGUUGCAAAAUGUGGUUGAUAGAAGGGAAGCUGUGAAGGCAAAUAUGAAGGAAAAGGAACAUGUUGAGAAGUUAUCUUUGAAGUGGAGUGAAGGUAGUUCUGCCAACGAUUCACAAACUGAAAGAUCCAUACUGGAUGGGCUACGGCCAUACACAAACAUAAAAGCAGUCGAAAUCACCGGAUAUAGAGGGACAAGAUUUUCAAAUUGGCUGGCUGAUCCUUCAUUUCUUCAGCUAGUAGAUUUGUCUCUUAGCGACUGCAAGGACUGUGAUUCUUUGCCAGCACUAGGACAACUUCCUUCUUUGAAAUUCCUUUCCAUUAGAGGGAUGCAUGGAAUAACAGAGGUGACGGAUGAGUUCUAUGGCAGUUCAUCCUCCAAAAAGCCUUUUAACUGUCUUGAGAAGCUUGAAUUUGAAGAUAUGCCGGAGUGGAAGCAAUGGCACGUACUAGGAAGUGGGGAGUUCCCUAUACUUGAGUACCUUUCAAUUGAAAAAUGUCCGAAGUUGAUGGGGAAGUUGCCUGAAAAUCUAUGUUGUCUGACAGAAUUGAGAAUUUUAAAGACAACUCUUUUUGAUGAAGCUCAAAUGUUUAGAUCCCAAUUUGAGGGAAUGAUGCAGAUUGAGGAAUUAUAUAUCGACAAUUGUGACUCUGUUACCUCCUUACCUUUUAGCAUACUGCCCAGUUCCUUGAAGAGAAUAACCAUAUCUGGUUGUCAGAAAUUGAAAUUGGAGGAGCCAGUUGGUUAUUGUAACAUGUUUCUCGAGAAAUUGACACUGUUUAAAUGUGAUUGUAUAGAUGAUAGAUCACCUGAGUUGCUCCCAAGAGCACGCAUUUUGAGUGUAGAGCGUUGCAAUAACCUUACUAGUUUUUUGAUUCCUACUGCAACUGAAAGUCUCACUAUUUGGGGAUGUGAGAAUCUUGAAAUACUUUCGGUGGCAGUUGGAACCCAUGAGUCUGCAAUGACGUCUUUGCGUAUUUGGAAUUGUGAGAAGCUGAAGUGUCUGCCAGAAAUAGAACUCUUCAAUUUACAAGUCCUUGAGAUCUAUUAUUGCAAGAAACUAGUGAACGGCCGAAAGGAGUGGUGUUUACAGAGACUCCCCUGUCUCACAGAGUUAGAGAUCAGACAUGAUGGCAGUGACGAAGGGAUCCAACAUUGGGAGUUGCCUUCCUCUAUUAAAAGACUUACCAUGAAGAAUCUGAAAACGUUAAGCAGCCAAGUUCUCAAAAGCCUCACCUCUCUUGAAUAUCUAUCUAUUGAGGAUAGUUUACCUCAAAUUCAGUCACUGCAGGAACAAGGUCAGCUUCCCUCCUCUCUUUCUGUGCUAAAUUUAUGUCACCAUGAUGAGCUCCAUUCACUACAUCUUUGCCACCUCACUUCACUUAGACGUCUACACAUCUGGAAUUGCCCUAAUCUCCAAUCACUCUCCGAAUCAACACUGCCCUCCUCCCUCUCUCAGCUGACCAUCGAGAAUUGCGAUAAUCUCCAAUCACUUUCCGAAUCAGCAUUGCCCUCCUCCCUCUCUCAGCUGACCAUCAUAAAUUGCCCUAAUCUCCAAUCACUCUCCGAAUCAGCACUACCCUCCUCCCUCUCUGAGCUAACCAUCAGCAAUUGUCGUAAUCUCCAAUCACUCUCCGAACCAGCACUGCCAUCCUCCCUCUCUAAGCUGACCAUCAUGAAUUUCCCUAAUCUCCAAUUACUUCCAGUAAAAGGGAUGCCCUCUUCCCUCUCUACACUAAAUAUUCACAACUGCCCAUUGCUCACACCACUACUAGAAUUUGACAAGGGAAAAUACUGGCAAAUUAUUGCUCAAAUUCCCAAUAUAUAUAUUGAUGGAGAAUACCUGUAAUGAUUAAAACAAAUGGUGCUCUGACAAAUGUAAGUUAUUCCUCUCCCUCAUAAGCUUUUUAUUUUUGUUUACUUCACUUUGCUUUUUAGUUACUACUUUUCCUUUUGUAAAUCUUGUUGAGCAGUGUGGAAAGUAUAUAUGGCGUACAUUAAUUAAGCAGACUUUGAGAGAAUGUUUUAUUCAUAAUUUAUAAAAAUGAACGGUGUCAUACAUAAAUUCAUCCAUCUUUUUAUCUUUAAUUUUAUACUAUUCUAUAAUGAAGUAGUAAUUUUGAAUCAUUUUGUUUAUUGUUUUAAUCAUAUAUUCAUCUCUUAUUAAUUCUUUUAGUUUUAGUUGAUGCAUAUAAGUUGUUCAAACUAUGAUGCCGGCUUACUUAUCACGCUUUGUUGCAAUUUAUUGUCCAGAUAACAUGACAGUUAGUUUAGUGGAAUUCUCCUUUGCUUGUCUAUUAGCUUGAUUUGGUUGUUGAUCAAUUGUUAUUGUUGGAAUUGUUCGAUCUUCUCUUUGUUGUUCUUAAACUUCAGCAACUAAAAUCAUGAAUGGCUAGAAACAGAGAUGAAUUUAAGGCUAGUAUCUGCAUAGACGUACAGUGAUGUAUUGAGACUAUUUUAGAGGUUUAACAACUGAGAAGCCUUCCAUUCUUGAUUAAUUAAGAUGAAUUGGCAGCUUGGCUCCCUUCAGUUCUUAAAAAAUUACUCGUGAGCCAUAGUUGACGAAUUGAAUUUGAAGCUUCUCACUUGGCCGUAAGUUUAGGCAUCAAAUUUGGUAGUCAAAUAAAUCCAUAAUAUUUCAUUUAUUGUCUUGAGUAAUCAUUCAUGUGCAGCUAUCUAUAUAUAUAGAUGUGGUGCGCUGGUCUGUAAUUGUAAUACGUGGAUUGGCUAAGAGUUCUAACAUGUCUUUUUUAAUUACUUUCCGUAAGGGUGUCGCUAUUUCCAAAUUGUACAGCUAUCUACUUUGGCUUGCUUGAGAUGAAGCAUCACUUGCUGCAAAUGGAACAUUCAGCUCUAAUGAAACCCAAAGGUACAUGAGAAAAAAGUUGCAUAAUGUAACAAAUAAGAGACAUAUUGUACAUUAUGGUAAUAGAUUAUAAGUAUAGCUAUUACUUUUUCAUUGUUACGAUUUUGACAAGCCUCAACGAUUAUUUAGGAAGUGAAAAGUUUUGAAGGUCUCUCUGCUCAAGUCAAGAAGCGAAAGUUGUUGAACCUUCAAGUGGUAUGUAUUCUUCUCAUACAUGGGUGGAGCUAGAGAGGAAGCUAUGGGUUCGACAGAGACUGGUAGCCAUACUAAACAAGAUAAACAUUGUAAUGAAUGGUCUACGAUUACUAUUUUCACUUAUCCUCUUCUUUGUCAGGAUUUUGGUAACAAUACGUAAGGUGUUACAGCUCUUAGCUCAGUUGGUAAAAGGAAAAUUUUGCUGCAAUUCUCUGUUGAAUAGACCGUAACUUCAAUGUGGUCGUGACAGAAAAGUGUAAGUGCUUAAGAUAGGUUCGCAGUUUUGUUAUUGCCGACUGUAAACAUUAUGCUUAUGGUUUGAACUGUUUAUUAAUAAAUUUGUGUGAUCAUCAGAAUGAUCUAUCUCUUUUCUAUUAAUGAUGUUUAAUUUUCUUUUCAGGAUAUAAAUAGCUCCAUAGAGAAUCUAAAUUUUAGAAAUGAUAAUCACGGAUAACAAUAAGAAGUUUUAGGGAAUAAGUAAACUUCCAUUAUCAGGAUUUUUGGAGCAAUACGACAUCCAAUUGUUGUUUCAGUUAGAUUGCUCAUUUAUUUACAAAUGUAAGCUUAGGUUUUUCCAAAAUGAUAGCAAAAACUCGAGUCCCUUUUCAGCAAUCAUGUGAUGCUAACUUCUUCUGUUGUUUUGCAUUUCCGUCUUUGCUUUUAGCCUAAGCUUGGGAUGAUUAUUAACCUUGUCAUCUGGAAUUUGAUAAGCAUAAAAAGAUAUGUUUUACUCCUCAUGAUAUGCAGUUAUGCAGUUGUAGAGAUGAAGUCUCUGUGAGUUGAGGUGACUAGUGUCUUCCCAUGUUAUCAGUUCAGUUAGCUAUGUUUCAGUUUCUCCUUGCAUACUCGUACAUUCAAUGUACUGAUGUCAUUCAACCUGCAUCCUUUUAUGAUGCAGAUACAUGUGUUUAGGAUCAACAUGUGCUUCAAUAAGAUCAUUUGACAUUCCAGUUAGCUUGGUGAUCCUUCUUAUAUUCCGGAGGACUUCACCUUUACCUUAUGGUUAGUAGUUUUGAGAUGUCGCGGGUCUUGUCUCGAUUUCCUUCUAUAAUAGUAGAAACUUCAUAGAUAGAUAGAGUUAAGGAGUUUUUUUUAGUAAUUAUUUUCCUUUGAGUUGCUUUACAAACUAUAUUGUUGUUGAUUAUUUUUUUCAGACUUUAUGAGUUGAGUAUUUUGAGGUUAACUGAUUUCAUUCAGUUUUAAGCCUAUUAUUGCUUGAGUUAGUUUUCCGCUCGUAGUCGGCCAGGAUGAGGUUACGCUUGGGGACAAGCAAUGGUUCUCGAGUGCCGGCCACGUCCAGGGUGUAGGCUUGGGUUGUGACAUACAUUUUACUGCAGGAAUAUACUUGAUCAGGUGUUCUAUGAAUAUAUAUUUGUAGACUUUGAAAUUGUGUAAUCCUGACAAUUUGUAGUGUUAAUCUGCUUUACUCUCAUCACUACCUUCUUUGCUACAUUAUAGGACCUGGACUGCAAGUGGUCUUAGAUUCAAGAGACAACUGAAAAUUGGUAUAGCGAGUUUGAGAGUAGAGGACUAACCAAAUAGGCUGUUAAAAUUUACAUCACCCUUACCUUAGUCUUUACUAGUUUUUCCUUACAGGGAGUUUGACAGUUUUUUUUUAAAGUUUUGCAUGUAUGUUAUGAGAAGUAUCCCCUCUAGAAUGGUUCUAUGGCAAACUAACAAACAACUUUCUAUUUUGUCAGGAACUUGACAACUGUAUGACAGUCUUUAUGAGAAUAAUUUGCCAGCAAAUACAAUGUCAUUUUUUUGUGGGAGGUUCUUUCAGUUAAUAGAUGAAGUUUACAACUGGAAGCUAUUAAUCCCUCUACGUUCCGGUAAUUCAUUAAUUGCUCUGUCUAUCUCUGAACUAUUUAUUAAUGCCAUCUGUUGCUUGAAACAUGUUUACACCUGACACAGGUGAGGACUGGCCUAAAGUUUAUCAAAAAUACAAAAAAUGAUGCCGUCUUACUUGCUAUGCUUUGUUGCAGUUUACUGUCCUAUUAACUUGACAGUUAAUUUUGUGAAAUUCUUCUUUGCUUGUCUAUUAACUUGAUUUGGUUAUUGAUCAAUUGUUAUUGUUGGAAUUGUUCGAUCUUGUCUUCGUUGUUCUUAAACUUCAAUAACUAAAAUCAUGAAUGGCUAGAAACAGAGAUGAAUUUAAGGCUAGUAUCUGCAUAGACGUAUCAUGAUGUAUUAAGACUAUUUUAGAGGUUUAACAACUGAGAAGCCUUUCAUUCUUGAUUAAUUAAGAUGAAUUGGCAGCUUGGCUCCCUUCAGUUCUUAAAAAAAUUACUCGUGAGCCAUAGUUGACGUAUUGAAUUUGAAGCUUCUCACUUGGCAGUAAGUUUAGGCAUCAAAUUUGGUAGUCAAAUAAAUCCAUAAUAUUUCAUUUAUUGUCUUGAGUAAUCAUUCAUGUGCAGCUAUAUAUAUGGAUUGGUUAAGAGUUCUAACAUGUCUUGAGUAAUCAUUCAUGUGCAGCUAUAUAUAUGGAUUGGUUAAGAGUUCUAACAUGUCUUGAGUAAUCAUUCAUGUGCAGCUAUAUAUAUGGAUUGGUUAAGAGUUCUAACAUGUCUUUUUAAUUUCAUUCCGUAAGGGUGUCGCUGUCUCCAAAUCGUACAGCUAUCUACUUUGGCUUGCUUGAGAUGAAGCAUCACUUGCUGCAAGUGGAACAUCCAGCUCUAAUGAAACCCAAAGGUACAUGAGAAAAAAGUUGCUUAAUGUAACAAAUAAGAGACAUAUGGUACAUUAUGGUAAUAGAUUAUAAGUAAAGAUAUUACUUUUUUGUUGUUAGGAUUUUUACAAGGCUCAACGAUUAUUUAGGAAGUGAAAAGUUUCGAAGGUCUCUCUACUCAAGUCAAGAAGCGAAAGUUGUUGAACCUUCAAGUGGUAUGUAUUCUUAUGUUGGUUUGUACACCAGGACUAUGAAUGUAAUAGCUUGUAUUGUUGACUUUGGGUCCUAGUAUCGCACAACUUUAAACGUGUCACUUGGGUUUAAGGUCGCUUCUUUAUAUACCAGCAAUCUACAUAUCUCUUGUGCUUUGUCGAUGUGGUAUUUGCCUAGGAUGCUACAAUGAUUUUCUUUUUACUAUGGAUACCAAGACACAAAGCAAAAGACGACACAAUUAUUGGACUUUCUGUAUUGAGGAAUCAGAAUUUCUGAACGUGAAUGAUUAGAGAAAACUGUAAAUGCAAUGUACAAUGUACAAGAAACAGGGGAGACUUUGAGGAGUGAAAUUUGUUUGCAUAAUUUUUUUAAUGUUGUUAUUACUGAUUAAUGAUGUAUGUGUAUUUCAGUUCAUUUUUAUUUUUCUUUCUCCACCUUAUAUUAUAUAUUUUCUUUAGUGGAAAUCUUCUCAUACAUGGGCGGAGCUAGAGAGGAAGCUAUGGGAUCGACAGAGACUGGUAACUAUACAAAACAAGACAAACAUUACAGAGAUUGCCAUCGGUCUCCGAAUCAACACUGCCCUCCUCCCUCUCUCAGCUGACAAUAGAUGAUUGCGAUAAUCUCCAAUCACUCUCCAAAUCAACACUUCCCUCCUCCCUCUCUAACAGAGAAGUUGUCAUUCAACUUAUACUCACAUGAUUACAGCAGUUUUUCCACUAAUAAGGACAUGGGAAUUCUAAUAGUAAGUUUAGAUAUUGUUGAUAAUAUGGUUUUCAUUGUUUGAAAGUUGUUUAACCUGUAGCUCCUAAUUGUGAUGCUUCAUUUACACAUUUUCCAAAUUUUAUCUUAUUACAGGGAUAAAGCCUGUCUAAGUCAAUUAGAUGUUACAGAUUUGCAACUAAUUGUUGUGCGUUAUACAAUCGCAUAUUUCUUGGAUGGAAGGUAUGGAUUGGUUUCUCAUUGCUUAUUGAUUUAUGCUCUUAUCACGUGGUAAUUUCACAUCUCAAUUGCGAAAGACAUCAUAUGUAGUUUGUUCAACCAUGUUUAAUCGAAAUUUUUAAGUUCUUGUAAGCAUCAAACAUUCCAUGUCAAGAAUGAAACUUUGCUUAACAGUAGAACAAAGAUCUGCUGUCACUAUAGAAAAUCUUUUUAAAUGAAUCUAUGCAGAAUAAUUGUACUUGUACCAUCCUUCAAUGUUUGCACAUAUUUAAUUGUGCCAAACAUGACGAUGAUUACUAAGGUUUGUCAAUUGGUUUCUAAAUUGAAUAUAAGGUGAGUUUUCUAUUGAAGCUUACAGAUUUUCUUACAAAUAUUUAUGUAGGCUGGGAUAUACUUGAAAGCAUAAGAAGAACGAAUAUGCAUCAAUCAUCCAUGGGAAUGUAUACUUAAGAGGAGACAAUGGCGACCACCACAUCUAUUUGUUAGGGCAUAAAAAGAACAUGUCUAAGGUAUGAAAACUCUUGCAAGAUUCUGUCUUUAGGAAUCAUUCAUGUACAUCUAUGUGUAUUGAGACGUGUGUGCGCUGGUCUGUAAUUGCAAUAUAUAUGUGGAUUGGUGAUGAAUUCUAAAAUUCUUUAUAAUUGCUUUCAGUAAGGAGGUUGUGAUUUCCAAUUCGUACCGCUGUCUACUGUGGCUUCCUUGAGAUGAAGCAUGACUUUCUGCAAAUGGAACAUCCAGCUCUAAUGUACCCAAACACCGGAUGUGGACAAGACCAUGGUUGUUUACACUUCAAUUCAGUUUCCUGAGUAUACACAUAGUGUGAUUGCUCGUUGUCUUGGUGUUCCUGAGCAUAGUAUCCGUGUGAUAACAAGAAGGGCUGGAGGUGGCUUCAGUGGCAAGAAAUAUGCCCAUAGUACUAUUAACAGAGAAAAAAUUGAAAGUUUUUAGAAUAGUUUUGAAACAUUAGCAAGGCUCAACAAUGAUUUGGGAAGUGAAUUUUUUUUUGUAAGGUCCCUUUGCUUAAGUCGAGAAGGGAAAGUUGUUGAAUCUUUAUGUGGUAGUUACUCUUAUGUUGGAUUGAACAUCAGGACUAUGGACGCUUCUUAUGUUGGUAAACAUAUUUAUGAUAUGGUAGGCCCCUUUUAACGCUAUAGUGAGCUGGGUAGAAAUCUAUCAUUUUAAUCUCUUUUAUUUUUGAGUCCCCCACCCAGUCCCCCUUUCUACAUCCCUAAUAAAUUAUCCUUACUCUCUUGCUUCAAUUAUAGAAUUGAGAAAGUUAUGAAUUUGCUUCAAUUUAUCAUUAUCUUCUUGAUGUUUGAAAAGUCUUAAUUUUGGAAGGAAAAAAAAUGACAGUUGGUGGUGCAUUUUUCUCUUGAGCUUUGAGAUAUUCUGUAUCGUUAACACCAUGGUUUAUUAUGUAUAAAAAUAAUAUUAAAUAAAGUAUAUAAUACAACUAACACAUGUAUUAUUAUUUUUUUAGAGAAAAUGUUUUAAUAUACUUCUUAACUUUGUCAUUUAAUGUUGAUACAACUUUCGUUAAAAAAGUGGCUCACAUAUACCUCUAUUGUUACACAAAUGAUUCACAUAUACCCUUUUCUUCUAACGAAAGUUUUAAAAAAUCAAUUUAAAAUUUAUUUUUGAAAAAACCAUUUAUGUAGGGAUAUAUUUGAUCCUUCUCACACAUAUUUAUUAUUUUGAUGGUCAAAUUUAUUUUUACUAAAUUUCGUGUAAAAUUUAUUAUGUAUACCCCAAUUAUUUUUGCAGAUACAAAAAAUAAAUUACAACAUAUUCAAAAAUAUUAGCUUUAAAUCUUUUUCUUCUUUUUUUUUUUAAAAAAAAAGAAUUCUCAUAUUAAUUUUUGUUAGGUUUUGAUGUGUAAUUAAGAGGGGUAGGUAAGUUGAUUGGUAACCAAUAAAUUUUAUCAAUUACUUUUGGCACAACUUGUGUUGUCUUGGCCUCAUAUCCUUUUCCACUACAUCACAAAUAGCCCAACAAUCAAUAUAUUAUAUAUAAUAGAGCACAUGAUCGCAAAAUUGAUAUACUAGCUUAUUUGAGCACAAAUUUUAAGAAAUAAAAAGAGAUUUUCAAAAUUUAUAAUUUUAAAUUUAAAUGUAUGUGUUCUUUAAAUUUUAUGAUCUUAAAUUUUCCAAAAGUCAUGAACAAACUAAAAGGUGCAUUAACUUAUUAAAAUCUUAUGAUGCAUAAAUGCACUAAUUAAGUUCAAUAUAAAAGAUCACACAUGAUGAGACAAUUAUAAUAAGAGAUUAUUUUGAUUUAAAAAGGUAAACCACAUGGAAUCUAAUUAAAUAUAAAAUAAUCAAAUGUCCUUGAGAAAACUUUUUGUCCGUACUGAUUAGUGCACAAUCAAAUUUAUUAAAAAUUACUCAUGCAAUAGAAUUGAAAAGUUGUUACAAAAACAUGCCGCUUACCAUAUUUGUAUUGGCGCAAUUUAAAUUAAAGUUUUAUUCAACUGUCUACAAAAGCAUCACGUCUUGUUUACACUUGAAAUUAAAAAAUUACCUUAUAAGUUGUUAAAACAAAAUUUUAGUAGUAGAUUUUCACGUGAGAAAUCAAACACUUGAACAUCAAUUAAAGAAUAUGAUUUAUAUGAUAAGCAAAAAAUAAAGAAACAAAAAGAAAAGAGCUUUGACCUUCAACGGGAUUAAAACUUGUGAAGAAAAGUCCCUAUUACAUUGCAACAUCAAUUUGACAUCAAAGUCCUAUAUUUCUUAUUAUCAAUUUGUAUUAAGCAGAGUGUUUUAACAAAGGACAAAAAGUUCGAUCAACAUUUCUAAAAAAGGUCUUCAUGCUUUUUAUUUUUUAAUAUAGUUAAUAGUAUAAUAGAUAGAUACUAGAACUGCUAAUGUGCUUCUUCAAGGAACUCUGCCACUUAACAUUGAGCUCCAAUAAACAUUGAGAUGUUAUCCGCGAGUGUGUUGCACACAUGUACGUAUUUGGCUAAAUUACCCAAAAAUGUCAAAAUAGCACAGCUGAACCUUGUAUUGAUGUUUAAUUAAAUGAUACAAGUCUUUGGUCUCUAAAUGGUCCCCGUUUUCUACGACCACCAAUUGAGAGAGCAAUGAAUAGGCACUAACAAACAUAGUUUUUACCAAUUACAACUUCUUGUUUGCAAAUUUACUAGCAAAAGAGAGAGAAAUCAGUGAUCAUUCUUGUUUGCAAAUUACUCUUAGCUUCAACAGGUAAAGUGAGGUUGUUAGUAAUUGAACAUACAAACAUUCAUCUUCUCAAAUUUCUUAAAAUCAUUUUGUGUUUUGCUUUGCAGAUUUCAGAAAUGGAGAUUGGCUUAGCAGUUGGUGGUGCAUUUAUCUCUUCAGCUUUGAAUGUUCUCUUUAAUAGGCUUACUCCUCAGGGUGAGCUGCUCAAAAUGUUUCAGAAGCAUACCGAUGGUGUUCAGCUCUUAGAGAAGCUGGAGGAGAUUUUGCUUGGUCUUCAAAUUGGGCUAAGUGAUGCAGAGAAUAAGCAAGCAUCAAAUCUACUCGUGAGCAAGUGGUUAAAUAAGCUUCAGAGUGCUGUGGAAUCUGCUGAAAACUUAAUAGAACAAGUCAAUUAUGAAGCUUUUGUGGGGUCCAGUCCCACUUUUCUUUUUUAGUGUCAACAAUUGCUGCAUGCAAUUGUCAAUUGUUGGCAAAUUGCAAUAGCAGCAAUUGUUGAAAAACACAGCAAUUAAAAAUGCUUUCGGUGGCACAACUUUGACAUACUAUGUAUAGUGUUGAAAUUUGCAGUUGCAAAUUUCUUCUAUAAAUAGAGAGCCCUUUGCUCAUUCCCAAACACACCAAUUCACAGAGAGUAAAAUAUUUAGAGAGCUGUGAGGUUUCCAUAGACUAUAUAAGAAAAUAGUCUGUGAAGAAAAAUAGAGUGUGAGCGAUAUUUUAGUAAGGUGGAAACCAAAAGAGUGUUAUUCCUUUUGAGUGUGUAGUAGUCACUUUGAGUAUUGUACUCGUGACUACAGUGUAAAAUUCCUUACUAUAGUAAUAUCAGUUGCUCCUCUUGGCCCGUGGUUUUUCCCUUAUUUAGAAGGGUUUCCACGUAAAAUUCUUGGUGUCAUUAUUUUCCCAUUUUAUUUCCAUUACUUUUACCAUAUAUAUUUUUGUGCUUGUCCGUGUUUUCCCAACAGCUUUGAGGCUUAAGGUGGAAGGUGAGCAUCAAAAUCUCGAAGAAACAAGCACCCAGCAAGUAAGUGACCUCAACCUUUGCUUGAGUGAUGAUUUCUUUCUUAAGUUGGAAGACACUAUUAAAAAAUUGGAGGUGUUGGAAAAGCAAAUUGGUCGCCUUGGCUUGAAGGAGCAUUUUGGUUCGACUAAACAAGAAACUAGAACACCUUCAACUUCUUUGGUUGAUGAAUCUGAUAUCUUUGGUAGGCACAAGGAAAUAAAGGAUUUGAUUGACCGUUUAUUGUCUGAAGAUGCAAGUAGAGGAAACCUGACUGUAGUUCCUAUUGUUGGAAUGGGCGGCGCGGGUAAGACAACACUAGCUAACGUGGUUUACAAUGAUGAGAAGGUGAAGAACCAUUUUGGUUUGAAAGCUUGGUAUUGUGUUUCUGAGCCAUAUGAUGCUUUGAGAAUAACGAAAAGGUUACUUCAAGGAAUUGGCUCAUUUGACUCGAAGGAUGACGGCAAUCUUAAUCAGCUACAGGUCAAAUUGAAGGAAAGCCUGAAGGGAAUAAAGUUUCUUGUUGUCCUUGAUGAUGUGUGGAAUGAUACCUAUAGUGAGUGGGAUAACCUGAGAAGUGUUUUUGUACAAGGAGUUAUGGGAAGUAAGAUCAUUGUAACUACACGUAAGGAGAGUGUUGCUCAAAUGAUGUGUGCUGAUCAUUGUGCAAUCACCAUGGGGACUCUGUCUAGUGAAGACUCUUGGGCUUUAUUCAAACGACAUUCACUAGAAAAUAGGGAUCAUCCAGAACUUCAAGAGGUUGGGAAAAAAAUUGCAGACAAGUGCAAAGGGUUGCCUUUAGCUCUAAAGACAGUUGCUGGUACUUUACGCGGCAAAUCAGAGGUAGAAGAGUGGAGAAACAUUUUAAGAAGUGAAAUAUGGGACCAGCAUUGUUUGAAUGGUAUAUUACCAGCGUUGAAGUUGAGCUACAAUGAUCUUCCUGCACAUUUGAAGCAAUGUUUUGCUUUUUGUGCAAUAUAUCCCAAAGAUUAUGAAUUCUGCAAAGACCUACUUAUUUACCUGUGGAUUGCUAAUGGUCUUGUAAAACAGUUUUGUUUAGGUAAGGAAUACUUUGACGAGUUGAGAUCAAGAUCAUUGUUCGAAAGGGUCCCAGAGUCUGAAUGGGAAUGGGAGAGAUUCUUAAUGCAUGACCUUAUCAAUGAUUUGGCCCAAAUUGCAUCUUCAAAACUUUGUAUUAGGUUGGAAGAGAGCAAAGGAUCUGAUGAUAUGUUGGAACAAAGUCGACACAUGUCCUAUUCCAUGGAACGAGGUGGUGAAUUUGAGAAAUUGAAACAACUCUCCAAAUCAGAGCAGCUGAGGACAUUGCUUCCAAUCAAUAUCGGUUACUCAUCUGACCUAAGCAAGAGGGUGCUGCAUAACAUACUGCCAGGACUAACAUCCUUAAGGGCAUUAUCAUUGUCAGGUUAUGACAUUGAGGAGUUUCCAGAUAACUAGUUUAUCAAAUUAAAGCUCCUCAGAUUUUUGGACCUUUCUCAGACAUGUAUUGAAAAGUUGCCAGAUUCCGUUUGUGCAUUGUAUAAAUUGGAGACACUUCUCUUGUCAUCUUGUACUUCUCUUGAAGAGUUACCGCUGCAGAUGGAAAAGUUGAUUAACUUGCGUCAUCUUGACAUAAGCAACACUUGGGUCUUGAAGAUGCCGCUACAUCUGAGCAAGUUGAAAAGCCUCCAAGUGCUAGUGGGAGCCAAGUUUCUUCUAAGUGGUUUGAGAAUGGAAGAUUUGGGUAAUCUACAUAACUUGUAUGGAUCUGUAUCAGUUUUAGAGUUGCAAAACGUGGUUGAUAGAAGGGAAGCUGUGAGGGCAAAGAUAAGGGAGAAGAAUCAUGUUGAGAAGUUAUCUUUGGAGUGGAGUGAAAGUAGUAGUGCCGACAAUUCACAAACUGAAAGAGACAUACUUGAUGAGCUACGCCCACAUAAAAACAUAAAACAACUCCAAAUCACCGGAUAUAGAGGGACAAAUUUUCCAAAUUGGCUAGUUGAUGUUUCGUUUCUUAAGCUAGUAGAGUUGUCUCUUAGAAACUGCGAGGACUGUUAUUCCUUGCCAGCACUAGGAGAACUCCCUUGUUUGAAAUUCCUUUCCAUUAUAGGAAUGCAUGGAAUAACAGAGGUGACGCAUGAAUUCUAUGGCAGUUCAUCCUCCAAAAAGCCUUUUAACUCUCUUGAGGUGCUUGAAUUUAAAGAUAUGCCGGAGUGGAAACAAUGGCACGUACUAGGAAGUGAGGAGUUCCCUAUACUUGAGAACCUUUCAAUUGAAAAUUGUCCGAAGUUGAUGGGGAAGUUGCCUGAAAAUCUUUCUUCUCUGAUAGAAUUGAGAAUUUCAAGGACACCUCUUUUUGACGAGGCUGGACUGUUUGCAUCCCAACUUCAGGCUGACAGAAUCGUUGUAUUAUCUAUUGAGUAUUGUAACUCUGUUACCUCCUUACCUUUUAGGAUACUGUCCAGUUCCUUGAAGAGAAUAAUGAUAUCUCAUUGCCAGAAAUUGAUAUUGGAGGAAUCAGUUGGUUAUUGUAACAUGUUUCUGGAGGAAUUGAGACUGCGUGAAGGUGAUUGUAUAGAUGAUAUGUCACCUGAGUUGUUCCCAAGAGCACGCAAUUUGUAUGUAUAUAGUUGCGACAACCUUACUAGGUUUUUGAUUCCUACUGCCACUGAAACUCUCUUUAUUGGGAAUUGUAAGAAUGUUGAAAAACUUUCGGUGGCAUGUGGGGGGGACCCAGAUAACGUUUUUAAGUAUUGAGGGCUGUUGGAAGCUGAAGUGGCUGCCAGAACGUAUGCAGGAACUCCUUCCAUCUCUUAAGAAAUUGGUUCUGCUAAGUUGUCCAGAAAUAGAGUCUUUUCCUGAAGGAGGAUUGCCCUUUAAUUUACAAUUCUUUAAGAUUGACAAUUGCAAGAAACUGGUGAAUGGAUGAAAAGAGUGGCUUUUACCGAGACUCAGAGAGUUAGUGAUCAGACAUGAUGGCAGUGAUGAAGAGAUUGAACAUUGGGAGUUGCCUUCAUCAAUUACAAGUCUUAACAUACACAAUCUGAAAACAUUAAGCAUCCAAGUUCUCCAAACCCUCACCUCUCUUCACUAUCUAUCUACUUCUAAUUUACCUCAAAUUCAGUCAAUGCUGGAAGUUGGGAGUUGCCUUCCCUCGUCUCUUUCAGAGCUACGUUUAGAAUACCAUGAUGAGCUCCAUUCACUACAUCUUUGCCACCUCACUUCACUUCAAAGUCUACACAUCUGGGAUUGCCCUAAUCUCCAAUCACUUUCUGAAUCAGCACUGCCCUCCUCCCUCUCUCACCUGCGUAUAUGGAAUUGCCGUAAUCUCCAAUCUCUUUCAGUAAAAGGGAUGCCCUCUUCCCUCUCUGAACUAUCUAUUCUCAACUGCCCAUUGCUCACACCACUACUAGAAUUUGACAAGGGGGAAUACUGGCCAAAUAUUGCUCAAAUUCCCAUCAUAUGUAUUGAUGGUAACUACCAGUAAUGAUUAAAAUGAAUGGUGCUCUGACAAAUGUAAGUUAUUCUUUUCCCUCAGAAGCUUUUUAUUUUUGUUUAAUUCACUUUGCUGUUUUUGCGAACUCUUUUCCUUUUUUUAUGUCUUGUCGAGCAGUGUGGAGCGUCUAUUGCUCAAACAGCAGCUACUGACCAAAAAUUGCUCAUAUUUCCACCAUAAUGUUGAUUGGGAGAGACAGUAAUGAUUAAAACGAGUGGUGCUUCAAUAGAUGUAAGUUAUUCUAUUUCCUUAGUAUCUUUUCAUUUUUGGUUAAAAAAAAUUCUUUGUUAAAUCUUUUUGACCAGUGUGUGUAGCCAUCUAUUGCUUCUGUGAAGUCGAGGAAAUAUCUAUAGAUCAGGAUAAAAUCUAUAUAUUUGCGACAUUGUAAAAGAAAUCUAAUAUAGGUAGGAAUUGAGAUAAUUUGCUCUGCUGUUGGUUUAAUAUACGUCAGCAAGAUUUUUAUAGCAACUCAUUACUGGUGUAAACAACUUUAUUCUACAACUAACAGCAAGACAAAUCUCACUCGUUAUCUUAGUUGACUAUUAAGACUCACUUUUCUUCUCUAUUAAUCUAUGUUCUCUCUCAGAUCUUGUAGACUAGAAUAUUUUUCGCCAUCACGAAAAUUCUGCUCAUAUCUCCACCAUAGAAGUCGAUGGAGAAUACAUUUAAUGGUUAAACUGAAUGGUGCUCUCGCAAAUGUAAGUUUUUCUUUGUCCUCAGAAGCUUUCUAUUUUUGUUUACUUCCCUUUGCUUUCCCUUUUUUAAGAUCUUGUUGAGUAGUAUGGAGUGUCUAUUGCCACUAUGAAGUCGAGAAAUCAUCUUCAGCUCGAGAUAAAUUGAAUUUUAGAUGACCACAAAAAACAAAGGUGAUAAAAAAAAUUAUAUUCGUGUGGGAACAUGUAAAACGAAAUCUAGUAUAUAUAGGAAUUAAAAUAACUUGCUCCACAAAAUCUUGUUCUUUCCGUUUUCAGUGAGUUUAGAGUUAUGCACAUGUCCACUAUUGAAUUCAAAGCUUUAAUAGAAUUCAAAGGUGUACAAUACACAAGGUUUGUUUCCGAUCUAUCAAAAAUAUAUAAAAGCUUGCCUGCCAAUAAAUUUAACACCUAAAAGCAUCAGCACUAUUCAGGUUUUUAUUAAUGAUUAUUGUAUAUCAACUGAGCAAAUUUCUUUCUUUGUCAGGAUUCUGGUAACAUUAUAUGUAAGCUAUUACCGCUCUAGAUCAGUUUGUAAAAGGAAAGCUCUGCUGCAAUUCUCUAUUGAAUAGGCCGUUGCUUGAAUGUGGUCUGACAGCAAAGUGUAAGUGAAUAAAGAUAGUUUCGCAGUUUUGUCGCUGACUGUAAACGUUAAGUUUAUGCUUUGAACUGUCUAUACAUAAAUAUAUGUGAUCAUCGGAAUGAUGUAUAUCUUUGAUAUUAAUGACAUUUAAUAUUCUUUUCAGAAUAUAAAUUAUGUCGUGCUCAUCAUCAAGUGCGUAGCUUUAUAUUUAUGCUCCUAAAUUUUAGAAAAGAUAAUCACGGAUAAUGAUCAUAAGUAUUAAAAAAUAAGUGAACUUCCAGCCAGAAUUAGAUGUGUUAGACUUGCGGCUAAUUGUUGUGCGUUAUAUAAUUCUUGGAUGCCAGGUAUUGGAUUGGUUUCUCAUUGCUUAUUGACUUAUACUCUUAUCACGUUUUAAUUUUACAUCUUGUGAAAGACAUCAUAUGUAGCUUGUGUAACCAUGUUUAAUCGAAAGUAUUUAGUACUUGUAAGCAUCAACCAUCCCAUGUCAAGAAUGAAACUUUUCUUAAUAGUAGAACGAAGAUCUGUUGACACUAUAUAAAAAACUUUUUAUGUGAAUCUAUGCAGGAUACGUUGUAUUUGCACUAUCCUUCAAUGUUUGCACAUAUUUAAUUGUGCCACAACAUGACCAUGGAUGACUAUGAUUUGUCAGUUGAUUGCUAAAUUGAAUAUUAGGUGAGUUUUCUAUUGAAGCAUAUAGAUUUCCUUACAAAUAUUUAUGUAGGUUGGGGAUAUUCUUGAAAGCAUAAGAAGAAAGAAUAUGCAUCAAUCAUCCAUGGAAAUGUAUACUUACGAGGAGACAAUGGCCAUCACCACAUCUGUUUGUUGGGACAUAAAAAGAGCAUCCCUAAGGUAUGGAGAAACUCUUGCAAGAUUCUGUUACAUCAGUAUGAAUAUUGAUCCUGACAUUUUUUUUCUGUUUCUUGUGUCUCUGGAGUUCUCUCAUUAAAUAGGAAAAGAUUUUAGUGUCAGUACUUCUCUAUCUGAAUCCAUAGUUAGAAGUACAGGUAUAUGGGAAUUGAUGUCAUUCAUACUUGGGAACAAUUGAAAUUAAUCAUGAGGGAAAAGUAUAUCAUCCAGCAGUACAAGCUGUUCAAAAUAUGAUGCUGUCAUACUUACUACUCUUUGUUGCAAUUUACUGUCCAGAUAACUUAACAGUUAAUUUCGUGGAAUUCUACUUUGCUUGCCUAUUAGCUUGAUUUGGUCGUUGAUCAAUUGUUGUUGUAGGAGUUGUUCGAUCUUGUCUUAGUUGUUCUUAGACUUCUGUCAACAAAAAUCAUGAAUGGUCAGAAAAAUGCAAUCGAUUUGCAUCAGAGAUGAAUCUAAGGCUAGUAAACGAAUAGACGUGUCAUGAUGUAUUAUGACUAUGCUAGAGGGUGAACAAUUGAGAAGCCUUCGGUUCUUGAUUAAUUGAGAUGAAUUGGCGGCUUGGCUCCCUUCACAUUGCUUUGUUCCUCUAGCUUCUUCAGCAUAAAAAAUUGCUUGUGAGCCUUUUAUGAUAUACUGAAUUUGACACUUCUUCACUUGGCAGUAGGCUUAGAAAUCACUUUUUGUAGUCAAAUAGAACCAGAACCUUUCAUUACUUGUCUAGAGUAUUCAUUCAUGUGCAGCUGUAAGUAUAAACAGUGUGUGGUCUGUAAUUGUAACAAGGGGCUUGGCUUAGAGUUCUUAAAUUUCUUUUUAAUUGCUUUCAGUAUGGAGGUUGUGAUUUCCAAGUCAUGCAGCCGUCGACUAUGGCUUCCUUGAGAUGAAGCAUGACUUGCUGCAAAUGGGACGUACAGCUUUGAUGGAACCCAAAGGUACAUGAUAAAUAAGUUGUUUAAGUAGCACACAAGAGAGAUAUUGACAUUAUGGUCAUAGAUUAUAAGGAAAGAUAUUACUUUUUCAUUGUUAGGAUUUUGACAAGGCUCAGUGCUCAUUUGGGAAGUGAAAAGUUUCGAAGGUCUCUCUGUUCAAGUCGAGAAGUGAAAGCUGUUGAACUAUGUAUGUAAUAGCUUGUAUUGUUGACUUUGGUCCCUAGGCUCCCUUGGGUCUAAUGUCACUUCUUUUUACACCAACAACCAGUAUCUUUCUUGCGUUUUGUUUUGUCGAUGUGGUAUAUGCCUAGGAUGCUACAAUAAUGGUGUUCUUUUUACUCUGGAUACCAAGACAAAAAGCAAAAGACGACACAAUUAUUGGACUUUCUGUAUUGAGAAAUUGAAAUUUCUGGACACAAAUGGUUAGAGAAAACUGUAAAUGCAAUGUAAAAUGUAUAAGAAACAGGGGAGACUUUGAGGAUUUGUGAAUUGUUAUAGCUCUUAGCUCAGUUGAUAAAAGGAAAUUUUUUCUGCAAUUUUCUGCUGAAUAGACAGUCACUUGAAUGUGGUUGUGACUAAGAUAGCUCUUAGCUCAGUUGGUAUAAGUGAAUAAAGACUAGCAUUUUUAUCGCUGAGUGUAAGUGCUGUUUUGUUAUCGCUGAGUGUAAGUGCAAAAUGACUAGUCACUUAUCAGGAUUUCUGAAACAAUACAGCAUCCAAUUGUUGUCUCAGUUAGAUUGCUCGUUUUGUUACAAAUGUAACCGUAGGUUUUUCCAAAAUGAUAGCAAAAGCUUGAGUCCCAUUUCAGCAGUCAUGUGAUGCUAAUUUCUUCGGUUGUUUUGCAUUUCCGUCUUUUCUUUUAACCUAAGCCUGGGAUGAUUAUUAACCUUCUCAUCUGGAAUUUCAUAAGCAUAAAAAGAUAUAUGGAAAUCUGGCUCGGCAAGAUCAGUUUGACAUCCAAGACAGUGAAGAGCUUAACAGAAUGAAGGAAGAAAAUGCCAAUCUACAAGAAAAGCUGAAUGAUGCAGGUAUACAUUCUUAAUUGAGAUUCCAGACGGUGCAAAAUUGUAAAAUAUAAAAAAUUGCUUGUGAGCCAUAUAUAAUAUAUUGAAUUUUAAACUUCUUCACUUGCAGUAAUCACUUUCUUAGUCAAAUAAAACGAUGGUAUUUCAUUACUUGUCUAGAGGAAUCAUACAUGUACAACUAUAUAUAUAGAGACGUGUGUGCUGGUCUGUAAUUGCAAUAUGUGGAUUGGCCAAGAGUUCUAAAACUUCUUUUUAAUUGGUUUUGGUAAGGAGGUUGUGAUUUCCAAGUCGUACAGCUGUCUACUGUGCCUUCCUUGAGAUGAAGCAUGACUUGCUGCAAAUGGAACAUCAAGCUCUAAUGUACCCAAACGCCGGAUGUGGACAAGACCAUGGUUGUUUACGCUUCAACUCAGUUUCCUGAGUAUACGCAUAGUGUGAUUGCUCGUUGUCUUGGUGUUCCUGAGCAUAAUAUCUGUGUGAUAACAAGAAGGCCUUCGGUGGCUAGGCAGUAAGAAAUAUGCCAGUGAGUACCUAUUAACAGAAGAAAAGUUUUGAAACAUUUGCAAGGCUCAACACUUUUUUUUGUAAGGUCCCUUUGCUCAAGUCGAGAAGAGAAAACUGUUGAAUCUUUUAGUGGUAUUUAUUCUUAUGUUGGAUUGAACACCAGGACUAUGGAUGUAAUAGCUUGUAUUGUUGAGACUUUAGGUCCUAUGUUCGCAUGACUUCAAGACGUGUCACUUGAGUCUAAGAUUGCUUCUUUAUACAAUGACGUUCCUUUUACUCUGGAUAAACAGUACAUUAACUGAAAAUUUCUCUAGGCUUAGAAAGAGAAAUCUA
rnacentral:lncRNA from 1 species